CUGCCAAGAGUUUCAUGGCUGAGUGCAAGGUCCUCAGGAAUAUUCAGCUUCGGAAUCUCCUUGGAAUCAUAACUUCAUGUUCAAGUGUGGACAACAAAGGUUGUGAUUUUAAGGCUCUAGUAUUUGAGUUCAUGCCUAAUGGGAACCUAGAUAGCUGGCUGUAUCAUGAAUCCAGAAAUUUAAGCUUCAGACAAAGAUUGGAUAUCGCAAUUGAUGUGGCUAUUGCUCUGGAUUAUCUUCAUCACCAAUGCCAGACACCAAUUGUUCAUGGUGAUCUAAGGCCAAGCAAUGUUCUUCUUGAUGAUGACAUGGUUGCCCAUGUUGGGGACUUCGGGUUAGCCAAGCUCCUUCCUGAAGCUAACGAGAUUCUGAGUAGUGAUCAAACCAGUUCGGCACUGAUGAUGGGAUACAUCGGUUAUGUUGCUCCAGGUACACUUCCUCACGUUUUUUUUUUCCUCAAUCCUAAAAAUAAGUUAUGAAAUUGUUGGUUCAAAUUGGCAUGCAGGAUAGCAUAGCUAUACUCGGCCUAUUAGCCUUCUUACUUUUCAAUGGACUUAUAAGUAAAAAGAUGAAUAUAUGCAUUGCAGAAUACGGAUUAGGUGGCUCCAUGUGGCCUCAAGGAGAUGUGUACAGCUAUGUCAUCCUUUUGCUGCAGAUGUUCACGGGAAGGAGACCAACAGAGAGCAUGUUUUCAGAUGGUUUGAACCUUUACACUUUCUCUAAGAUGCCAUUGCCAGAACGUGUAAUGGAGAUUGCGGAUUCAAACUUGUUUAGGGAGUCAGAUGAAGCAAUUAGCAAUGUAGGAAAUCAACGUGAAACGGAAGGUAGAAUGUGCCAUUGCCUGGUUUCAAUUGCCAGAAUUGGAGUAGCAUGUUCUGAAGAAUCAGUUAGUGAUCUAAUGGACAUCGAAGAUGUGGUGAUGGAACUGAAUAUCAUUAAGGAAGUGUUUCUUGGGGCAGGAAUCCAUCGGGAGAGAUAUAUCAGUGCAAGUAGGUGGGGAAGGAGCAUCUCAGCUGAUGACUGAACAAGAAAGCGACUGAUCUGCUAGAUGGUCCAUCCAGACGUCUCACGUUACUCUCUCUCUGGGGGAUAACCCCUGUUUUAUUUUGAAUUUUGAUGCAUCCCUUUAUAUCUGCAUUUCUCUUCUGUCACUCUUAUAUAAGAUAUCGCCUGUUUUAUAUUGAAUGUUCAUGCAGGCUUUGUAUACAUAGAUUGUGGUGUAAGUUAGAAUCGGCUUCACAGUGUAGGAGUCCUAUUCUCCUGUGCUCCUAUUUACAAAAUGAAUAAACUUCUCCGACAAAAGACUAUAUAUAUAUGGGUUAUGCUAAGGUACCGAAAUGUGGUUUUUCGGUACCAUACCCACUUUUUUGGGCUCACAAGAUGAAGACACAUGGCAUGGAAAAAUAAUAAAAAAGUGAACAAAACCAAUUCUUCAGGUUGGUAACCGGUUGCCAUGGGAACUAAUCCCAUGCAACACACAUUUUUACAUCCAUUACAAUAACCAAUUAUAAAUUCCUGUUUAAUGUAAUUAUUUUGUUUGGGGAAUUUUUUUUGUGCAACAGAAAAAUAAAGAGAAAUUUGAAAAAAUAAAUAGCAGUUUUUUUUUUGUAAUAUAAAGUGAUUAAACCCAAGAUAAUAAUUAAAUUUUAAAUAAAAAAAAUUCAAACUAAUUUGGUGAUAAAAUUUAUAAAUUAAGGAAAAGUAAAUAUAAUUUAUUUUAACAUCAAAUAAUUUGUUGACAAAAUUUGAAAAAUAUUUGAAGUGUGAAAAGCAAUAUAAUUUGUUUAUGAAGUGAAAAAAUAUAUAUAUAUAUAUAAAUAAAUGAGAUAAAAUAUAAAUAUUAAAUUUAUAUUAAAUUAAUUGUGUACUAAUUAUUAAUUGAUAAUAUAUGACCAAAUUAUUUCUUAGCGUUUAAAUUGAAUUACAGAAAAAAAAUUAGUUGAAAUAUUGAAAAUACGAAAAAUGUAUAAUUACUAACCAUAUGGAAAUCAAAACGCCUCACAAUAUUUUUUCGUACAUUUCCAUUUUGAAUUUUGAAGAAUCCAUUUCACACCCUCAGACAAGCGGAAAAUGGUGAGGAUUUCUCACAGUCUUCGUACCCCGUCCAAUUUUAUAAUAUUUUUGGAUUUGGAUUUUUCCGGGACUCAUUCAAACACCGCCUAAGUGGAAUCAACCUAUUUAAACAAUAUCCAAGGCAAAUGAAGUCCAAAAAAAAAUUUUAAACUUCAAAGAAGUGCAGAUUUGGGAGAGUAUGAAGAAUGUGAGGAUUCCUCACAUUCUGCGUACCUUGUCUAAUUUUUUAAUAUUUUUGGCUUUUAAUUUUACCGGGACUCAUUCGAACACCACCUAAGUGGAAUCAACCUAUUUAGACAAUAUCCAAGGCAUAUGAAGUCCAACAAAAUUUUUAAAACUUCAAAUAAGUGAAAAUUUGGGAGGGUACGAAGAAUGUGAGGAUUCCUCACAUUGUUCGGACCUUUUCUAAUUUUUUAGUAUUUUUAGGUUUUAAUUUUUUCGGGACUUAUUCGAACACCGCCUAAGUGGAAUCAACCUAUUCAAGCAAUAUCCAAGCCAUAUGAUGCCCAAAAAAUUUUUAAAAAGUCAAAAGAAGUGGAGAUUUGGGAGGGUACGAAGAAUGUGAGGAAUUGUGAAUUUUUUAGUAUUUUUAUAUUUUGAUUUUUUCGGAUAUCAUUUGACCACCUUCUAAGUGUAACGAACCUACUUAAACAAGAUCCAAGCCAUAUGAUGCCCCAAAAAAUUUUAAAAAGUCUAAAGAAGUGGAGAUUUGGGAGGGUACGAAGAAUGUGAGGAUUGCGAAUUUUUUUGUUUUUUUGGAUUUCUAUUUUUCCGGAUAUCAUUUGACCUUUUUCUGAGUGUAUUGGACCUUUUUAUGCAACAUCCAAGCCAUAUGAUGCCCCACCAAAUUUUAAAAAGGCCACAGAANNNNNNNNNNNNNNNNNNNNNNNNNNNNNNNNNNNNNNNNNNNNNNNNNNNNNNNNNNNNNNNNNNNNNNNNNNNNNNNNNNNNNNNNNNNNNNNNNNNNCCAAAAAAUUUUAUAAAGUCCAAAUAAGUGGAGAUUUGGGAGGGUACGAAGAAUGUGAGGAUUCCUCACAUUCUUCGUACCCUUGUGAAUUUUUUAGUAUUUUUCGAUAUCGAUUUUUCCGGAUGUCAUUUGACCACCUUAUAAGUGUAACGAACCUACUUAAACAACAUCCAAGCGAUAUGAUGCCCCAAAAAAUUUUAAAAAAGCCUAAACAAGUGGAGAAUUAGGAGGGUACGAAGAAUGUGAGGAUUCCUCACAUUCUUCGUACCCUUGUGAAUUUUUGAGUAUUUUUCGAUUUCGAUUUUUCCGGAUGUCAUUUGACCACCUUCUAAGUGUAAUGGACCUAUUCAAGCAACAUCCAAGCCAUAUGAUGCCCCAAAAAAUUUUUAAAAGUCCAAAGAAGUCGAGAUUUGGGAGGGUACGAAGAAUGUGAGGAUUGUGAAUUUUUUAGUAUUUUUGGAUUUCGAUUUUUCCGGAUAUCAUUUGACCAGCUUCUAAGUGUAACGGACCUAUUCAAGCAACAUCCAAGCCAUAUGAUGGCCCACGAAAUUUUAAAAAGUCCAAAGAAGUGGAGAUUUGGGAGGGNNNNNNNNNNNNNNNNNNNNNNNNNNNNNNNNNNNNNNNNNNNNNNNNNNNNNNNNNNNNNNNNNNNNNNNNNNNNNNNNNNNNNNNNNNNNNNNNNNNNAAAAAAAAUUAAUUACUAAAUUUUCAUUUAUAUACUUCAUGUUGUCUAGUUUCGAAAAUAGAACAUGGUAAUAACUUUCUAUAUAAAAUACAAGAACUUUUAAAAGUUUACAUUAAAAAGCUAAUGAUUUUUGAAAACUAUUUAAAAAUAAAUAAAGGUAUUCAUAAAAAUUUAAUAUCUUAAAUUAAAAAUUUUUUGAAAGUUAUUUUUAACAAUAUAAACUUGGUCUACACUUUUUAUAUUUAUAUUUAUAUUUUUUAGAAGUUCUUACUAUUUUUAUUUAAUUUAAAAAAAAACACCAAAAAGUAUGUCAAAUGGACAUGAAAUUAUAAAUUAUCAAGUGAUUUUCAAAUAGUACUAAACAUGAGAAAUAUUUUCUAUAUGUUUUUUUUUUCUUAACAGGAAUGCAAUAUAUUUUUUAUUUUUAAAAAAUGGAUGUUGAGAUGUAAUAAAAUUUCUAUUAUUUUUUUUAUUCAUUUCAUAAAUUAAAUAUAAACAUGCAAUAAAAUAUUGUGUUGGAUAUAAUAUCUAAAAUACCAUUAUCAUAUAAUAUCUUAAGAUUUGACCGGAUAUAAUCCGAGAGAUAUAUUAUGUCUUAUUUUGUUCUAUUCAACCAAUCAAACUUAAAUUACCUUUUUUUUUAAUGUUUUUAUCCAUCAAUUAAAUGCAUCCUCCAUAUUUUAUAUUGAUCUUACACAUGGAUAGGCAAAAUGGAACUAAUUAGGUUGCAUCAUAUAUGUAAUUUAAGUUUUAUCAUGUUAUACCCGAGUUCUUUAACUUUGUACCUCAAAUAUGAUUUUAAUACUUUGUACCUUGACCUCAUUCCCAUUACUAUUUUUAUUCAACGGUCCAAAUUUUAUCAUAAACUUUGAAUGACUUGAAUUUGAACUUCAAUAGGUGUCAAUUUUAUACCUUAGACUUUUUCGGACCUUAAAAACAUAAAAGAAAAAUAAAAUUUUAAAUAAUGAAUUUUAAGAAAAAUGAUGCAAUGAUGCCUUUUAUCUUAAUUUGAAAAAAAAGAAUGAAAUUGAAAGAGACAAAAAAAUUAAAAUAUAAAAAAGGAAAAUAGAAAAAUGAAAUUUAUUAUCAUUUUUUAUCAUCUUUUGUUUGGUCUUUUAUUUCUUCAAUUUUUUUUUUGUAUUUAAAUAUAAGAAAAUCACAUUCCUUAAUAUUAUUUUCUUAUUUCUUUAACAUUUAAAAAAAAAAUGAAACAUAUUCUUAUUAUUUGAAAAAUGAAUUCAAUUGAAUCUAAAUUAUUAAUUUUAUGGAGGAAAAUGAUAUGAUACCGACAUAUCAAGCACAAAAUCUAUGGUACGAAAAUAUAUUGUUAACUUUAAGCUCUUGAAUUAGGGUGCGAAAAAAUGCUUGAUUACAAAUGAUUUUAUAUGCAAUAUAAAAAAAAGAAAUCUAUUAUUAUUUUUAUUUAACCAUGCGAUGAUUAGCAUUCAUUUUUUUUUUUUAUAUGAAGUAAAAACAUGUAGAAUAGAAUGUGCGUGACAUUUAUUAAAUUAAUUCAAGAAAUGUACAUAUGUCAUUUUCAAAGUAGCCAAGUAAUUCAAAGAUGCCACCAUCCUUUCAUCAAACAAUUCAUAAGCUUUAAAUAUCCAAACUCUAUCGACCACACACCUAUCAAUUGCAAUAAAUACCUAACCCUUGUCAACACCUAAUUCAACCAACCACAAUAAACACCUAACCCUUGUAAGCCACUAAUUCAACCGAUUUCAAAUGCACUAAGAAUUAAUCCAAUAAAUUAUAUUCUAAAAAAAGUCAUUCAUUGGAUAAGAAAAAGAGACAUUUUUAACCAUGUACCCAUUGAAGAAAAAUGAUAGAAAGAUUAGAGUCCGAUAUAAUAUCGAAUAAAUAUAUAUCAAAAAGUAGGACUUAUUAUUUGAUUUUAUUGUUUUGUAUUUAAGUAUUCUAUUUCUUUAUAUCUUGAUAUCAUUUUUUAUACUUCCAUUUAUUCGUACUCUUUUAUAAUAAUUUAGAUUUUAUCAUAGAUUUUUAAUGAUCAAUAUUAAAAAUUUGGGAGGUAUUGAAUUUAUACCUUAAAAGUUCCUUUUAUUAAAUAUACAACAAGAGAUGAUAUAUAGAAGAUUAGAAAGUAAAUUAUUUUCAGAGAAUAUCACAAAAUUUUGAUACACAAAAUACAAAUUACUUGAAUAUAAAAUCCUAUCAAGGAUUAAUAUAAAUUUAUUAAACAAAAACUUCCAAGUUUAUGCUUUUACAUUCUUGAGGAAUUUAAUCUAUAUAUAUAUAUUGGCUUGAACAUUGACCUCGCAAUGGACUAAAUAUUUCACUUUGACAAAACUUUUUCGUGACCACUCAAUUAAUUAAGGAAAAGACACAAUUAAAAUGAAUAAACAAAAGAAAAAAAGAGUUGUGCGCCUUCUCCCCACCACACAAUCCGUACUUCCCAACAUGGGUUGGCAAAAUAUAAUAAGGACUUUUCCAUCACUUUCUAUUAAUAUAAAAGAAAAACAUAAAAAUUAAAGACUAUAUUUUGCUUUGAAAAUAUUAAAUAAAGGAAAAAAACUGUUAAAAAAAUAAUUUUAUUAUAUUUGACUUUAUUAUGAAAAAUAUAAUUAAAAUUAGUUAGAAAUUUAUAUAAGCGAUAUUUUUCCGAAAUAUGGCCGAAAUUUUUCGACAUUUCAAUCCUUGCUCUCCACCGCACAACUUCACGGUAAAGGGGACCCACCUUCUAAACUAUACCUAAGAGGCGCAAAUCUAAUGAAUAAAAUUUUAGAUCAUCUCCGGAAGACUUUUGUUAUUUUUUAACUUCUAUACUCCUUGCAGUUGUAGAAAACACAUCUUCUUUGGAUUAUCAUCUGGUAUCAUAGUCAAGUUGAUCAGAUGGUUAUCUCAAUCCAACCUACCAUCCCAUUUUUUGAAGGAAAGGGAUAUGAUACUUGGAGCAUAAAGAUGAGGACUCUUUUUAUCUCCGAAGAUCUGUGGGAGCUUGUGGAUAAGGGUUAUGUAGAAGAGGAAAUUCCAAGAGAUGCUAUGAGAGAUGUACGAAAGAAUGAUGCCAAGGCAUUGUUUUUUAUUCAACAAGCAAUCACAGAGAGUAUUUUUCCUCAAAUUUCAAAGGCAACGAAGUCUAAGGAAGCAUGGGACACUUUGCAAACAAAAUAUCAAAGCACAAGCCUGGUAUUAGUUACAAUGUAUUGAAUUUUUAGAUUCAGUCAAAUAAAGUAACAUAUACAUGUUUCCUACUAAUUUGUAAGAUUGGAAUGUGUUGUUGGAUUAAAGGGUUCUGACUACAACUUUAUAUUAAUGGGUUGUUGGAUAAUAUAUUUAGGAGUUUAUUUGAGUUUUUGUUGCUUAUUUAAUGGCAAGUAUGAUGGAUAAUAUUUGGGUUGAACUCAAUUAGAUUUCUUAUCUUUCAUCCUGAACUCUUUUUAAAUGCUUUAUUAUUUUUUUAACUUCUCUCUUCUAGCAAGGCAUCUUUUUCUUAUUAUUGUUAACGAUACAAUGACAUAAUAUAUCACUUCCAUUCAGCUCACUUUAGUUGAAUUCACUUUUAUUUGGGAGGAUUGAAGGACCUAAUAAAUACUUAGGAUAUGUUUGGUUCCAAAAGUAGGAAGAAAACAAAAACAAAAUAAAAUAAAAUAUUAAAUAAAAUUAUUUUCUCAUAUAUGGUUUUACUAUGAAAAAAUUAAAUAUAAUUAAAAAAUUAUUUAUUUUUAAUUUAUUUAACCUUUAUACAAAAUAGUUAAAAUAACUUAAAUGAGUUUGAAGUAAGUAGAAAUAUAAUUCAUUAAUUUUCAUACUAUUUUUUUAUUUUCAAUUGUUUCUUCUACUUUUCUUCUUUUCUUUACAUUUUCACUCAAAUUUCCUGGGUGCUUCUAACAACGGUGCAGAAUUACUGAAUUAACUCGUGUUCUGAUUUGAAUUAGGUUGCAGCUCAAGAUGGAGAUGGCAGCCAAACUGACAUCCCAGUCAUGGAUGACUCUGUGUAUGAGGCAGCAGCGAAGGGCGACAUUGACGUUCUGAAGAAAAUUCCAGAGUCCGAAUUUCAUGCCCAAUUAAGCCCAAAGCAUAACACAAUACUCCAUAUUGCAAGUGAAUUCGGUAAAAUAGAGUGUGUGAAUUGGAUCCUUGAUUUGCCUUCAUCUUCAUCUCUACUGCAACGCCCUAAUUUGAAUGAGGACACUCCCCUUCACCUUGCAGCAAGGCAAGGGCAUUUGGAGGUCGUGGAAGCUCUUAUAAAUGCUGCAAGAGAACCUACCCUAGAUAUUGAAACUGGGCCUGGACCACAUAAGGUUAUGCUGAGGAUGAAAAAUAAGGGGAAAGACACAGCCUUGCAUGAGGCAGUGCGAUAUAGGAAUUAUGGGGUGGUGAUGUUAUUGAUUGAGGAAGACCCCGAUUUUACCUAUGGUGCUAAUGAUUCAGGUAUCACUCCUCUUUACAUGGCUGUGGAGGGAGGAUUUACAGCCGCGGUGAAACUAAUCAUUGAGAAAAGUAGUACUUCGCCUUCUUACAAUGGCUUAAUGGGUAGAACUGCCUUGCACGCUGCUGUAAUAUGCAAUGACAUAGGUAGUAUGCUCACAACACUAAUGAUUAUGUUGUUUAUUUUGUUCAUUUGCUUAAUUUUCUUAAACUUUUUUUCCUUUCUCUAUUAAUCAGAAAUGACAAAGACAAUACUGGAAUGGAAGCCAGAUCUCACCAAAGAAGUAGAUAAGAAUGGAUGGUCUCCACUUCACUAUGCUGCAGAGAGAGGUUGUGAUCCAGAAAUAGUGAGGCUAUUGCUAGAAAAAUCAGAAAAGAGUGUAGCCUACCUUAGGAGCAAAGAUGGGAAGAAGACUGCCCUUCAUAUUGCAUCUUUCCACCAUCAUACAAAAAUAGUAGAGAAGAUCCUAUCUCACUCUCCUGGUUGUCGGGAGCAGGUUGAUGAUAAGGGCAAUAAUAUUUUUCACUUUGCCAUGAUGAAAGAGGGAGACGAUGAUUUUAACCCUAGUAGUUACUUCUUCAAUUAUUGGUUAAGGUCGAGAGGACUUGUAAAUGAGAAAAAUGCUCAAGGAAACACACCCAUCCACCUGCUCUCUCUUAAUCAAAUUUUAGAUUUUCGGUUUGUAUGGAAUUAUAAAGUGGAUAAGAAGGCGUACAACAAUGAAGACUUGACAGCUUAUGACAUAAUUUUGAGGGACAAAGAGGACAUUUCCGAGGAAAAGGUAAGACUCCCACAUAACUUCAAUUAUAUGUUUAUUGGCAAAUGCUAGUUUAAUUUACCCCGUUUCUCAUUUCUUUGAGCUGUGUUAUGUUUUGUUAUUUUUGGUAUGUUUGGAUUCCUUCAACCUAAACUUACCAUCCUUUCAGUCAUAGCCAAUCGAUUCAUGUUGGGAAUAAGAUCCAUCGCAUAAGCGUUAGCUAGUUUCUUAUUUUCUUGUCUCCAAAGUUUCAGGAUGGGAUAAUAGAGAAGGAAAAGAAAGAAAUAGAGGAAAAAAAUUACAAAAUGUUUAUUUCUUUUCAUUGUUCAUUGAGAAAUUAAGCAAAAGAAAUUUAAAUUUAAGAGGAAUGUACUUAGCAUAAACUUUUUUUUUUCAUAAAAAAAAAAGGGAAAUGAGAAAAAAAAUUGUUAGUAUCUUUUAUUUAGUAAUUUUUUUCUAAUCAUUUUUUCACUUGUAUCCAAAUGUUGAAAAAAGAAAAAAAAAACCAUCUUUCUUAAUUUUUUUUUUCCAUUACUUUCCAAAAUCAAAUGUAGUUUAAGAUUAAUUUGAGGAAAAGAAAAGGAAAAAGAGAAGAAAAUAAAAAGAUAAUAACAAUUUAUAAAAUUUUCUUUUAUUUUAUUGUUCAUAAAAAAAUUGAGAAAAAAAUUUAAAUUGUUGAGAAAUGCACUCUUUCCAAAUUUUUUCCAAUUUUUCUAAGGAAAAUAUUUUAUUUUUUCCAUUUUAUUUUAUUUUUUUAUAUUUCAUGAAUUCUUCUCAUACUAUAUUUAGUUUAUGAAAAACACUAAGGCUCUAUUUAUUUCAUUGUAAUUUUUUUUUCUAUUUUCUUUUCUUAAAAUUCUCCCUUAUGGUUUCUUUAAGAAAUAAACAUAGCCUUAUAAUUUGUUUUAGCUUUUUCUUUUUUUAUGACUAAAAAUAGUUUUAAGAUUUCUCAAGAACAUCAAGAAAACAUUUUUUCUUUUCCACAUUUUAAUUAUUUUUACCACAUUUUAAAGCAGUAGAAGGUGAAUAAGAUAAAGAGUUAAUAAAAUUUUAUUUUGCCUUUUCUUUUUCUUUUUAUCCUCAUGGAAUUAUUACCUAUACCUCCUAGAUGCAAAAAUAUGGUAAAACUAAAGGACGAUUCUUUUGUUUAUCUUUGUUGUUGAGAUCAUUGCAAAACAUGCGUUCCAAAACUUAUGAGGGUUAAAAAAUAAAAAUAAUUAAAAAUGAAAGGAAAGUUAGAACAUUUUUCCUUGUUUCUAAAUUAAUUGGAUUUAUUGAAUAAUUUAUGUUGAUGUUCAGAUUAAAAUGAAUUGGCACUCAUCAUCCUAUUUUUAUUAAGAAGUUUAGAUUAACCCCAAAUCUCUAGGAAUAAAUAAGCUUGAUUUGAUGUAUUUAAUUAAAGGUUGGUUAAGUUUGAUUGAUUUAUCACUUGUAUCAGAUUUUCAUUCAGCUUGUUUACCCACCAACGAGUGACUGAAUGUGAAAAAAGUGGAUUCAUCAAUUGAAUUAAAUUUAAAUGUUCCUCACAUCUGAUUUCAGGAUCGCAUCCAAUCUUGGUUGGAGGCUGUUACGACUGGACGUAUUUCUUCGUUUUGGGAGAAGGAAACUAAGAGACAGGAGAUAGAGCAAGAAAGGAAAGAAUACAUCUCUCAAUUACAAAAACAAGGGGAAACCCAUUUGAUAGUUUCUGCGCUUAUAACAACAGUAACUUUUGCUGCGGGUUUCACCUUGCCCGGUGGUUACAAAGAGGAUGAUGGCCAGGCAAUUUUAUCAAAGAAAGCAGCCUUUAGAGCAUUUGUUGUGACGGAUACCAUAGCCAUGGUAUCUUCACUAUGCGCCGUAUUUCUUCACUUUUUGAUGACCCUGCACAAACGUGGGAAGUUCCUUGAAAAACAUUUACUUUGGGCCUUUAGUUUGACCAUGGUUGGGAUGGGAGCAAUGGCCAUCGCUUUCGCAACCGGCUUGUACGCUGUUUUACCGCAUUCCUCGGGCCUUUCAGUUCUCACUUGCAUCCUCUGCUCUUGCUUUUUCCUCUCCAUUGCAGUUGAAUAUUGUAAAUUUUGGAGAGGUACGAUUUCGGAAUGGAUGUUUGGAUGAGCUAUUUUCUGAGAGGAGAGAGAGAACCGGGUCUGAGCUAACUGAUAUCCGAAGCAAGGAAAGCUGAAAGUAGGGAAUCAAAAUGUACUCAUUUGAAUGGGAAUUAUAUUUUAAAUCUGGGUGGAGUAUUGAACUCAUUUGUCAAUGGAUACAAUUGUGAAUACGAAUAAUGUUAGUAUUGGAAUUCAACGAGAUUUUUUAAUCUACACUAUGCAAUAUUUUAUGAAUUGGGGUUGGACUGGGCUGGCCCAACCAGGAAAUAUCUUCCGCGUUCACAAUUUUUAUAAGUUUAUAUUGAUGAAUGAUGAUGUCAAUUUUUAAUUAUUUUUUUCUAUUAUUGAUUCACAUCACUAAAAUCAAAUUUGUUAUAAACUGUUUUUGAUAAAUUUAUAUUAAUGAUAUCAUUUUUUUUUAUAAACUGUUUUUUCCAUUCAAUUAAAAUUAUUAUUUUUUUGUAUAAUUUCAUUAUGUAUAAAUUAUAUUUGAUGCAUUCAUUUUUUUUUUUUUUUUUUGUGAACUGAUUUUUUAUCCAUGGAUGUCAGUGUAUAAGAUUGGCAGUCAGAAUUUAAUUUCAUGAAUCAAUUCUUAUAAAAUUGAUACUACUAAAGUUAGAAUUGAUUAUUAUGAUCUUUAUUUUAUUUUUAAAAUUGAUUCUAAUAAAAUUGAGAUUAAAAAAUUAGAACUUUAUUCUGUAAAUUAUUUUUUAUAAAAUUUGAAGUGUUGUCUUGGAUUAUAACAAAAGACUUUUUUGGGUGUCUAGCACUUGAAUUGAGAUUACCAUGGCUUAUUUGAGUGUCUAGUCAUUGCGCUGGGAGUGAUUUGAAACAUGAACCUCAUGAUGGAAAAGUAAGAGAUAAGCCACCGAGCAAUAUAUCACAUUACUAAAUAUUUCUGUAUAAUCCUAUAAUGAUUUUUUUCCAACGUUUAUUUUUAUAAUAAUAGGUAUGAAAUUAUAUAAAUUGAUUUUUAAAAUUUUAAAUUAAUAAAAUAUGUGGAUAUAUAGAUAAAAUUAAAUAUUAUAAUUUUUUUUAUCUUAAAUAUCUUUAAACUUAAAUAUUAUAUAUAUUAUAUUUAAUAAAAUUUAAAAUAUUAAUAUAUUUAUACUUAUUUUUAUGAUUCAAUUUAACAUAUUAUAUAUAAAAAAUAAAUUAUUAUUAAAUUUUUAAUUGUUUAUUUUAAAUUUUAUAUAAUAUAUAUAUUAUAUAUUUAUGAUAUAAUUGAUUUGAUCAUUAGUCAACCAUGAAUUUGACUAUUGAAUUAUGAAUUAGUGUCUUUUUUAAGUCAAUAAAUGGUUCAUUUCUAAAAACAUUGUUAACACUUUUUUAUCGGGUGAAUUAAUCAAGAAAUUUAUUCUUGGCUCUUACACUUUGACCUUUUUAAGGUAUUCAGUUUAUUUUUUUUUUUGGUACUUAAACCAUUAAUGUAUUUUUUUUCUUUUUUCUUUUUUUAAAAUAAUUAGUAAUUACUUCAAAUAAAUAAAUAAUAAUUUUCAAAUAAAAAUACAAAUAAAAAGGUGUGCAACCAUCUUUUGGGUGAAGGUUAAGUCACAUACUCACAUAUCAAAAAAGUAAACUCAAAUGUUAGUGCAUUGAAAACAUGUCAACUUAAUAUGCAAUCAAUGAAAAGAACAUUCUGUUAGACCUAAAAUCUAAAAAUCAAUAAUAUUAAUAGUAAAUCAAUUUUUAUAUUAAUAAAAAAGAACAUGGGUUAGAAAAAGUUUGAUUCGGAAUUUUGAGACAUAAAUGUGCUUCCAUAAGAGAAAAUAUGCCACUUCUACAUAGAGUUAAUUGAUCCUCUUCUACCAAAAUAUGAUAAUCUUGUUAUAUAAAUUUGACUUUAAUCAAAUAAGAUCAUUUCACACAAUAGUAGUUUUUUCUAUCAAUAACUUCACACAACUUAUCUAACUUAGAAGAAUCAAGUAAGAGCGACAAAUGUAGGUAUACUAGAAUCUCAUCUUCUUGUAAAAAAUCUCACCUAUUCUUCAUGUUUAGAAAAAGAUAAAGAUACAAAAUUAGUAAAAUAAUAAAAUAAGAAAAUAAAAUGAAUAAUUAUAAAUUUUAAAUUAAAUAUAACACUUUAACCAUUUUUUUUUGGUAUGGAUAAUUUUGUCUACUUCACGCUAAUUUGCUUUCAUUGUGCCUUGUUGCUGGUUUGAUUUUGUAUAAGAGUGAUACUAUCAUUUCAAAUAGAAGUUGAUAAUGAAUAUGCUUAGGGAUGAUAAUGGGUUAAGCUUAGAGGAUAAUCCGCCCCGCCCCGCCCCGCCGUACCCCGCCUCCCCCUUAUUGGAAUGGGUAUGGAAGGCUUUUAUUCAAGUUCGAGAUGGGUUUGGAGAAGCUUUUGAAUACUUGGAUCAGAUAUGGGACGGGUUUGGUUUUACUACGCCCUACCUCACCCUGCCGCGUUUACCAACAUAAUGCGUGCCCUCCACCAUAUACCAUAUUACACAUUCCUUAAAAAGUCAUGUGUAUAAAGUAUCUUUGAAACCUAGUUUUCCACUGCUUCUCUUACUCUUAUUCUGUGAAGCUCCCAAUGACGCUAUCAUGUGUACUGUUGAUGCUGUCCAACGAUGUUACCAUCAAGCUAUUCUUCUGCAUCCCACAAGCUUCGUCACAAAAGAAGACAUCAUCUUCUAGACACACCACUGCAAACCCUAGAUGCACUUCUAGUGUUGAUCUCUGAAGCUCCAUUUUUGAGAAUCGUAGAAAAAAAAUUGAUGGGAUUUGAUUGGUUAACAAGAAAAUUGAAGGGAAAAGAAUUGUAUGUUGGGAUUGUGGGAUGGGUUGUUUUAAUUUUGCAUAUUCCUUUCUGGCUUGUUUUACCAUUUUUCCCAAACUGCACCUGGUCAUUAAAGAGAAUUGUUCAAUACUUCAACUAAAUCUCUCUAUUUUUUUUUUCCAAAUAGAUCUUACAUGUCAAAUGAUAAAAAUACUUUCUUCUUCCACCUCCCAACCCUCCUCAUUCAUCCAAGCAACCCUAUUUCAUCUCUUUUUUAUCCUCUUUUCUUUUCUUUCCUUCAUUUUCUUUAAUCUCCAUCUUUUAUUUCCUUUCAUCUUCUUUCCCAAAGUUGUUAUAACAGUAGUAGUUUUUCAGCUCAGCACACUCCAUGUAUUUUUUUCUCAUUUCCAAAUAAAUAAUUUGUAUAAAAUUAUGUAAUGUAAGUUGUAGAUCUUUUAUAUUUUAAAAAAAUUUCCAAUAAUUUCAAUCUCAAACACUUUAAUAUAAUAAAAUAAUAAAUCAUAUUUUAUAUGCUCAAGAUGAAGUUUAAAUAAAACUUGUUUUAAUUGGUGAGAGUAUGUGUGCAGGCGUGUUGUGCAAGUAUGUGUGCAGGCGUGUUGUGCAAAAACUCCUAUAUAUAUAUAUGUAAGGGAAAUUUGGAACUUUCAAACAUCGCAUUCUCCAUAAAAAUUUCUUACUUUUAUUGAGCAAAAAGGAAAAAAAAAAAUGGUGUGCAUGGCCAUGCUUAAUAUUAAUUUCGUUUUAAUUGUUUCUUUACAUUUUUCUAAUUUUCAUAUUUGUUCACUUCUUAGCACCUUAUCAUGAUUAGAAAAGAAGUAAAAUUAAUGAACAUUUACCAAAACUCUUGCAAUUGUUUACGUCUUAGACUUCAGUAUUGCUCAUCCAUUCUCAGUAGUUAAGAAUGUAAUAGCAAAGGUUAGAACUGACCCUUUCGGUCUACAUGAUGAUAUCUAGGAAACACCAUGACCUGGGAAGAUACAACGCAUCCCAUAUGGUUGUACGGUUACUGCAGUUUUCCUCCAAGACAUGCAGUCUUGAAGGCUACAAUAGUAAGGAAAUCUCAGAGCUUAUUGGAAGCAGAGGGGUGGAAACUUGUGAAGAUAGGCUCCUUAGUAUUCAUAUUUACGGACAAAGUUUCCCAUUCCAAGACAUGCUGAGUGCUGUUUGCUUUUAUCAAUUUGCUAUUGCUUAUCAAAGAUCAAAGACUGUUGUUGCCAUUGUUUCUUUAGUGCAUUACCAUAAACCAUCAAAAACAGGAAGAUGUAUUUUCUUUUCAAAAAUUUAGGCCACCAUCAGCCACAGCAGUCCAAAGCUCCAUCACAUCCUUCCUUGCACGGAACAACAAAAAGCAAGCUCCAUCAUAUCCUUGCUUGCAUGGAACAAUAAGCAACAUUUUCAUAAUUGGUGAUUGAACCAAAAUAGUUGUCAAUUCAAUGAUCGGACUGAUGGUUGAAUUGUGACUAUAGUCAAACUGAUGAUGUUAUAAAUAUAUAAUUUAUGUAUUAUUAAAAUUAAAAAUAAUUAUAUGAAAUUUGAAGAAAUUUAAAAUUUAAAAAUUAUAAAUAAGAUGUGUAAAUAAAAUUAAUGCAAUGAAAGUUUAGAUGGAUGCAUUAACAUUUCCCCAAAACUAAUCUUUAAACUAUUUCCAACUUCUAAUGUGAUGAUAAUUUCUUGUCCUUUAAGAAAAUCUUCUUAAAGGGUUUUUUUCUUAAUUUAAUGAGCAUUGUAUUCUUUUCUUCUACAAACUUUAGUCUUCUUAAUUUAUGGAUGAAUUUCUUGAUGGAUAAUAUUUUUGUGUUUUUUUCCUCGGAGUACAUGAAAUUGAAUCCCCACCCAAGGAAGGUCCGUUCCCAGAAUCCAAGCCUCGAGAAAAACACUCUCUCGCACCACUGGGUUUACUCUAACCCCUUUGGCAAGGCCAAGUCCAUCUAACCCCUUUCUGAUUAGGAUUUCUGUGGCUCAAGGAGGUUGAUUUCCUCCUUAUCUUGAUUGAAUGGCUCCAUGAAUGGUUUGAGACGAUGGCCAUUGACUUUAAAGGUGUCUAUUGUUGGAAUUCAGUAAUUCCACCAUUCCAUUGAGAUGCACUUGGUGAAUAAUGAAAGAGUCUAUCCACCUUGACUUCAGCUUCCCAGGAAAGAUAUGGAGCCUAGAGUCAUAGAGUAAGACUCUUUGUCAUUUCCGGAAUUCUUUGUUGGAGAUUAACUGAUCAUGCCACCUCUUCAUCCUCUGUUUUGCAACUUUGGAAUUGAUGUAGGCAUCAUUUCUUAAUUCCUCCAUCUGAUAAGGUCUAAGCACCUCUUUGCCUUGGCUCUGAUCAAGUCCAUGUUUUUCAAGAAAGUAAUACACAGAGCUUUGCUCUGCCUUAUCUUCUCAUUUUGUUUUCUCGUUAUUUUGAUUUCUAGCAAAUCAAACUCUGAGGAUGUUUUCCUAGAAGAUGAGUGGCUAGGCUUUUUGUUUCUUGGAGUGAAGGAAGCUAGGUAAGGUUCCAGAUGCAAAAUUUGAAGUUUUGUUGUUUCGGUUUUUAAUGAAGAGAAAGUGUGAUCCGUUAAUGGUUUUUAUCUUUUUAGUUAACUUAAAAUCCCUUAAAAUCACUUGGUCCAACACUUGGUAAGGCAAGUGGUCUCCGUCCAUUGAGAUACACUAGUUUAUCUCUUGCAAGCCUCUAAGAGGUGGUUUAAAUGUAGGAUUAUCUAGAAUAGCCAACACUUGGUAAGUUUGUGGACUCCUAGGAGACAUCCAUUAGUUAUCUCUUGUGAGCUUUUGACGGGUAAUCCAAGGUUAAAGAUCACCUUAAAUGACCAAUACUAGGUGAGAGGUAUGAACCAUUGCAAGAUGAUUCAGGGAUUUAGUGUUUGAACCCAUUAAGGGCAAACAUCUGUACCUCACCGGUUUGAGAAAUAACUAUAUGUUAGAUCCCCAAUACGAGGAAAAGAUUCAAGUGACCAGAACUCCCUUUUUGUAUGACGAAUCUGAGCCUAGUGAUAUAAAACUCCAAGAAACACUUUUCUUUGUAAGUAAUUUCCGUUACUUUAUUAUUGGUUUCACUUAAAACCAACAUUUUCAAACAUAUUUAUGUUUUCUUUUAAAGCUAACCUUGAAAAGAAAAAACACUAAUUUAGUUUUUGAACUAAUAUUAGUUGUAAUUUGAAAACCCAUCCCUGUGGACGAUCUUAGAGUCACUAUGCUAUGCUUGCUAAUGCUACCCUAGUAUAUGGUGAAAUAGGUUUAUAAAUUUUGUUGAUCACUCCCGUCUAAGGACAGAAAUCAGAGUACAUCAAUUGAUUGAACACCAAUUUUUUCCACUUUUUCUAAGGAAAAUAUUUUAUUUUUUCCAUUUUUUUUUUAUAUUUCAUGAAUUCUUCUCAUACUAUAUUUAGUUCAUGAAAAACACUAAGGCUAUGCUUAUUUCAUUGUAUUUUUUUUUUCUAUUUUCUUCUCUUAAAAUUCUCCCUUAUGGUUUCUUUAAGAAAUAAACAUAGCCUUAUAAUUUGUUUUCGCUUUUUCUUUUUUUAUGACUAAAAUAGUUUUAAGAUUUCUCAAGAACCAAACAUAACAUCAAGAAAACAUUUUUUCUUUUCCACAUUUUAAUUAUUUUUACCACAUUUUAAAGCAGUAGAAGGUGAAUAGGAUAAAGAGUUAAUAAAAUUUUAUUUUGCCUUUUCUUUUUCUUUUUAUCCUCAUGGAAUUAUUACCUAUACCUCCUAGAUGAAAAAAUAUGGUAAAACUAAAGGACGAUUCUUUUGUUUAUCUUUGUUGUUGAGAUCAUUGCAAAACAUGCAUUCCAAAACUUAUAAGAGUUAAAAAAUAAAAAUAAUUAAAAAUGAAAGGAAAGUUAGAACAUUUUUCCUUGUUUCUAAAUUAAUUGGAUUUAUUGAAUAAUUAAAUGAAUUGGCACUCAUCAUCCUAUUUUUAUUAAGAAGUUUAGAUUAACCCCGAAUCUCUAGGAAUAAAUAAGCUUGAUUUGAUGUAUUUAAUUAAAGGUUGGUUAAGUUUGAUUGAUUUAUCACUUGUAUCAGAUUUCCAUUCAGCUGUUUACCCACCAUUGAGUGAAUGUGAAAAAAAUGGAUUCAUCAAUUGAAUUAAAUUUAAAUGUUCCUCACAUCUGAUUUCAGGAUGAGAUCCAAUUUUGGUUCGAGCUUGUCAUGCCUGAAACUCGUUCUGUGUUUAGGAAGAAGGUAACUAAGAGACGGGAGAGAAAGAAAGAAAGGAAAGAAUACAUUUCUCAAUUACAAAAACAAGGGGAAACCCAUUUGAUAGUUUCUGCGCUUAUAACAACAGUAACUUUUGCUGCGGGUUUCACCUUACCCGGUGGUUACAAAGAGGAUGAUGGCAAGGCAAUUUUAUCAAAGAAAGCAGCCUUUAGAGCAUUUGUUGUGACGGAUACCAUAGCCAUGGUAUCUUCACUAUGCGCCGUAUUUCUUCACUUUUUUAUGACCCUGCACAAACGUGGGAAGUUCCUUGAAAAACACUUACUUUGGGCCUUUAUUUUCACCAGGGUUGGGAUGGGAGCAAUGGCCAUCGCUUUCGCAACUGGCUUGUACGCUGUUUUACCGCAUUCAUCUGGCCUUUCAGUUCUCACUUGCAUCCUCUGCUCUUGCUUUUUCCUCUCCAUUGCAGUUGAAUAUUGUAAAUUUUGGAGAGGUACGAUUUCGGACAUGCUAGGCAAACUAAUCGCUGGAGAAGCUGAAUGGGGGGAAUAAAAAGAAAAGAAAAUGCAGAUGUGUAGAUGAGGGCUCCCAAAUCGAUCUUUGAAUGAGCUAUUUCAUUUUCUGAGAGGAGAGAGAACCGGCUCUGAGCUAACUGAUAUCGGAAGCAAGGAAAGCUGAAAGUCGGGAAUCAAAAUAUGCUCAUUUGAAUGGGAAUUAUAUUUUAAAUCUGGGUGGAGUAUUGAACUCAUUUGUCAAUGGAUACAAUUGUGAAUACCAAUAAUGUUAGUAUUGGAAUUCAACGAGAUUUUUUAUGAAUUGGGGUUGGACUGGGCCGGCCCAACCUGGAAAUAUCUUCCAAAUAGAUGUGGAAGGCAGAGCUGUAUAAGUUUGUAUUGAUGAAUGAUGAUGUCAAUUUUUAAUUUUUUUUUUCUAUUAUUGAUUCACAUCACUAAAAUCAAAUUUGUUAUAAACUGUUUUUGAUAAAUUUAUAUUAAUGAUAUCAUUUUAUUUUUUUUAUAAACUGUUUUUGCCAUUCAAUUAAAAUUAUUUUUUGUAUCAUUUCAUUAUGUAUAAGAUUGGCAGUCAGAAUUUAAUUUCAUGACUCAAUUCUUAUAAAAUUGAUAUUACUAAAGUUAGAAUUGAUUAUUAUCAGCUUAAUUUUAUUUUUAAAAUUGAGAUUAAAAAUAAAAAAUUUGGAUCUUUCUUAAUUCCUUCAAGACUAAUUUUCAUUCUUUUUUUCCCUUUUCUUUUUAAACUUUUCUUUUUCUGAAGAUUAUUUUCUCAAGUGAUGAUUUACUUCACUGCAUUGUCCUCGUUCCAUCAUCAUCAUUUUGGUGGUGGUGAUGGUUGUAAUGGUUGGAAAAUGAAUAGGCAAAUGGUUAUUCAACAAGAAAAUCCUCUCGGAAUUUAGUCUUUGAAUAUGAUUAGUUAUGUCCAAAAGCACAUGUUUGAGAACUAUUUGCUGAAAUUGACAUUUUCAACGAAUCUUGCACUUAAAAGUCCAUGUCAAAUUUCGUCUUACUUUUACAUGUAGUAGAAGUUGUCUCUGAGCCGUUGUAAAAGGAUGCCAAAUUCUUUGAGAAUUGGUUUCUUUAGAUUUCAAUUUCAGGAUUCCGAUCUAGAACUUCUACAUGAUUUUCUCAUAGCAUCCCUCUGAAAAUUGAGGAAAUGGGAAUUAAAAUGUAAGUUUGAACUAAAGAUUUGAGCUAUUCAAGAAUCAAACAUUGAGGCACUUGUUUAACUUUUGUCAGCGGUCAAUAUACUCUGUUUCGUGUCGAAGGAAGAGAUUACAUUUGGAUUUGGGUGCAUUGACAAGUCCCAGACUAUGUAUAUCAAUAUACUUUGGGUUCCAUGGGCCGCCUACAAAAAAGAAAUCAUAGGUUUUGGGAUAGAAUACCAAAGGUAAGUGCCAAAUGAAGUGUUUUUUUUUCCCUUCUUUAUUACAAAGAAGGUCAUGAUUUCUUUCUUAAAACAGGUUUGCAGGAAUGGCAAGGGGAAGGAGGUUGUGUCAGAUAGGGUAUGCAUUUUAGAGGUGCAAGUUAUUGAAGUUUUUGGGAUUUGACUCCUCUUUGUGACACUAUUAUUUCCCUCAGAUUGUUCUUUAGAUGCAUGCAAUGUCAACAGUUUCAAUAUGAAAUUCAUGGCUGAUAAAAGGCCCUCCCUUAUAUCGGCUGUGGAUUUUAAAGCCACAUGACAUGCACUCAUGCUGUGGCACGACCUGUCGAGAUAAUCGAGGCAAGGGAUACUUGAGUACAUUUUAAGAAAAUGGAAUUGUCUUACGCAAUUUGAUCUGUUCCAAAGGAUUUUAUAGGAAGGGAAGCCUGGAGUGGGAUCAAACCAUGGCUUAAAUCCUCUGCUCCCUCUUUCCUACACCAUUUACAAAGACAUUGGUCUGUGGAUGAUGUGGGUCUUGUUCUCUAGAUUGCCCAAAAGCUCAAAAUCCAACUCAAAACAAUUUACAUUAGAAAUCAACACCGGAAUGAGUCUUUUCAUGUUACUCUUUGUUUUAGUCACACACUCAUCUUACAUAGAAAGCUGUCACAACCCUCCCUGCAGAGUUACUCCCAGGUAGCAUUAAUUGCAUGUGGAAAAACCCAACCCACAUCCAAAAGUCUCCAGCGAUGAUUCAAAGGCCCACCCUGUUUACCAUAAAGCAAUUACGGUUAAGACUCUAGAUAUAGAAACCCUUGAUAAGUUUGUUAUGGUGGUAGUAGAAAGAGAAAUAAAGUUGAACGAAAUGAGCAGAGGCAUGGUCGAGAACAAUGUUUUUGAAACUGGAUUAUUUAUUGAAUUGAAAAAAUUACGGGUUUAUGGUUUAGUGGUCAAAUCGGUCAUUGAACCGAGUUUAAACCGGUGAGGUCAUAACUAUAUAAUUUAUAUAUUAAAAAAUAAAUUAAAAAAUUUUAAUGUAAAGAAAUAAAAUAUAAUAAUAUUUAUUUUUCACCUUUGAUAUUAUUAAACUUAAAUCAUGAAUAAAUAUAAAUGUAUUAAUAUUUUAUUUUAUUUAAAUAAAAUAUGUAUAAUCUUUAAAUGUGAAGAAAUAUAUUAAAAUAGAAGAAAAUUCUUUUAUUUAUAUUAUAUUAUUUUCUUAUAUUAAAAAAUUUAAAAUAAUUAUGUUGAUUUAGUUUAUUUUGAAAUUUUAAAUAACAACCAUUAGUAGUAAAGUGGUUAUAGUCCUGACAUGUGAAUUUUAUGGAUUUUUUAAAACUCAUCCCACAUAGGAAGUUGAUAAGGAUGAGAAUGCCUUUAACUGUCCAUUUCAUGAUAUAAUAAGCAUGCAAGAGGGCUCAAGACAGAUCCUUGUCCUGGUCUUAUUAAUUGGGUUGGGCUUCCACCCAAUCUUUUGUUGAGAAGUAAAAAAUGCCAACCUUGAACCAAUGGUUCAAAACUAGUUCAAUGUGUACUUUUGCCCAAAGGCUAUAGAUUGAACCGUGCCAAGCUUUGGUCAAUGGUUGGACCAAUCAAACUAGUUGGUCCAGUCGGAACUUUGUAUAUUUUCUCAAAGGUAGGGCCGCUUUGGGUAUUUGCAAGUAUUGUCUCAUCUAAAACUAAUGGUUAGAAACUCAAUAAAUAACUUGACUCUCUUUUUGUAUAUAUUAUUUUUUGAAAACUAUACUUGCACCUAAAUCAAAAUAUAUCAUCAUCAAUUAUACAAUAUCAUAUAUAUAUAUAUAUAUAUAUAUAUAUAUAUAUAUAUAUAUAUAUAUAUAUAUAUACAUAUUUAAUUGGACUUCUUAUUAUCUUAAUAUCAUAUAUUUAGAGCUCAUUUAAUUGUGUGAUUUAAAAAUAGUUUUUAGUUAUUAAAAAUAAAAAAUUGUUUUUAAUAUCAUUUGACGGUUGUUCUCUGAAAAUGAUUUUUAAAAAUAAAAUGAAAUAAAGAACAAUUUUUAGGAAACAAAUAAAGUUAUUUUCAUAAAUUUUAAAAAAUAAAAAUAAAAUAUGAGUUCGUUUAAUCAUGUUUUUUAAAAUUUGUUUUUAAGUUAAAGAAUAAAAAUAGUUUUUAAAAACAAAUUUAAAAAACAUGGUAAAAAAAGACUGUUAUACUCUCAUUCAAAUGAUCAAGAUUUUGACUUCAGUUUCAUAUGUUGGUAUAUUAAAAAAUUUCUAUAUUAAACAAUUUGGAUAUGAAUCAUAUGAUACUAUAAGUUGGUGCCAUGAAUGUUUCCUGAAAAACAAGAAAGGAAGAAGGGGGGAAGCCCGGAAAGGUGCGGUGGUGGGUGUGAUGAGAAAAGCGAUGAUAUGAUAUAAUUUUUUGUAUUGCAUCAAAGUUUUCAAUAAAGUUUUAAGCAACCAUGAGAGUUGUUCAUCAUGUACCUAACACUUUGGACGGACGAGAUGAUGGCACCUUUUUGACUUCUAUUUCAUGUCACGUGCCUCGAAUAAUGUUAAAAAGCAAAAAAAUUAAAUAUAUACAUAUUUUAUAUUAUUCCAUAAAGUUGUGUUGAAAAUAUCAAUAUAUGUUAUUUAAAUUAUUCCUUAUUUUAUAUUUUUCUAAAACUCAAUAAAUAAUUUUUUGUAAUGGUAUUUCUCAAAAAGUUUAAACUCCUUAAUUUCAAAUAUUAUUUUUCUAACCAUAAAUCAUCUUUGAAAUAAAUAUUUUAAAAAUGAUAGUUUGAUUUAUCAUUUAAAUGUAAGUGUUUUAUAUAAAUUAUUUUAAAUUAACAUAAAAACUUUUUAGUUAUUAUUUGUUAAAAUUUUCGUAUUCUUUCAAAAGAGUAAAAAGUUCAUGUUAUUAAUUGUAAUUUUUUUUUUUCCUAUUAUUGUGCUUUUUAUAUAAUAAUUUUUUAAAAUUGCAUGAAUAAAAAAAUAUUUAAAUAUAAAAUCUUAUAAAAUAAAAAUAAAAAUUUAUUAAACAACAAAUAUGAAUUUUUUUGCUUUUAUAUUCUUUAUUAUUUAAAGUUUGUUUAUAUAGUUAUUGCACCAACAUUGGCUGACCAUGGAUUGAGCAAAACAUUUCCAAUAACCACUCAAUUAAUAUAAAGGAAAAAGAAAUCUAAAGAAGAGAUAAGAGAAAAGACUGGAGCACAUCCUCUCCACCACAAAGCUAAUAAGCAUCUUAUUCAAACAUAAGUUUGUCUUAUCAUAUCCGACGUCAUCAUCCAACCAAGGAAAUACAUUAUUAUUAUUAUUUUUUUAUUAAAAAAAAUAGAAAUUAAAGAAGAGACAUAAGGAAAUCACAUUCUUUAAUAUUAUAUUAUUAUUUCUUUAAUAUUUUUUAGAAAUGAAAUAUAUUCUUAUUAUUUGAAAAAUGAAUUCAAUUGAGUCUAAAUUCUUAAAUUUAUAAAGAAAAAUAGUAUGAUAUUGGAUAGGUAUUAUAUCAAGCUAAAAAUUUGGAUUCUUAAAACAUAUGAUUAAGUUUGAACUUUUGAAUAAGGUGGCCAACAAAAAAAUCAUAUAUAAUAUUAAAAAAAAAUUGAAAUGAAACUACAAAACAAUUUAAUCAUGAUUAUUAUUUUUGUUUAUCAAUGUGAUGAUUACCAUUUUUUGAUGUGACGUGAAAUUUCAAUGGGAGAAUUAUGUUUUGACGGGCCAAUUUGGGAAUAAUAACAUUUUCGGAACCGAACUUUCCAUAAUGCAAGAUAUGUCCACUGUUUGGAAAAAUAUUAAAGGAAACAUGCAUUCUGGCCUGAGGUGUUAUUUCAUACCGAAAAUACCCCUCCAUUGUUCAUCGUCCCUGUGAAAGGUCCCGAUAUUUCCUACCAGCCCACGCAAGAUGCAAAAUCUGUCCGAUAUUUUUUUUUUUUUUUAAAAAAAAAUUUGCAGGCAAAGGUUGGAUUUUUCAGCAUGGCUCAAAAAUCGUGGAUUUAGGGUUUGUGAAAUUUAAAUCCAAUGGCCCAAAAUCAAAGAGACCCCUAGAUCAGAUCAAGAAAACACAUGGAGGAAAAAAAAAGCACUUUUUUUUUUGUUUUUCUUGGGGAUUUUGCAUGGAUUUUGUCGGAAAUCAAACGAGGAUGGAUUUUCUCGGAAAUCAAACGAGGAUGAACUUUCCCGGAAAUCGAAUGGGGGAUGGAUUUUCUUGGGAAUCAAACGGGGGUUGCAAAAAAAAAAAAUAAUAACUUAGAUUAGAUUAGUACCUGCGAGGAUUGAGAAUGGCAGAGGAAAAAAUAGGGCUUUUUUUAGGGAUUCUCUCGUCUGGAGGCCAACUUCAGAGAAGGGCCUCGGAAAUCAAACGAGGAUGGAUUUUCCCGAAAAUCGAAUGGGGGUGGAUCUUGGGAAUCAAACGGGGGUUGCAAAAAAAAUAAAUAAUAACUUAUUAGAUUGGUACCUGCGAGGAUUGAGAAUGGCAGAGGAAAAAAUAGGGCUUUUUUAGGGAUUCUCUCGUCUGGAGGCCAACUUCAGAAAAGGGCCUCGGAAAUCAAACGAGGAUGGAUUUUCCCGGAAAUCGAAUGGGGGUGGAUUUUCUUGGGAAUCAAACGGGGGUUGCAAAAAUAAUAAUAAUAACUUGAUUAGAUUAGUAUCUGCGAGGAUUGAGAAUGGCAGAGGAAAAAAUAGGGCUUUUUUAGGGAUUCUCUCGUCUGGAGGCCAACUUCAGAAAAGGGCUCCUUGAUGCCCGAGUGAGAGACGGUGUCGUGAGAGACGGUGGCUGCUGACAGGACAACUAAAGGGCAAUUUUGGAAUAGCAUUUUAAAACAGUAGAUAGUGCAUGUUUCCUUUAAUAUUUUUCCAAACAGUGGACAUAUCUUGGAUUAUGGAAAGUUGGGUUUCGAAAAUGUUAUUAUUCCCAAAUUGGCCCAUCAAAAUAUAAUUCUCCCAAUUUCAAUCCUUGCUCUCCACCACACAAGUUCACGGUAGAGGGGACCACCUUCUAAGCUAUACCUAAGAGGCACUUUAUUUAAUGGCAAAUCUAAUGAAUAAAAUUUUAGAUCAUCUCCGGAAGACUUUUGUUAUUUUUUAACUUCUAUCUUCCUUGCAGUUGUAGAAAACACAUCUUCUUUGGAUUAUCAUCUGGUAUCAUAGUCAAGUUGAUCAGAUGGUUAUCUCAAUCCAACCUACCGUCCCACUUUUUCAAGGAAAUGGAUAUGAUAGUUGGAGCAUAAAGAUGAGGACUCUUUUUAUCUCCGAAGAUCUGUGGGAGCUUGUGGAUAAGGGUUAUGCAGAAGAGGAAAUUCCAAGAGAUGCUAUGAGAGAUGUACGAAAGAAUGAUGCCAAGGCAUUGUUUUUUAUUCAACAAGCAAUCACAGACAGCAUUUUUCCUCAAAUUUCAAAGGCAACGAAGUCUAAGGAAGCAUGGGACACUUUGCAAACAAAAUAUCAAAGCACAAGCCUGGUAUUAGUUACAAUGUAUUGAAUUUUUAGAUUCAGUCAAAUAAAGUAAAAUAUCUAUGUUUCCAACUAAUUCGUAAGAUUAGAAUGUGUUGUUCUAAGAAGGGUUCUGACUACAGCUUUAAAUUAAUGGGUUGUUGGAUAAUUUAUUUAGGAGUUUAUUUGAGUUUGGUUGCUUAUUUAACGGCAAGUGUUCAACUCAAUUAGAUUUCUUAUCUUUCAUCUUGAACUUUUUUUAAGUGCUUUAUUAUUUUUUAACUUCUCUAUGGUAGGAAGGCAUCUUUUUCUUAUUAUUGUAAAUGAUAUAAUGACAUAAUAGAUCAUAUAUCAGAUCACUUCACUUUAGUUGAAUUCACUUUUAUUUGGGAGGAUUGAAAGACCAAAUGAAUACUUAGGUUAUAUUUGGUUCCCAAAAGUAGGAAGAAAACAAUAAAAUAAAAUAAAAUGAAAUAUUAAACAAAAUUAUUUUUUCAUGUAUGGUUUUAUUAAGAAAAAAUUAAACAUAAUUAAAUUAAUUAAAAAAUUAUUUAUUUUUAAAUUAUUUAACCUUUAUACAAAAUAGUUGAAAUAACUUAAACGAGUUUGAAGCAAUGUAGAAAUAUAAUUAAUUAAUUUUCAAAGUAUUUUUUAUUUUCAAUUGUUUCUUCUACUCUUCUUCUUUUCUUUACAUUUUCCCUCAAAUUUCUUGGGUGCUUAUAACAACAGUGCAGAAUUGCUGAAUUAACUCGGGUUUUGAUUUGAAUUAGGUUGCAGCUCAAGAUGGAGAUGGCAGCCAAACUGACAUCCCAGUCAUGGAUGACUCUGUGUAUAAGGCAGCAGCGAAGGGCGACAUUGAAGUUCUGAAGAAAAUUCCAGAGUCCCAAUUUCAUGCCCAAUUAACCCCAAAGCAUAACACGAUACUCCACAUCGCAAGUGAAUUCGGUCAAACAGAGUGUGUGAAAUGGAUCCUUACGUUGCCUGCAUGUUCAUCUCUACUGCAAUGCCCUAAUCUGAACGGGGACACUGUGCUUCACCUUGCAGCAAGGGAAGGGCAUUUGAAGGUCGUGGAAGCUCUUCUAGAACCUACCCUAGAUAUUGAAACUGGAGUUGGAGAAGAUAAGGAGAUGUUGAUCGGGAUGACAAAUAAGGGGAAAAACACAGCCUUGCAUGAGGCAGUGCGAUUUAACCAUUCUGAUGUGGUGGAGUCAUUGAUUGAGAAGGACCCCAGGUUUAACUAUCGUGCUAAUGAUUCAGGUACGACUCCUCUUUACAUGGCUGCGGAGAGAGGACUUACAGGCUUGGUGGUACUAAUCAUAGACAAAAGUAGUACUUCACCCUCUUACCAUGGCUUAAUGGGUAGAACGGCCUUGCACGCUGCUGUAUUAUGCAAUAAUGAAGGUAGUAGACUCACAAUACUAAUGAUUAUGUUAUUUUCAUAUAUGUAGAUUAAAAGGGAACAUGCAUGCCUUCAUUUGUUUUGUUCAUUUGCUUAAUUUUCUUAAACUAUUUUCCUUUAUCUAUUAAUCAGCAAUGACAAAUAAGAUACUUGAAUGGAAGCCAGACCUCACCAAAGAAGUAGAUAAGAAUGGGUGGUCUCCACUUCACUAUGCUGCAGAGAGAGGUUGUGAUCUGAAAAUAGUGGAGCUAUUGCUAAGUAAGUCAGAAAAGAGUGUAGCCUACCUUAGGAGCAAAGAUGGGAAGAAGACUGCCCUUCAUAUUGCAUCUUUCCACCAUCAUACAAAAAUAGUAGAGGAGAUCCUAUCUCACUCUCCUGGUUGUCGGGAGCAGGUCGAUGACAAGGGCAAUAAUAUUUUUCACUUUGCCAUGAUGAAAAAGGGUGACCGGUACGAUGAUUUUAAGCCUAGUAAUUACUUCGACAAUAAAUGGUUAGGGUCAAGAGGACCUGUAAAUGGGCCAGGAGGAUUUGUAAAUGGGCCAAGAGGACUUGUAAAUGAGAAAAAUGCUCAAGGAAACACACCCAUCCAUCUGCUCUCUCUUAAUCAAAUUUCAGAUUCUUGGUUUGUAUGGAAUGAAAAAGUGGAUAAGAAGGCGUACAACAAUGAAGACUUGACAGGUUAUGACAUAAUUUUGAGGGCGGACAUUUCCGAGAAAAAGGUAAGGCUCGCACAUAACUUCAAUUAUAUGUUUAUUGGCAAAUGCUUACCACGUUUCUCAUUUCUUUGAGCUGUGUUAUGUUUUGUUAUUUUUGCUAUGUUUGGAUUCCUUCAACCUAAGCAUUAGCUAGUUUUUUAUUUAUUUUUUUUGUCUCCAAAGUUUCAAGAUGGGAUAAUAGAGAAAAGGAAAAGAAAGAAAUAGAGGAAAAAAAAUUACAAAAUGUUUAUUGCUUUUCAUUGUUUAUUGAGAAAUUAAGCAAAAGAAAUUUAAAUUUAAGAGGAAUGUACUUAGCAUAAACCUUUUUUUCUUAAAAAAAAAAAGGAAAUGGGAAGAAAAAUUGUUAGUGUCUUUUAUUUAGUAAUUUUUUUCUUAUCAUUUUUUCACUUGUAUCCAAAUGUUGAAAAAUAAAAAAAUAAAAGAAAACCAUUUUUAUUAAAAAAAAAUUUCCGUUACUUUCCAAAAUCAAAUGUAGUUUAAGAUUAAUUUGAGGAAAAUAAAAGAAAAAAAAGAAGAAAAUAAAAAGAAAACAACAAUUUAUAAAAUUUUCUUUCAUUUUAUUGUUCAUAAAAAAGUCGGGAAAAAAAUUAAAUUGUUGAGAAAUGCAGUCUUUCCAAGCUUUUUCCACUUUUUCUAAGGAAAAUAUUUUAUUUUUUCUAUAUAUAUAUUUUACAUUUUCAUGAAUUUCAAACUAUAUUUGGUUCAUGAAAAACAUUAGGGCAAUGUUUAUUUCAUUGAUUUUUGUCUUUUUUUUUUUAAUUUUCUUCUCUUAACAUUUUUCCUUAUGGUUUCUUUUAGAAAUAAACAUAGCCUUAUCAUUUGUUUUCACUUUUUCUUUUUUAUGACUAAAAUAGUUUUAAGGUUUCUCAUGAACCAAACAUAACAUCAAGAAAACAUUUUUUUCUUUUCCACAUUUUAAUUAUUUUUAUCACAUUUUAAAGCAGUAGAAGGUGAGUAGGAUGAAGAGUUAAUAAAAAAUGGAUUCAUCAGUUGAAUUAAAUUUAAAUGUUAUUCACAUCUGAUUUCAGGAAAAUAUCCAAGUUGCCUUCGAGUAUGUUAUGACUGAAAGUCGUUCUUCGGUUACGGAGAAGGAAACUAAGAGACGGGAGAGAAAGAAAGAAAGGAAAGAAUACAUCUCUCAAUUACAAAAACAAGGGGAAACCCAUUUGAUAGUUUCUGCGCUUAUAACAACAGUAACUUUUGCUGCGGGUUUCACCUUGCCCGGUGGUUACAAAGAGGAUGAUGGCCAGGCAAUUUUAUCAAAGAAAGCAGCCUUCAGAGCAUUUGUUGUGACGGAUACCAUAGCCAUGGUAUCUUCACUAUGCGCCGUAUUGCUUCACUUUUUUAUGACCAUGCGCCAACGUGGGGAGUACCUUGAAAAACACUUACUUUGGGCCUUUAGUUUGACCAUGGUUGGGAUGGGAGCAAUGGCCAUCGCUUUCGCAACCGGCUCGUACGCUGUUUUACCGCAUUCCUCGGGCCUUUCAUUUCUCACUUGCAUCAUCUGCUCUUGCUUUUUCCUCUCCAUUGCAGUUGAAUAUUGUUUAUUUUGGAGAGGUACGAUUUCGGAAUUCACAAUCAAAAUAAUCCACAAAAUCCUCCUUGCUUCUGAAAGAAAAGAAAAUGCAGAUGCGUAGAUGAGGGCUCCCGAAUCGAUCCUAGUCUUUAUAAUCCACUAUUUCUUGGGUUGGAUCAAAAGACUUUUUCGGGCUAAGCAAUAUAUCAGAUUAGUCAAUGGAUACAAUUGUGAAUAUGAAUAAUGUUAGUGUUUAUUGUAAAUUUGGAUGCAAUUGAUCAUUGAGAUUAAUAUAAUCAAAACUAGUUUUACAAACGAUUUUUGAUAAAUUUAUAUUAAUGAAAUCAUUUUUUUUUAUAAACUGUUUUUGUCAUUGAAUUAAAAUUAUUUUUGUAUAAAUUAUAUUUGAUGCAUUCAUUUUUUUAUCCAUGGAUAUCAUUGUAUAAGAUUGGCAGUCAGAAUUUAAUUUCAUGAAUCAAUUCUUAUAAAAUUGAUACUACUAAAGUUAGAAUUGAUUAUUAUUUUUAAAAUUGGGAUUAAAGAAUUAGAACUUUAUUGUAUAAAUUAUUUUUUAUAAAAUUUGAAGUGUUGUCUUGGAUCAUAACAAAAGACUUUUUUGGGUUUACUGGGUGACUAACACUUGAAUUGAGAUUACUAGGGAUUUGAAAGAUUUGAAACAUGAACCUCAUGAUGGAAAAGUAAGAGAUAAGCCAGUAAGCCACUGCGCAAUAUAUCACAUUAGUAAAUAUUUCUGUAUAAUCCUAUAAUGGUGUUUUUCCAACCUUUAUUUUUAUAAUAAUAGGUAUGAAAUAAUAUAAAUUGAUUUUAAAAUUUUAAAAUAAUAAAAUAUAUGGAUAUAUAGUUAAAAUUAAAUAUUAUAAUUUUCUUUUUAUCUUAAAUAUCUUCAAACGUAAAUAUUAUACAUAUUAUAUUUAAUAAAAUUUAAAACAUUAAUAUAUUUAUACUUAUUUUUAUGAUUCAAUUUAACAUAUUAAAUAUAAAAAUAAAAUAUUAUUAAAUUUUUAAUUGUUUAUUUUAAAUUUUAUAUAAUAUAUAAAUUAUAUAUUUAUGAUAUAACAGAUUUGAUCAUUUGUCAAUCAUGGAUUUGACUAUUGAAUUAUGACUUAGUGUCUUUUCCAAUUUAAUAGCCAAUUCCAUUCUAAAGCCAUUGUUAACAUUUUUUUACGAGACAAUUGUGAGUUCAAAAAUUAAUUUUUGGUUCAUAUAAGUUGUAUAAUUAAUAGAGAUAAUAUAAAAUAUGAAGAGAUCAAUAUACCUUUCAAAACUAUUUUCUACCAUAAUGUUUGAUAAACCUUUUUGUCUUAAUUUUCUUUUAAUAAUUAUUAUGAAAAUUUAUUAUUUUUAGAAAACUGAUUUUUUUAAAAGAAUAUAUUCUAAAAAUAUAUCAUUUAAAAAAAAUAAAUUUAAUCUUAUUUUCUCUUAAAAGAAAAAAAGAUAUAAUUUUACCUACUAACAAAAUUAUUUAAUAAAUAUAAUGUUUUAAAAUAAAAUAUAUUUAAAUACAAUCAUGAGGUAGAUGAAAAUUAUUUUUUCAUAUUUUUAUAAUUUUUAGCAAAUAAUUAAAUUUAAAUAUAAAAUCCGCUAUUAGCUAACACGUGCCUCGUACAUUGAUGAAACGUAUUUAUAAGUCAAAUAAGCAGGAACCAUGAAGCUUUGAAAAAUGAAAUAGAAAUAUACUAUUUUUCAAUUACAGUCUUCAGUCACAAUUAGAACAAACCACUACUCUUCAGUCACCACCGAGCUGAGAUGUUCCUUCCGCAGGUAGUUGCAUCCUGAUAUGUCUCUCCCCAUGGAUUCCUACCCCAAGAAACACUUCCUUAAUGAUAUUCAGUUCCAUCACCACGUCUUUGAUGUCCAUUCGAUCACCAGGUGAUUCUUCAGAACGUGCUACUCCAAUUCUCGCAAUUGAGGCAAGGCAAUGCUGCAUUCUACCUUCCACAUCACCGUGAUUUGCUAUAUUGUUGAUUGCUUCACCUGACUCCCCAACCAAGUUUGAAUCGGCAAUCUCCAUCACCCGUUCUGGCAAUGCCAUCUUCGAGAAACUGUGAAGGCUCAAACCAUCCGGAAACAUGUGUUCUGUUGGUCUCUUUCCCGUGAACAUCUCCAGGAAAAGGAUGCCAUAGCUGUACACAUCUCCUUGAGGCCACAUGGAGCCACCUAGUCCAUAUUCUGCCAUGCAUAUAUUCAUCUUUUUUUACUUAAAAGUCCAUUGAAAAGUAAGGCUAAUAGGCCGAGUGUAGCUAUGCUAUCCUGCGUGCCAAUUUAAACCAACAAUUUCACAACUUAUUUUUAGGAUUGAGGAAAAAAGACUUAAGGAAGUGUACCUGGAGCGACAUAACCGAUGGAUCCCAUCAUCAGUGUCGAACUGGUUUGAUCACUACUCAGCAUGUCGUCAGCUUCAGGAAAGAGCUUGGCUAACCCGAAGUCCCCGACAUGGGCAAUCAUGUCAUCAUCAAGAAGAACAUUGCUUGGCUUUAGAUCACCAUGAACAAUUGGUGUCUGCAAUUGGUGAUGAAGAUAAUCCAGAGCAUUAGCCACAUCAAUUGCAAUAUCUAAUCUUUGUCUGAAGCUUAAAUUUCUGGAUUCGUGAUGCAGCCAGCUAUCUAGGUUCCCAUUAGGCAUGAACUCAAAUACUAGAGCACUAAAAUCACUACCUCUGUUUGUCCACACUUGUAUAUGAAGUUAUGAUCCUGAGGAGAUUUCGAUGUUGAAUUUGCCCGGAGGACCUUGCACUCAGCCAUGAAACUCUUGGAAGCUCCAUGCUAUUGAAGGUUCAGUACCUUCACUGCAACCGGUCUUUAGCCUUGACUAGGAAUUCCUUUGUAUACAGAACCAAAACUUCCCAUGCCAAUCAAAGUUGGAGGAAGCAAAUGCACCAGUUGCUUUGAGUUGUAAGAAACCCUCAAGUACCCAUAUCCCAAAGAAGUGGAAGAGGACUUCAUUAUUGUCUUUUUUCUCCUAUAAAGGAGAACUGAAGCCACAAUGAAAGCCAAGCAAGAAACACCAGCAAUGCUUAUAGCUACAAUAAUUUUGAUUGAAGGAUGCUUGCCCUUGGCAUACUUUGCUGACUCUACAACAGAGCAUGGUGGCAGAUGCAGUUGAGGGAUUUCCCCACAAAGCUUCUUGUUCCCAGUGAUUGAAAUCCCAUUCACAUUUUUAAAAACUCCUCCACUUGGAACUACUUCACCUUCAAGGUAGUUAAAAGACAGAUUUAAAGUCAGCAAAGCAGAAAGAUGUUGUAGUUCUUUGGGAAUCGUUCCAGACAAGUUGUUGCAUGAAAGAUCUAGGAAUUGAAUUCCUCGCAAAGAGCUAAAGGACGGGUAUUUUUCCCUGGAAAGAGUUUCUUGCCAUGUCGAGGUACUCUAAUACUGAACAGCUGCCAAGUUCCCUGGGAAUUUCCCCUGACAAAUGUGUUAUCAGAAACAAGUAACUCAUUUAGGUUUUUCAGUUGACCAACAUCUGCUGGAAGAGAACCAGUGAAUGAGUUUUGUUGAAGGUAGAGUGAUCUCAACCGAUUGAAAUGACCAAUGACAUUUUCAGGUACACUACCACUCAACUUAUUGUGACUGAGGUCCAGAGUUUCCAUAUUGUGGCAGUUCCUGAGAGAUGUAGGAAUGUUCCCAUCCAAAUUGUUGUAGCUCAUGUUAAGGUGGAACAGUUGACUUAAGUUGCCGAGGGUGGACAGUAGCAGACCUGAUAGCCUGUUCUAACCGAAGUCCAAUUCUCCUAAGUUCUGAAGCUUGCCAGUUGAUGUGGGAAUGAUACCAGUGAGAUAAUUCCGAGUUGCAAUGAAUUGAAUCAAGUUGAUGAGGUUUCCAAUCUCUUUUGGGAUGUUUCCAGAUAUUUUGUUUUCUCCUAGGACGAGUUGCUGCAGUUGGGUUGAGAGAUUGACAAUGGAGUUGGGUAACACACCCCCAAAAUGAUUGCCUUCUGGAUUGAUUAACCUUAAACCGCUGAUGUUGGUGAGAGAAUUUAGAAAAUUUAAAUCGCCAGACAUUCCCCUUCCUAAACUAUUGAAGUCAAGGGUCAACCAAUACAGAUCCUUGAGCACUCCCAAACUAUCAGGGACUUUCCCAGUUAGAUGAUUGUCACCUAGAUCCAAAAGUUCAAGUCCUGAAAUAUUGGAUAGUGUAUCUGGAAUUAUUCCGGUAAACUGAUUCAUUGCUAUGCCAAACUUGCAGAGUUGAGGAGAACUGAGCCUCAUGUUUGACAUGAAAUUUCCAGACAGAUGGUUGUCAGUUGCUACAAAUUCAAUGACAGAUGACAAAUUAUGGAGGGAGGGAGGAAUCACACCAGACAAGUUAUUUGUACCUAGAUAUAAAUAUCUCGUGCUCUUCAAACGACCUAAUUCAUGUGGAAUAUUUCCCUCCAAAUGUACGCAAUGGACAGCCAAGAUGAAGGGUUUCCCAAAGUAAAUGGAAUAACCCCUCUUAGAUAGUUGGCACCAAGCCAUAGAUGUAGGAGUUUCGACAUAUGGCCAACGUGCAAGGGAAUCUGCCCUGUCAGAUUGUUCCUUGUGAAAUUCACAGUUCUGAAGCUUGAGCAGUUUGUCAGUUCAAUCGGAAUCUCACCUUGGAUAAAGUUCAUGCUCAGAUUGAGAUGUUGCAUCCGUGGCAAAUGGCCAAUAUCACUGGGAUGGUACCGUGCAAGUUAUUGUUGGACAAUUCCAACUCUCUGAGAAAUGUUAAGUUUUCAAUAGGAGGCAAGGAACCAGCUAAUCUCUGACUCUCCAACCUCAAGGCUGUGACCCUCUGAAGUUGGUGACUGCAUGUAACCCCCUCCCACUGGCAGAAGUGCAGAGAGUCAAUACAGGAGCUCAGAUUAAUAAUUGUUUAUGAUUAAGCUAUCUAUACAUAUUCAAUUUAUAUUUAUUAAAUAUGGGUCACCUUGUGUGUAGAGCCCAAGUCACAUGUGUCUUACAUGAUGGGCCUAAAACACAUGUGGCCCAACAACCAAUGGGUAUGGUCCCUAAGACAUAGUGGAAAUUAAUAAAAGGGAAAAUGAAACUGAAGUUUGGUGUCUUAAGUUUUCUUUUCUGAAAAUACAAAACAUUCCCUCUCCUGUCUCCUAUCACAAGAGAAAAAAUAGAAAGGUGGUUUCCUCCUCUAUUUCCAUAGAAAAAUCAUAUUUCUUCAAGAUCGAUAAUGGAUUCAGGUUUGUCUACACUCUCUAAUCUAAUCGGCAUGUUUUCUUUAUGAUUUAACAUGAGAUUUCUACAUUGGGUUGAUAAUGACGUUUACAACAUUGGUUUCUUUAGAUUUCAAUUUAAGGGAUUCAGAUCUAGAACUUCUACAUGAUAUUCUCAUAGCAUCCCUUUGAAAAUGGAGGAAAUGGGAAUUAAAAUGGGCAAAAGUGAUUAAAAUGUAAGUUUGAACUAGAGAUUCAAGCUAUUCAAGAAUCAAACAUUGAGGCACUUGUUUAACUUCUGUCAGUGGUCAAGGAUUGCCAACAUUGUAGUGCAACAGUCAUUAACAAAAGUGGCUUUGACUUGGUAAUUUGUAAGGAUAAUUUGUCUUAUAUAUCUAACGUGUCUAAGGUGUUUUCAGUUUUUUUUUUCCUUUCAUUUUUAAUGGAUUUAUUAUUUCAUUUUAUUUUAUUUUGUGUUUUGUUUUGUUUCUUCACAGUCUAAUAUAUUUUCUUUGCACAUGGGCUACAUCUCAUUCGGUAUUGUUUUAUAAAUUUCUUAUUACCUCUAAAAAUGUAUUUGCAAAUGUAUCCUAAAAUGUUAUUUUUAUUGUUGCUUCUAUAUUUUCAAUUUUGAUUAUUCACUGGGAAUUUAUACAUUGAUGAUGUUUAAUGCUAACCAAGUUAACUUUCCAACAAUAUAAUAAGUUAGGGCAUCAAACUGAGAAAUGAAGGGGUUUCUCUUACUACAGGCAUUCUGGAGGAAUUCUAUUAUCAAGCUGCCUUUAUCAAUGCAGUAGUCAUAGGUCACAAGUUUUCUUUUUACAACUUGAUAUUGUUUUUCUUUGUUAGGUCAGCCUCCAGUACUGCUCUGUGUUUCAUCAAAACUUAGGGAAGUAGUAUAUAUAUAUAUAUAUAUAUAUAUAUAUAUAUAUAUAUAUUGGAGUGAUGAGCAGGGUAGCUGAUGAUGCCAAAAAACUUGGAUAAGGAGCUCUGAAUGGUGAAUUAGUCCAGUUCAAUUUAGGUAGGACCACCAUCAUCACCCGACUAGACCCAUCCCAUAUACUUGCCAUUAUUGAGCUUGGAUGUGUGGGGCUAGCCCACUCCUAUAUGCGAUUAGUUCUUGAAAACUUGGAUAGGAAUGCCAUCAACAGAAAACCUAUAAAGUCAGCAAAAAUUAGAGAUGAAACAAGUUAAAUUUCGUAAACUGAAAAAUGUGGGAACCUAUUAAAGGGUUGCAAAUGCAAUUUGUUUUGGUCGGUAGGUUUUUGAGAUUAGUAGAGAAAAUAAUAUGUUGUGAUAAUAGUUAGUCCAUCAUUAUAUACGACCAAUAGUAUCAGUGAAAGACACACAAGAGCUUCAACUAGAAUGCAUGUUAUAUGUAAUAAACUGUAUAGAACUCUCAAACCCAGUGGUACUUAAGCUCCUAGCAUCUGUUUCGACUGGGAAUCUGCAAUAAAAACCUUCUACCAAAUCACUGUUUCGUGUUGAAGGAAGAGAUUACAUUUGGAUUUGGGAGCAUUGACAAGCCCCAGACUACGUGUAUAUCAAUAUACUCUGGGUUUCAUGGGCCUACAAACAAGAAAUCAUAGGUUUUGGAAUAGAAUACCAAAGGUAAGUUCCAGAUGAAGUGUUCUAGUGUUCUUUGUUGUUAUCAUUAUUAGCCUUCUUUUCUUUCUUUCUGUUUUUUGUUUUUUCCUUCUUUAUUACGAAGAAGGUCAUGAUUUCUUUCUUGAAACAAGUUUGCAGGAAUGACAAGGGGAAGGAGGUUGUGUCAGAUAGGGUAUGCAUUUUAGAGGUGCAAAUUAUUGAAGUUUUUGGGAUUUGACUCAUCUUUGUAACAUUAUUAUUUCCCUUAGAUUGUUCUUUAGAUGCAUGCAAUGUCAACAGUUUAAAUAUGAAAUUCAUGGCUGAUAAAAGGCCCUCCCUUAUACCGGCUGUGGAUUUUAAAACCAUCUCUCACAUGACAUGCACUCAUGCUAUGGCACGACCUGUUGAGAUAAUCGAGGGAAGGGAUACUUUAAUACAUUUUAAGAAAAUGGUUGUCUUACUUAAUUUGAUAUGUUCCAAAGGAUUUUAUAGGAAGGGAAGCCUGGAGUGGGAUCAAACCAUGGCUUAAAUCCUCUGCUCCCUCUUUCCUACACCAUUUACAAAGACAUUGGUCUGUGGAUGAUGUGGGUCUUGUUCUCUAGAUUGCCCAAAAGCUCAAAAUCCAAGUCAAAACAAUUUACAUUAGAAAUCAACACCGGAAUGAGUUUCUUCAUGUUGCUCUUUGUUUUAGUCACACACUCAUCUUACAUAGAAAGCUGUCACAACCCUCCCUAAAGAGUUACUCCCAAGUAGCAUCAAAUGCAUGUGGAAGAACCCAACCCACAUCCAAAAGUCUCCAGUGAUGAUUCAAAGGCCCGCCCUGUUUACCAUAAAGUAAUUACGAUUAAGACUCUAGAUAUAGAAACCCUUGAUAAGUUUGUUAUGAUGGCAGUAGAAAGAGAAAUAAAGUUGAACGAAAUGAGCAGAGGCAUGGUCGAGAACAAUGUUUUUGGAACUGGAUCAUUUAUUGAAUUGAAAAAAUUACGGGUUUAUGGUUUAAUGGUCAAACCGGUCAUUGAACCGAGUUUAAAUCGGUGAGGUCAUAAAUAUAUAAUUUAUAUAUUAAAAAAUAAAUUAAAAAUUUUUAAUAUAAAGAAAUUAAAAAAUAAUAAUAUUUAUUUUUCAUCUUUGAUAUUAUUAAACUUAAAUCAUGAAUAAAUAUAAAUGUAUUAAUAUUUUAAUUUUUUAAAAUAAAAUAUGUAUAAUCUUUAAAUGUGAAGAAAUAUAUUAAAAUAGAAGAAAAUUCUUUUAUUUAUAUUAUAUUAUUUUCUUAUAUUAAAAAAAAUUAAAUAAUUAUGUUGAUUUAGUUUAUUUUGAAAUUUUAAAGAACAACCAUUAGUAGUAAAGUGGUCAUAGUCCUGACAUGUGAAUUUUAUGGAUUUUUUAAAACUCAUCCCACAUAGGAAGUUGAUAAGGAGAAUGCCUUUAACUGUCCAUUUCAUGAUAUAAUAAGCAUGCAAGAGGGCUCAAGACAGAGCCUUGUCCUGGUAAAAAAGGUCAACCUAGAACCAAUGGUUCAAAACUAGUUCAAUGUGUACUUCAGCCCAAAGGCUAUGGACUGAACCGAACCAAGCUUUGGUCAAUGGUUGGACCAAUCAGACUAGUUGGUCCAGUCGGAACUUUGUAUAUUUUCUCAAAGGUAGGGCCGCUUUGGGUAUUUGCAAGUAUUGUCUCAUCUAAAACUAAUGGUUAGAAACUCAAUAAAUAACUUGACUCUCUUUUUGUAUAUAUUAUUUUUUGAAAACUAUACUUGCACCUAAAUCAAAAUAUAUCAUCAUCAAUUAUACAAUAUCAUAUAUAUAUAUAUAUAUAUAUAUAUAUAUAUAUAUACAUAUUUAAUUGGACUUCUUAUUAUCUUAAUAUCGUAUAUUUAGAGCUCAUUUAAUUGUGUGAUUUAAAAAUAGUUUUUAGUUAUUAAAAAUAAAAAAUUGUUUUUAAUAUCAUUUGACGGUUGUUCUCUGAAAAUGAUUUUUAAAAAUAAAAUGAAAUAAAGAACAAUUUUUAGGAAACAAAUAAAGUUAUUUUCAUAAAUUUUAAAAAAUAAAAAUAAAAUAUGAGUCCGUUUAAUUAUGUUUUUAAAAAUUUGUUUUUAAGUUAAAGAAUAAAAAAUAGUUUUUAAAAACAAAUUUAAAAAACAUGGUAAAAAAAGACUGUUAUACUCUCAUUCAAAUGAUCAAGAUUUUGACUUCAGUUCCAUAUGUUGGUAUAUUAAAAUUUUUCUAUAUUAAAAAAUUUGGAUAUGAAUCAUAUGAUACUAUAAGUUGGUGCCAUGAAUGUUUCCUGAAAAACAAGAAAGGAAGAAGGGGGGAAGCCGGAAAGGUGCGGCGGUGGUGAGAAAAGCGAUGAUAUGAUAUAAUUUUUUGUAUUGCAUCAAAGUUUUCAAUAAAAUUCUAAGCAACCAUGAAAGUUGUUCAUCAUGUACCUGACACUUUGGACCGAGAUGAUGGCUCCUUUUUGGCUUCUAUUUCAUGUCACGUGCCUCGAAUAAUGUUAAAAAUAAAAAAAAUUAAAUAUAUACAUAUUUUAUAUUAUUCCAUAAAGUUGUGUUGAAAAUAUCAAUAUAUGUUAUUUAAAUUAUUCCUUAUUUUAUGUUUUAAGUUUUAAAUUAUUCCUACACCGUUUUGUAAUUUACUUUUUCUCAAAAUAUGUUUUAAGUUUUAACCACCUCGAAAAUCUUAUGUAAAACUUUCAUAAAUGAUUAAAAAAAUUAAUAACAUACAUUAGGUUGAGUGUUUUUUUAAUAAAUAAUUUAAUAAUGAAACCCAUAUAAAAUAAAUGUUAUUUAAAUUAUUCCUUAUUUUAUAUUUUUCUAAAACUCAAUAAAUAAUUUUUUGUAAUGGUAUUUCUCAAAAAGUUUAAACUCCUUAAUUUCAAAUAUUAUUUUUCUAACCAUAAAUCAUCUUUGAAAUAAAUAUUUUAAAAAUGAUAGUUUGAUUUAUCAUUUAAAUGUAAGUGUUUUAUAUAAAUUAUUUUAAAUUAACAUAAAAACUUUUUAGUUAUUAUUUGUUAGAAUUUUCAUAUUCUUUCAAAAGAGUAUAAAGUUCGUGUUAUUAAUUGUAUUUUUUUUCCUAUUAUUAUGCUUUUUAUAUAAUUUUUUUUUAAUUGGAUGAGUAAAAAAAAUAUUUAAAUAUAAAAUCUUAUAAAAAAGAAAUAAAAAUUUAUUAAACAACAAAUAUGAAUUUUUUGCUUUUAUAUUCUUUAUUAUUUAAAGUUUGUUUAUAUAGUUAUUACACCAACAUUGGCCUCACGAUGGAUUGAGCAAAACAUUUUCAAUAACCACUCAAUUAAUAUAAAGGAAAAAGAAAUCUAAAGAAGAGGCAAGAGAAAAGACUGGAGCACAUCCUCUCCACCACAAAACUAAAAAGCAUCUUAUUCAAACAUAAGUUUGUCUUAUCCUAUCCAACGUCAUCAUCCAACCAAGGAAAUGCAUUAUUAUUAUUUUUUUAUUUUUAUUAAAAAAAAAUAGAAAUUAAAGAAGAGACAAGGGAAAGGACAUAUGCAGCCCCCUCCAGGGCCUCCACCACACAACCUUGCCGUGAAGGGUGGUUUUCCCAAAACAGACUGUAAACGGAGCUGACAGCCAAAACUGUCAUAGCAUGGAUGUCAUUGUACUUACAUGGCAUGGAUGUCAUCAUAUGCGUCAUGGAAAUUUAGUUUUAUUUAAUUUUUAUUUAUUUUACUCCUUUUUAAAAUAAAAAAAUUUUGAUUAAAAAAAUUAAAAUUUUAGCUGACAGAGAGAAUUUAAAAAUGUAAAUAACAUACCAUAAAAUAAUAUUAAUAUAGAACAUUAUUCAAUAUAAAUAAAAUGCUUUUAUAUAUCUAAUAGCAUAAUGUAAUGUUUUUUUAUUUAUAAAUUCUAAAUAUUUUAAACACAAAUGUUAUUAUCAAAGAAAUAAAAAAAAUUAUUUACUAAAUUUUCAUUUAUACACUUCAUUUUGUCUAGUUUCAAAAAUAGAAAAUAAUAAUAACUUUACUUUUAAAACUUUACAUUAAAAAACUAAUGAUUUUUUAAAACUAUUUUAAAAAUAAAGGUAUUCAUAAAAAUUUAAUAUCUUAAAUUUAAAAUUUUUUGAAAGUUAUUUUUAAAAUUAUAAACUUGGUCUACACUUUUUGUAUAAGAGGAUUUUUUUUUUUUUAUAAGUUCUUACUAUUUUUUUAAAAUUAAAAAAAAACACCAAGAAGUAUGUCCAAAUGGACAUGAAAUUAUAAAUUAUCAAAUGAUUUUCAAAUAGUUGAGAAAGAUUUUCUAUAUAUAUUGUAGACCUGGUUGGCUGGGGGCCCCAAGGAGCAAGAGAUUGCUUCUUUUUCUUUAGAAAAGUGGGUGAGAUUGGAUAGGGGAGGACGGGAGCAGCUGGGAGAUUGGAGGGGGGAAAAGAAAAUGAUAAGAGAAGGGAAGUGGCAGCAGAUUGGAGGGGGGGUUUUUGGGUAGAAAAAAAAAUAUGGGAAGGAAAAUCUUGAAGAGAGAAAAUGGGCAGCAGCUAGGGGAGAAGAAGGAAACCGGGCAGCACAUGCACUGGAGAGGAAAACCGGGCAGCACAUGCAUUGGAGAGGAAAACCGGGCAGCACAUGCAUUGGAGGAGAUUUUGGGCAGCACAUGCAUUGAAAGAAGAAAAAAAAUCUGGGGACAAGAGAGGAAACCGGGCACCAAAUAGACCUUUCUUCAACCUCUCGGCCUCUCUCUUUGUUUUCCAUCUCCGGGUACUUUCUUUUCUCCACUCCAUGCUUGUUUUUUUUAACUUCUUUUCUAAGCUCAUUGUUGGAUAUAUAGGGUGAGGAUGAUAUGAGUUUAUUUAGGUUCUUAUUAUUGGAGCUUUGUUCUACCAUCUUCACCGCCAACCUGCCACCACUGAUCUUCAACCCGGAAUUUUUUUUAAAAAAAGAGUGAAACCAUCUUUUGAUCUUUGAAUGAAUAUUUUAGGCAAUGGGUUUUGUUGGUGGGCUCCCAAGGCAUUGACUUGUGGGUUUAAAUAGGUUCAUGUGGGCCUUAAGCCCUUUUCUUUUAGUUUGGGCCGGAUGGGUAAUGUUUGUUUGGGUCUCCUAGGUUGGGCUUUGCUGAAGCUGAAGGUUAUUUGGCACUUUUUUUUAUGGGCUUGAGAUGGAGCCCAAGGCUCUUUUAAUGAAUGGACAUGGGCCUUUUUUUUAUGAAUGGACAUGGGCUUGAUGGAGAGAUGGAGCCCAAGGCUCUUUUAAUGAAUGGACAUGGGCCUUUUUUUUAUGAAUGGACAUGGGCUUGAUGGAGAUGGAGCCCAAGGCUCUUUUAAUGAAUGGAGCCCAAAGCUCUUUUAAAGAAUGGACACGGGCUUAUGGACUUGGGCUUGGUGUAGAUGGAGCCCAAAGCUCUUUUAAUGAAUGGAUGUGGGCUUGGUGUAAAUGGAGCGCAGAGCUCUUUUAAUGAAUGGACUUGGGCUUGAUGGAGAUGGAGCCCAAGGCUCUUUUAAUGAAUGGACAUGAGUUUCUUUUAAUGAAUGGACAUGAGUUUCUUUUAAUGAAUGGACAUGGGCUUGAUGGAGAUGGAGCCCAAAGCUCUUUUAAUGAAUGGACUUGGGCUUGAUGGAGAUGGAGGCCAAGACUCUUUUAAUGAAUGAAGCCCAAAGCUCUUUUAAUGAAUGGACUUGGGCUCAUAGACUUGGGCUUAUGAUGGGGAUGGAACCCAAAGCACUUUCAAAAUCUUAUUAUUAUUAUUAGUCUUAUUAUUAUUAUUAUUAUUAAUUCAAACUUUCAAAAUCUUAUUAUUAUUAUUAUUAUUAUUAUUAAUUCAACUUUCAAAAUCUUAUUAUUAUUAUUAUUAUUAAUUCAAACUUUCAAAAUCUUAUUAUUAUUAUUAUUAUUAUUAUUAUUAUUAUUAUUAUUAUUAUUAUUAUUAUUAUUAUUAUUAAUUCAAACUCUCAAAAUCUUAUUAUUAUUAAUUCAACUUUCAAAAUCUUAUUAUUAUUAUUGAUCUUAUUAUUAUUAUUAUUAUUAUUAUUAAUUCAAACUUUCAAAAUCUUAUUAUUAUUAUUAUUACAAAUUCAACUUUCAAAUGUCGAUGUUUUCGCAGUUCAAUUUCCUAAAGUCCAUUUCUCAUUUUCUUUAACAAAUUUCCAUUUAAUCACCGGAGCUCUAAUCUUUUAAAUUUAAUUCCAAAUACUCCAAUUUUCAAAUAAACUACAAGAAUCCAGUUUUCACUCGAAUAGUUUUAAUCCCAUUUCAGUUCCUAAAUAAUCUUCUGAUCUUCUUGAUUUUACAUAAGCAAUAAUGAUUCCUUCAUAAUUCUAAAACACGGGAUUUGUGAGAUUAGCUCAUGAACAAUAAAUUAGGCUUUGUUGGGGGCCCUAUGUUUGAUCCCUUUUGACUGUCAAUUGUUGUGCUUAAUAUAUUUUGCUUGAGCUUCGUUUUGCACUCCGAUAUGCAUGGGCUAUACUUUGUAUUCAUUAAUUGUGCACUAAUCUCGUUUCUUGAUAGCGCAUUGUGGCUCGUGGCCAAGGUACACAUCCACUCCCAUUCUAGUCAAUCUCUAUUGUGUGUUUUGAUUUUCAUAUUAUGCAUGAUUUAGGUGCGUAUCCAUUGACUUUCUCGUUGAUCGUCGCGUCAGUUUCAUUUUAUUAGUAGAGACCCAUUUUAGAGACUUAGAGAGGUGUUAUGGUCUUUACCGUACCUUCCCGAUAAGUAACCUGACCCCCGAACCCGAUCCGGUUUUUCGUAGACCACAUUUUCCAAAAUAAGGAGUCACACUUAGGGUUUUUCUUUCUUAUUUUGUUUACCCUUUAAAAAUAAAACAAAAAUAAGUGUUUCAAUCAAUUAAAUCAUUUUUCAAAUAAAAAUCGAGCUCGCCAUUCGAGUGGGAAACGCAUGAGCCGAAAUGCGAGGUCCACAAUAUAUAUAUAUAGGUUUUUCGUAGACCACAUUUUCCAAAAUAAGGAGUCACACUUAGGGUUUUUCUUUUUUAUUUUAUUUACCCUUUAAAAAUAAAACAAAAAUAAGUGUUUCAAUCAAUUAAAUCAUUUUUCAAAUAAAAAUCGAGCUCACCAUUCGAGUGGGAAACGCAUGAGCCGAAAUGCGAGGUCCACAAUAUAUAUAUAUAUAUUUAUAUAUAUAUAAUAGGAAUGCAAUAUAUUUUUUAUUUUAAAAAAAUGGAUGUUGAGAUGUAAUAAAAUUUCUAUUAUAUUUUUUAUUCCUUUUAUAAAUUAAAUAUAAACAUGCAAUAAAAUAUUAUGUUGGAUUUAAUAUCUAAAAUACCAUUAUCACUUUAGAUAUAGUAUAUUAAGAUUUGAUUAUGUUAUGUCUUAUUUUAUCCAUCAAUUAAAUGCAUCCUCCAUAUUUUAUACCGAUCUUGCACAUGGAAAAGGCAAAAUGGAACUAAUUAGGCCACGUCAUAUAUGUAAUUUAAGUUUUAUCAUGUUAUACACUAGGUCUUUAACUUUGUACCUCAAAUAUGAUUUUAGUACUUUGUACCUUGACCUCAUUCUUGUUAGCAUCUUUAUUCAAAGCUCUAAAUUUUAUCAUAAACUUUGAAUGACUGCUUGGAUUUGAACUUCAAUAGAUGUCAAUUUGGUACCUUAGACCUUUUCGGAUCUUAAAAACAUAAAAGAAAAAUAAAAUUUUAAAUAAUGAAUUUGAAGAAAAAUGAUACCUUUGAUCUUAAUUUGAAGAAAAAAAGAAUGAAAUUGUGUGGACCCCGCAUUUCGGCUCAUGCGUUUCCCACUAGAUGGUGAGCUCAAUUUUCAUUUGAAAAAUGAUUUUUAUUGAUUAAAAAAAUGACUUGGAGUCGCCACUUAUUUUUGUUUUAUUUUUAAAAGGGUAAACAAAAUAAGAAAGAAAACCCUAAGCGCGACUCCUUAUUUGGAAAAGGUGAUCUACGAAAAACCGGAUCGGGCUCGGGGGUCAGGUUACUUAUUGGGAGGGUACGGUAAAGACCAUAGUACUCCUCUAAGUCCCUAAAGCCGGGUCUCUACUAAUACAAUGAAACUGACGUGGCAAUCAACGAGAAAGUCAAUGGAUACUCACCUAAAUCAUGCACAAUAUGAGAAUCAAAAACACGCAAUAGAGAUUGACUAGAAUGGGAGUGGAUGCGUACCUCGGCCACGAGCCACAAUGCGCUAUCAAGAAACGGGAUUAGUGCACAAUUAAUGAAUACAAAACAUAGCUCAUACAUAUCGGAGUGCAAAACGAAGCUCAAGCAAAAUACAGUAAGCACGAUAAUUGACAGUCAAAAGGGAUCAAACAUAGGGCUUCCAACAAAGCCUGAUUUAUUAUUCAUGAGCUAAUCUCACAAAUCACGUGUUUUAGAAUUAUGAAGGAAUCACUAUUGCUUAUGUAAAAUCAAGAAGAUCAAAAGAUUAUUUAGGAACUAAAAUGGGAUUAAAAACUAUUCGAGUGAAAACUGGAUUAUUGGAGCUUGUUUGAAAAUUGGAGUAUUUGGAAUUAAAUUUUAAAUAUUAGAGUUCCGGUGAUUAAAUUGAAAUUUGUUAAAGAAAAUGAGAAACGGACUUUAGGAAAUUGAACUGCGAGACCAUAGACUUUUGAAAGUUGAAUUUAUAAUAAUGAUAGUAAUAAGGUCUUGAGAGUUUGAAUUAAUAAUAAUAAUAAUAAUAAGAUUUCGAAAGUCUGAAUUAAUGAUAAUAAUAAUAAUAAUAAGAUUUUGAAAGUGUGAAUUAAUAAUAAUAAUAAUAAUAAGAUUUUGAGAAUCGAAUUAAUGAAAAUAAUAAUAAUAACAAUAAUAAUAAUAAGAUUUUAAAAGUUGAAUUAAUGAUAAUAAUAAUAAUAAUAUUUUGAAAGUUGGGUUAAUAAUAAUAAUAGUAGGAUUUUGAAAGUUAAAUUAAUAAUAAUGAUAAUAAUAAGAUUUUGAAAGUUGAAUUAAUAGUAAUAAUAAUAAUAAGAUUUUGAGAGUUUGGAUUAAUGAUAAUAAUAAUAAAAAGAUUUUGAAAGUGUGAAUUAAUAAUAAUAAUAAUAAUAAUGAGAUUUUGAGAGUUUAGAUUAAUGAUAAUAAUAAAUAGAUGUUGAAAGUGUGAAUUAAUAAUAAUGAUAAUAAUGAGAUUUUGAAAGUUGGGUUAAUAAUAAUGAUAGUAAUGAGAUUUUUGAAAGUUGGGUUAAUAAUAAUAAUAAUAGGACUUUGAAAGUUUGGAUUAAUGAUAAUAAUAAUAAUAAUAAAUAGAUGUUGAAAGUGUGAAUUAAUAAUAAUGAUAAUAAUGAGAUUUUGAAAGUUGGGUUAAUAAUAAUAAUAGUAAUGAGAUUUUUGAAAGUUGGGUUAGUAAUAAUAACAAUAGGAUUUUGAAAGUUUGGAUUAAUGAUAAUAAUAAUAACAAUAAAUAGAUUUUGAAAGUUGAGUUAAUAAUAAUAAUAAGAUUUUGAGAGUUUGGAUUAAUGAUGAUAAUAAUAAUAAUAAAUAGAUGUUAAAAGUGUGAAUUAAUAAUAAUGAUAAUAAUGAGAUUUUGAAAGUUUGGAUUAAUCAAUAAUAAUAAUAACAAUGAUAAUAAUAAUCAAUAAUAAUAAUAAUAAUAAUAAUAAUAAUAAUAGGCUUGGGUCUGGGCUCCAAAUUCAAACCCAAGCCCAAAGCCAAAACCAAACACAAAAUUGGGCCUAGUGCCUUAUCUCAAGCCCAAACCAAAUCUUCAUCUUCUUCCUAGCUUCUUCACAGCCCAACAGCAUCUUCUCCAUCUGGGCAACUCCUUUAGGAUAUCUCCACCAGCGUCGGGAUGGUGGAGAUGCGUGGCUUUUGAAGCCACGGCACCAGCCGGUGGACGUCUCUGCUAAUGGCGUCGUCGACCAUGCCGCGGGAGCAGUCGAAGAGGACGGCGAGCAGGCCGCCGUCGACAGCCUAGAGAGAGGCGUCCCGAACCGAAGCAGCAACGCCGAACUCCAAAGGUGGCUCCGGCGAGGUCUGUGGGGAAUGGAAGGCUUGCUUGGCUGCUGCCCGCUCCCAGCCACUGAAGAGGACUUGCGCACAUGGAGGUGUGAGUGAUGGUGAUUAUACGGGCAUAGAGAAAGAAAAGGUGGCGAGAAAUGGGAUUGGCGUGGAGAUGGGUAUGGAAAGCUGGGUGAGUGGAAUCAAACGGGUAUUAAAAUCAAGAUAUGCUUACGGGAAUCUCAUGAGGAAUCUGAAACAAUACUAAAUUUAUCUUCAAUAAGAACCAAAUAAAUAAUGAACCUGAACAUGCUAUAACCCCAUCAAACCAUUCUAAAGCUCAGCUGAGAUGCACAUAUGGCAUUGGACUUCUAUUCCCAUUCAACUAAUAGCAUCCAAUAGUCAACAAAGAUAGAGAAGAAAAACAGAUAAGUUGAAACGAAGUGGAAAAAUCCAUAAUAUUCAUACCUGAGGACAUUCUUCUUUUUCCAGAUGGGUUGGCUUCCUUACUGCUCUUUCUCCCCCAAAAGUCUCUCCUCAAAUAUCCUCCAACGACCAGCCCAGAGCUCCUCCUCCGCAGCUGAAAAAAAACUCUCUCCCUAAAACCAGGAAGACCCUUGCCCCUCUGCUGCUGCUCGCCACCUCAAAAUGACCCCCCCCCCCCCCCCCCCCCCCCUCUGCUCACUCUUCCAGAUGGCAGAAAAAGCUCUCUGCUCCUCCUGAAUCCAUCUCUCUCUAGCCGCCAGCCCAGAAAGCUCUGCCUCCCCCCGCAGCUUCAGAGCCCCCCAACCGUUUUUCUUCUCACGGUCUUUUCAUCCCUUUUCUUUUCUCUCUGUCAAGCUUCUAUUGGUUCCUCAAAAGCCCAUCUGAAUCUUCAACAGCCAAUCCGGGAGUGACACGUGGCUGCCUAAGAGCGCGACACUUGGCCAAAAACUAAUUGCAAAAAAUGAUUUAGAUAUAUCCCAAUUUGGGGGUCUACAAAUUGAAAGAGACAACAAUUAAAAUAUGAAUAAGGAAAAUAGGAAAAUGAAAUUUAUUAUAAUUUUUCAUCUUUUUUUGUUUGGUCUUUUAUUUCCUCAAUUUUUUUUUUGUAUUUAAAUAUAAGAAAAUCACAUUCCUUAAUAUUAUUUUCUUAUUUUUUUAAUAUUUUUUAAAAAUCAAACUGUGGACUCGGUAUUUUUCACGUGCGUCCCCAUUCGAUGGCGAGAUUUAUUUGGUGAAAAUUCGAUUUUUUGAAAAAGACUUGGAGUCGUCACUUAGUUUUAUUUUAUUUUUUUAAGGGAAAAACAAAAUAAGAAAUAAAAACCCUAAAUGUGACUCCUAAAUGAAAAACAGGUUUGCGAAAAACCGAAUUUGGGUUCGGGAGUCAGGUUACCUAUUGGAAAUGUAUGGUAAUGAAUUGUAACACCCCUUUAAUCCCGCAUACAUACGGUCUCUACUAAACGAAUUAAGAGAAUUGUGACAAUUAAUUAAUUAAUUAUGUAUACUAAGAAAAAUAACAUAUAAAAUUAUGGUAAAAAUCAAUAUACACAAAAAUAAUGAUGAAAUCUAAUUAAAAGAAUACACAAAAUAAAUGACAAAAGAAUUAUGCAAAAUGAUUUAUUUAAAUAAAUAAGAUAUUAAAAAAAUAUUUUUUUUCAAGAAAUUUCAAAGGAUUUUAUUAAAAACAAUUUUGAAUGAGUGAUUUCAAUUUAUUUAUUUACAAAAAAAAAGUCAAUUUAUUUUCUCAAUUUCAUUUGUAUUCAAUUUUUAGAAAAUUUAUUUACACUUAUUGUAUCAAAAGAAUUUAUUACAAAAUUUCAAUUUUGCAACAAAAAAAAUAUUUUUACUUGUUUUUUUAAAAAAAAGAACUUUUAUAAUUUUAUUUACAAAAGUAUUUGAAUUUGUUUUCAUUUAAGAAAAGUUACUUAUACAAUAUACACACACAUAUAUAUAUAUAUAUAACUUUAUUUGCAAAAGAAUUUUUAAAUAAAAAUUAAAUUUUUGGACAACUUUAUUUACAAAACAAUUUUUGGACAUUUUUUACUAAACAAAGAAUUUUUUAGACAAUGAUUAUUAAAAAACAAAUUUUUAAAUGCUAUUAAAAACAUUUUUUUGGAUUUUUCUAAAAGCAUUUUUCUGAAUUUUUAUUAAUAAUAAAAACUUUCUUUUACUUAGAAGAAUAUUUUAAAAUUAUUAUUUUAUUAAAACAUAUUUACUGAAUUAUUCUUUUUAUUUAAACAAAAUCUCUUAUUUGUUCGAAAUUCGAUUUUGUAAACACUCAAUAAAUAUUUACAAAUAAAUAUUUAUAGAAACUAGUAAAAAUAAAAUCAAAUAAAAUUGGGAAAUAAAACCUGUAUUCAAAUAAGCUUACAACAAGUUCAAUGUCUUCCUAAAACUUUUUUAUUCUCACUUUCUUCCAUGAAAUUUCAUACUCCACGCGUCAUAAAUUUGUACUCAGCCAACAAAAUUGUAGAAUAGACCCAUGCAAAAACAAAAAUAGCCCAAAUGUAAAUAUUCAAAGAUGUACAAAAUCCCAAACAAAUAUUCAAACCAAAAUUUAAAUUUCAAAUUAAUCUUAUAAAUUUCGUUAAUUAAAAUAAGUCCAAAUUACUAUAGGUUUUAGCCUAAAAUAUUCAAAUUAAUAACAAAAAAUACAAACACAAUCAACCAAACCUAAACCGAGAAGGAGAGUACCUCAACCGAGAAGGGAAGGUUACUGGAUGAGAGAAAAUGUUUUUGACACUUCUCGACCAGACCUUGAUCGGACAAGGGCAACCGAUCAACCGGUUCCCUGGUCGGUUGAGCCGGUUGGCCAAUGCCUCGACUGGUUCAGCCUUUUGGCCCCAAAAACCUAUCUUUUUCGGUUCUUUUCCUUUCCAAUACUUACGUAAGGUAUUUAGGUAAAUUAAUAUGUCAAUUUUGAAACGUUUUGCCUAAGGUACAUGUGGACCCCGUAUUUCGGCUCAUGCGUUUCCCACUCGAUGGCGAGCUCGCUUUUUAUUCGAAAAAUGAUUUUAUUGAUUAAGAAAAUGACUUGGAGUCGCCACUUAUUUUUGUUUUAUUUUUAAAAGGGUAAACAAAAUAAGAAAGAAAACCUUAAGCGUGACUCUUUAUUUUGAAAAAGGUGGUCUGUGAAAAACCAGAUCGGGCUCGGGGGUCAGGUUACUUAUCAGGAAGGUACGGUAUAAACCAUAACAUUCCUCUAAAUCCUUAAAGUUGGGUCUCUACUAAUACAAUGAAACUGACGUGGCAAUCAACGAGAAAGUCAAUGGAUACUCACCUAAAUCAUGCACAAUAUGAGAAUCAAAACACGCAAUAGAGAUUGAUUAGAAUGAGAGUGGAUGCGUACCUCGGCCACGAGCCACGAUGUGCUAUCAAGAAAUGAGAUUAGUGCACAAUUAAUGAAUACAAAACAUAGCUCAUGCAUAUCGGAGUGCAAAACGAAGUUCAAGCAAAAUACAUUAAGCACGACAAUUGACAGUCAAAAAGGGAUCAAACAUAGGGCCCCCAAUAAAACCCAAUUUAUUGUUCAUGAGCUAAUCUCACAAAUCCCGUGCUUUAGAAUUAUGAAGGAAUCAUUAUUGCUUAUGUAAAAUCAAGAAGAUCAGAAGAUUAUUUAGGAACUGAAAUGGGAUUAAAACUAUUUGAGUGAAAACUAUAUUAUUGGAGUUUAUUUGAAAAUUGGAGUAUUUGGAAUUAAAUUUAAAAUAUUAGAGCUCCGGUAAUUAAAUUGAAUUUGUUAAAGAAAAUGAGAAACGGACUUUAGGAAAUUGAACUGCGAGACCAUAGACUUUUGAAAGUUGAAUUUGUAAUAAUAAUAAUAAUAAUAAGAUGUUGAAAGUUUGAAUUAAUAAUAAUAAUAAUAAUAAUAAUAAUACUAAUAAGAUUUUGAAAGUUGAAUUAAUAAUAAUAAUAAUAAUAAUAAGAUUUUGAGAGUUUGAAUUAAUAAUAAUAAUAAUAAUAAGAUUUCGAAAGUUCUAAUUAAUGAUAAUAAUAAUAAUAAUAAUAAUAAUAAGAUUUCGAAAGUUUGAAUUAAUAAUAAUAAUAAUAAUAAUAAGAUUUUGAAAGUGUGAAUUAAUAAUAAUAAUAAUAAUAAGAUUUUGAAAGUUGAAUUAAUAAUAAUAAUAAUAAUAAUAAGAUUUUGAGAGUUUGAAUUAAUAAUAAUAAUAAUAAGAUUUUGAAAGUUGAAUUAAUAAUAAUAAUAAUAAUAAGAUUUUGAGAGUUUGAAUUAAUAAUAAUAAUAAUAAGAUUUCGAAAGUUCUAAUUAAUGAUAAUAAUAAUAAUAUAAUAAUAAUAAGAAGAAAUGAACUUUAGGAAAUUAAGUUGCGAGGAUAUAGAUUUUUAAUAAUAAUAAUAAUAAUAAUAAUAAUAAUAAUAAUAAUAAUAAUAAUAAGAAUUAAAAUUAAUAAUAAUAAUAAUAAUAAUUAAAAUUAAUAACAAUAACAAUAUUAAUAUAUGUUAAUAAUAAUAAUAAUAAUAUCUUAUAAUAAUAAUAAUAAUAAUAAGAAUUAAAAUUAAUAAUAAUAAUAAUAAUAAUAAUAAUGAUAAUAAUAAUAAUAAUAAUAAUAAUAUCACUAAUAAUAAUAAUAAUUAAAAUUAAUAACAAUAACAAUAUUAAUAUCCGUUAAUAAUAAUAAUAAUAAUAUCUUAUAAUAAUAAUAAUAAUAAUAAUAAUAAUAAUAUCACUAAUAAUAAUAAUAAUAAUAAUAAUAAUAAUAAUAAUAGCCUUUGGACGUCCACGAUCGGCGUUGCUUCGGACGCCGCUGUCCCCGUGGUGGGAUUUCACCACGCAAAAAAAAACUUCACCACGCGAAGAAAACUGGCCUGGAAUCAUACACAUGCCUGAAAAUCCUCCAGGGCUUCGACCACAAAACACACUGCAUGGAUGGCAGCCUCUCGUCGCUGCUCCGCCCAGAUCAGUACCUCCAAGGCCGCUUCGCCCAAGAACGAAGGAGUCGCAGUUCGGGGACCUGGAGCAUUGCCGACGAGCAUUGAUAGGAAAUCAGCCCGGAAGUCUUUUCUACAACAGGUCAGAGAGCUGACUUCCAUCUUCAAUGUAUGAAGAGUGUCAUCAGAUUAUCCAGUGGCGGGGUUCCAGAGGAUUAGAUAGUUUGGAAUCCCAGUAAGUCCCAGGUUCAAGCUUGGAAAUGGGUCAGUUAUCAAAACCAAAAUUUGUCUUAGAAGUUUUCUCAAUCGCACAAUGAGAGAUAGUGUCAUUUUUCCUUAUAAGGUUAGCAAUCUGCAUGCAUUUUAUGAGGGUGGAUGGAAGGUGCCCCUUUCACAAAGGCACUUCUCCAGUUUCGGUAACUCGGCCAUUGAUGGCCUCAUUCCCACAACCAACAAAGGAGCAAAGCAAUGAACAGAGAGGAGAAACAGCAGAGAACAAAACAUGAUUUUUAUAUAAUAAGAUUCAAGGAUGAAUUCAUACGUUAGGUACUUAUGGAAGGAGUCAAGAAAACCGAAAUAGAGUCAAAUAGAGCACAUACGCAUAUGGACAAAUUCAGCAAAACAAAACAAUAAUCCUUGACACCCAUACCAACCAACAAACCACUCCCAGAAAUCAACAGAAGGAUUUUAGUUAGCAGAACAAUAUCAUAACGUGAAAACAUGAAGUUCACAGAGAUUUUACCUAGAAGUUUUCUCCACGAGCAAGGUAUGUUCGUCUCUCCGCACCUUCCUCAUUUUCCCCUCAUUUUUUCCUCCUUCCUCCCUCUCUGCCAAAGAAAACCCCUUCCCGAAAGUCAACACCUAUUGCGCUAUUCACCACCUCAGCAUCUGUGGAGUCCCAACCACCCCCAUGGCUGCGGUCCUCUUCAUUGCCACGCGCCCCAUGCAUGGAGUUUUCUCUCAGCCGGUCCCCCCACUUAGGAAUGGUAAUUUCACGGGUUUUCCGGGUCACCCGCCUGACCCGCCCCUAUUGGGACGAGUAUAAGAACAUGGCAAUCGGGGAUGGGCCGGGUUCAGGCUUUUUUUAAAAACCUGAAUCGGGUUCGGGGCGGGGUCGGGUGUAGUUAUAAUUUGACCCGCCCCGCCUCGCCCCGCCCCGCCCCGAAUAUGAAAUUACAACUUUGUCCCCCACUUAUAAAUAUUAGCUUCCUCUCCUCAUUUCAGGUCUUCUUCUCUCAGUUCUCGUUCCUGUCUACGCUAGGGUUUUUCCUCCCACUCAAUGCAAAAAUCCAUCAAAUAAUCCAUUCGAAAAUCCAUCAGAUAUUUGCCUCUUCGUAUUCACCAUAUUUGUGGCCUACCAUCCCGGGGUUUUGUGGAGCCGUUUGGACGAUUUCUUUACUAGGUUUCAUCUCAAGGACUACGCUGUUUCGGAGGCAUCGAGGGAUUAUAGGAGGUUGGUGUAUGAGUUUUCAAAGAUGGGUUGUUUGAGAAAAAGGGGCAUGGGGUGUUUGUCACGCUCUGUGCGAUGGCGAUGAUGUUCUCCGCCUGUAUUUAUGGGGUUCUGGGGUGUGACAGCACAUGGGUUCAUAUCGCCAGUGGCACUUUGAUGGGCCUUUUCUGGAUUCAGAGUGGGUGGAUUGGGCACGAUUCUGGGCACUACUAGUGAUGAUGAACAAGCGUUUGAAGUUUGAACCGCUUUGUGCAGGUGUUGAGUGGGAAUUGUUUUGUGGAAUUGGAAGAUGCUGUUGAUGGUCCUGGCGGCAUGGGCCAGCACCCGACCCUGCCUCGCCUCGAGAGGCAUGGGGAUGGGAUCCCAUUAACCCACCCCGCCUCGGGUAUGGGACGGGGAUGGGAAAUAGAUUUAUAUAAUUGAGACGGGAAUGGGGUAGGGGUGGCCCCGCCCAAACCCGCCCCGUUGCCAAUCCUACCCUCAUUCCACCCAGCCAUCCCUCAAUGGUGGCGGGAAAGGCCUGAAAUCAAAAUAGACAUGCAAAGAAAACCCAAAAUCAAAAAAGGGGGUCUACAGUACAUUUGCUAAAACUCGAGUUUUAAUGAAAUUGUAACUUUAAAUAAUAAACCAAGUUUUCCAAAUAUGCAUAAAAAGAUAUAUAAAACCUAAGUGCACCCAUGUAUUCAUCUUACAUUUGUUUUAUAUGAUAAAGUCUUUCAAAUGUCUCAAUCUUAUAUCUAUUUGGUUUUUUGAUGAAUUUAUAAAUUUACACCUAAAAUUCUUUACCAUUCAAAUCAAUUAGUCACUUAACCAUGAUUUGUUAUCAUCAAAACCUGAUUAGGAGAACCCUUGGGCUAACAAUUACAAAUUCGGAAGGUAUCAAAUUUAUACCUUAGGAGUUCCUUUUAUUAAAUAUACAACAAGAGAUGAUAUAUAGAAGCUUAGAAAGUGAAUUAUUUUAGAGAAUGUUAAAAAUUUUGAUACACAAAACACAAAUUACUUAAAUAUAAAAUCGUAUCAAGGAUAAAUAUAAAUUUAUUAAACAAAAACUACAAAGUUUAUGCUUUUAUAUAUAUAUAUAUAUAUGCUGCUAUUGGCUUGAACAUUGGCCUCGCAAUGGACUAAAUAUUUCACUUUGACAAAACUUUUUCGUCCCCACUCAAUUAAUAAAGAAAAAUACACAAUUAAAAUAAAUAAACAAAAGAAAAAAAGAGUUGUGCACCUUCUCCCCACCACACAACUAAUAAAUUCUAUCAUAUUUGACUCAAUGGUGUUAUCCGUACUUCCUAACAUGGGUUGGCAAAAUAUAUUAGGGACUUUUAACAUAGAAAUUAAAGACUAUAUUUUGCUUUGAAAAUAUUAAAUAAAGGAAAAAAUUGUUAAAAAAAAUAAUUUUAUUAUAUUUGGUUUUAUUAUGAAAAAUAUAAUUAAAAUUAGUUAGAAAUUUAUAUAAUUUUUAUAUAAAAAAAUAAGUGAAAUAAGUUUAAAAUAGUAUAUAAAAAUAAUUUAUUUAUUUUUAUUUUUAUUUUUUAAUUUUUUUUCUCUUGCAUUUUAUUUAGAUAAAAAAAAAAAUAAAAAAAGAAGAGAUAAGGAAAAGGAAAGUACAUAUGCACUUUCUUUCUACCAAUGAUGAAAAUAUCGAUAAUUAUGGAUAUAUCGGUAUUUUGAUUUUACGGAUAUAUUAAAAAUAUCGAUGAAUAUUUUUUUUCACAAAUAUGGGUGAAGAGAAACUUAUUUAAAAUUCAUAAAAAUGCUUUAAAAAACUCCAAGAAUUGAUAAAAUAAGUAAGAAUACGUAUUUUAUAUAUAUAUAUUUUAUAUUAUUCCAUAAAGUUGUGUUGAAAAUAUCAAUAUAGUUUUAAAAUUGCUAUUUGGAAGAGUUCAGAUGUGUGGUCUUUUAUAUCACAUCCAGAAAAUUGAGAGGAUGAGUCAUAGAUCACUAUCAAAAUCAUUGUAAAUCACGUGACUCCUUGAUACGUGGCUGGUUGCUGUUGGUUCACCUCUCCUACUUCUCCUACACCGUUUUGUAAUUUACUUUUCCUCAAAAUAUGUUCUAAGUUUUAACCACCUCGAAAAUCGUAUGUAAAACUUUCAUAAAUGAUUUAAAAAAGUAAUAACAUAUAUUAGGUUGAGUGUUUUUUUAAUAAAUAAUUUAAUAAUGAAACCCAUAUAAAAUAAAUGUUAUUUAAAUUAUUCCUUAUUUUAUAUUUUUCUAAAACUCAAUAAAUAAUUUUUUGUAAUGGUAUUUCUCAAAAAGUUUAAACUCCUUAAUUUCAAAUAUUAUUUUUCUAACCAUAAAUCAUCUUUGAAAUAAAUAUUUUAAAAAUGAUAGUUUGAUUUAUCAUUUAAAUGUAAGUGUUUUAUAUAAAUUAUUUUAAAUUAACAUAAAAACUUUUUAGUUAUUAUUUGUUAAAAUUUUCGUAUUCUUUCAAAAGAGGAUAAAGUUCAUGUUAUUAAUUGUAUUUUUUUUUCUUAUUAUUGUGCUUUUUAUAUAAUAAUUUUUUUAAAUUGCAUGAAUAAAAAAAUAUUUAAAUAUAAAAUCUUAUAAAAAAGAAAUAAAAAUUUAUUAAACAACAAAUAUAAAUUUUUUGCUUUUAUAUUCUUUAUUAUUUAAAGUUUGUUUAUAUAGUUAUUGCACCAACAUUGGCAUGACGAUGGAUUGAGCAAAACAUUUCCAAUAACCUCUCAAUUAAUAUAAAGGAAAAGACAUAUUAAAAAGGAGGAAGAGAUCUAAAGAAGAGACAAGAGAAAAGACCGGAGCACAUCCUCUCCACCACAAAACUAAUAAGCAUCUUAUUCAAACAUAAGUUUGUCUUAUUCUAUCCAACGUCAUCAUCCAACCAAGGAAAUGCAUUAUUAUUAUUAUUAUUAUUUUAUUAAAAAAAAUAGAAAUUAAAGAAGAGACAAGGGAAAGGACAUAUGCAACCCCCUCCACCACACAACCUUGCCGUGAAGGGUGGUUUUCCCAAAACAGACUGUAAACGGAGCUUACAGCCAAAACUGUCAUAGCAUGGAUGUCAUUGUACUUACAUGGCAUGGAUGUCAUCAUAAACAUCAUGAAAAUUUAGUUUUAUUUCAUUUUUAUUUAUUUUACUCCUUUUUAAAAUAAAAAAAUUUUGAUUAAAAAAAUUAAAAUUUUAGCUGACAGAGAAUUUAAAAAUGUAUAUAACACACCAUUAAUAAUAUUAAUAUAUAACAUUAUUCAAUAUAAAUAAAAUGCUUUUAUAUAUUUAAUAGCAUAAUGCAAUGUUUUUUAUUUAUAAAUUCUAAAUAUUUUAAACACAAAUGUUAUUAUCAAAGAAAUAAAAAAAAAAUUACUAAAUUUUCAUUUAUACACUUCAUUUUGUCUAGUUUCCAAAAUAGAAAAUAAUAAUAACUUUUUAUAUAAAAUUCAAGAACUUUUAAAACUUUACAUUAAAAAGCUAAUAAUUUUUUAAAACUAUUUAAAAAAAUAAAGGUACUCAUAAAAAUUUAAUAUCUUAAAUUUAAAUUUUUUUGAAAGUUAUUUUUAAAAAUAUAAACUUGGUCUACACUUUUUGUAUAAGAGGAUUUUUUUUUUAGAAGUUCUUACUAUUUUUUUUUAAUUUAAAAAAAAACACCAAGAAGUAUGUUCAAAUGGACAUGAAAUUAUAAAUUAUCAAAUGAUUUUCAAAUAGGACUAAACAUGAGAAAGAUUUUCUAUAUAUAUAAAUAUUUUAUAAUAGGAAUGCAAUAUAUUUUUUAUUUUUAAAAAAAUGGAUGUUGAGAUGUAAUAAAAUUUCUAUAAUAUUUUUUUAUUCCUUUGAUAAAUUAAAUAUAAACAUGCAAUAAAAUAUUAUGUUGGAUUUAAUAUCUAAAAUACCAUUAUCACUUUAGAUAUAAUAUAUCAAGAUUUGAUUAUGUUAUGUCUUAUUUUGUCAUGUUCAACCAAUCAAACUUAAAUUACCUUAUUUAAUGUUUUUAUCCAUCAAUUAAAUGCAUUACAUGGAUAGGCAAAAUGGAACUAAUUAGGCCACGUCAUAUAUGUAAUUUAAGUUUUAUCACAUUAUUUUAGUACUUUGUACCUCAAAUAUGAUUUUAGUAUUUUGUUCCUUGACCUCAUUCUCGUUAGCAUCCUCAAAGCUCUAAAUUUUAUCAUAAACUUUGAAUGACAGCUUGGAUUUGAACUUCAAUAGGUGUCAAUUUGGUACCUUAGACUUUUUCGGACCUUAAAAACAUAAAAGAAAAAUAAAAUUUUAAAUAAUGAAUUUAAAGGAAAAUGAUACCUUUGAUCUUAAUUUGAAGAAAAAGAAUAAAAUUGAAAGAGACAAAAAAUUAAAAUAUGAAGAAGGAAAAUAGGAAAAUGAAAUUUAUUAUCAUUUUUCAUCAUUUUUUGUUUGAUCUUUUAUUUCUUCAUUUUUUUUUUGUAUUUAAAUAUAAGAAAAUCACAUUCCUUAAUAUUAUUUUCUUAUUUCUUUAAUAUUUUUAAAAAAUGAAACUGUGGACUCUGUAUUUUUCACGUGCGUCCUCAUUCGUUGGCGAGAUUCGCUUUAAAUUUAUUUAUUUAGUGAAAAUUUGAUUUUUUGAGAAAGACUUGGAGUUGUCACUUAUUUUUAUUUUAUUUUUUAAGGGAAAAAUAGAAUAAGAAAUAAAAACCCUAAAUGUGACUCUUGAAUGAAAAACAGGUUUAGGAAAAACCGAAUUUGGAUUCGGGGGUUAGGUUACCUAUUGGGAAGGUAUGGUAAUGAGCCGUAGCACCCCUCUAACCCCGUAUACAUACGGUCUCUACCAAACAAAUUAAGAGAAUUGUAACAAUUAAUUAAUUAAUCAUGUAUGCCAAGAAAAAUAACGUAUAAGUCAUGCUAAAAAUCAAUAUACACAAAAAUAAUGAUGAAAUCUAAUUAAAAGAAUACACAAAAUAAAUAACAGGAGAAUUAUACAAAAUGAUUUAUUUAAAUAAAUAAAUAAGAUAUUAAAAAAUAUUUUUUUCAAGAAAUUUUAAAUGAUUUUAUUAAAAAAAAUUUUGAAUGAGUGAUUUCAAUUUAUUUAUUUACAAAAAAGAGUCAAUUUAUUUUCUCAAUUUCAUUUGUAUUCAAUUUUCAGAAAAUUUAUUUACAUUUGUUGUAUUAAAAGAAUUUAUUACAAAAUUUCAAUUUUGAAACAAAAAAAAUAUAUUUUUACUUGCUUUAAAAAAAAAAGAACUUUUACAAUUUUAUUUACAAAAGUAUUUGAAUUUGUUUUCAUUUAAGAAAAGUUAUUUAUACAAAUUAUUAAAUAUAUAUAUAUAUAUAUAUAACUUUAUUUGCAAAAGAAUUUUUAAAUAAAAAUUAAUUUUUUGAACAAUUUUAUUUACAAAACAAUUUUUAGACAUUUUUUACUAAACAAAGAAUUUUUUAGACAAUGAUUAUUAAAAAACAAUUUUUUAAAUGCUAUUAAAAACAUUUUUUUUUAUUUUUCUAAAAGCAUUUUUUUGAAUUUUUAUUAAUAAUAAUAAAAAAACUUUCUUUUACUUAGAAGAAUAUUUUAAAAUUAUUAUUUUAUUAAAACAUAUUUACUGAAUUAUUCUUUUUAUUUAAACAAAAUCUCUUAUUUGUUCGAAAUUCAAUUAUGUAAACACUCAAUAAAUAUUUAUAAAAACUAAUAAAAAUAAAAUCAAAUAAAACUGGGAAAUAAAAUGUGUACCUAAAUAAGCUUACAACAAGUUCAAUGUCUUCCUACAACUUUUUUAUUCUCACUUUCUUUCAUGGAAUUUCGUACUCCACGGGUCAUAAAUUUGCACUUAGCCAACAAAAUUGCAGAAUAGGUACAUGUAAAAACAAAAAUAGCCCAAACGUAAAUAUCCAAAGAUGUACAAAAUCUCAAACAAAUAUUCAAACCAAAAUUUAAAUUUUAAAUUAGUCUCAUAAAUUUCGUUAAUUAAAAUGAACCCAAAUUACUAUAGGUUUUAGCCUAAAAUAUUCAAAUUAAUAACCAAAAAUACAAACACAAUCAACCAAACCUAAACCGGGAAGGAGAGUACCUCAACCGGGAAGGGAAGGUUACUGGAUGAGAGAAAGUGUUUUUGAUACUCCUCGACUAGACCUUGACCGAACAAGGGCAACCGAUCAAUCAGUUUCUUGGUCGGUUGAGUCGGUUGGCCAGUGCCUUGACCGGUUUAGCCUUUUGGCCCAAAAAACCUAUCUUUUUCGGUUCUUUUCCUUUCCAAAACUUAGGCAAGGUCUUUAGGUAAAUUAAUAUGUCAAUUUUGAAAUGUUUUGUCUAAGGUAUAUUUGCUAAAACUCGAGUUUUAAUGAAAUUAUAACUUUAAAGAAUAAAUCGAAUUUUCCAAAGAUCCAUAAAAAGAUAUAUAAAACCUAAGUGCACCCAUGUAUUCAUCUUACAUUUGUUUUCGAUGAUUAAAAGUCUUCCAAAUGUGUCGAUCUUGUAUCCAUUUGAUUUUUUGAUGAAUUUUCAAAUUUACACCUAAGAUUCUUUACUAUUCAAACCAAUUAGUCACUUAACCAUGAUUUGUUAUCAUCAAAACCUAAUUAGGAGAAUCAUUGAGCUAACAAUUACAAAUUCGGAAGGUAUCGAAUUUAUACCUUAGGAGUUCCUUUUAUUAAAUAUACAACAAGAGAUGAUAUAUAGAACAUAGAAAGUGAAUUAUUUUAGGGAAUGUUAAGAAUUUUGAUACACAUAAUACAAAUUACUUAAAUAUAAAAUCGUAUCAAGGAUAAAUAUAAAUUUAUUAAACAAAAACUACAAAGUUUAUGCUUUUAUAUAUAUAUAUGUUGCUAUUGGCUUGAACAUUGGCCUCGCAAUGGACUAAAUAUUUCACUUUGACAAAAGUUUUUCGUGACCACUCAAUUAAUAAAGGAAAAGACACAAUUAAAAUAAAUAAACAAAAGAAAAAAAGAGUUGUGCACCUUCUCCCCACCAUACAACUAAUAAAUUCUAUCAUAUUUGACUCAAUGGUGUUAUCCGUACUUCCCAACAUGGGUUGGCAAAAUAUAUUAGGGACUUUUAACAUAGAAAUUAAAGACUAUAUUUUGCUUUGAAAAUAUUAAAUAAUGGAAAAAAUUGUUAAAAAAGAUAAUUUUAUUAUAUUUGGCUUUAUUAUGAAAAGUGUAAUUAAAAUUAGUUAGAAAUUUAUAUAAUUUUUAUAUAAAAAAAUAAGUAAAAUAAGUUUAAAGUAGUAUAUAAAAAUAAUUUAUUGAUUUUUAAUUUUUUUUUCUCUUGCAUUUUUUUUAGAUAAAAGAAAAAAUAAAGAAAGAAGAGAUAAGGAAAGGGAAAGUAUAUAUGCACUUUCUCUUCACUAAGGAUGAAAAUAUUGGUAAUUAUGGAUAUAUUGGUAUUUUGAUUUUACGGAUAUAUAAAAAAUAUUGGUGAAUAUUUUUUUCACUAAUAUCGUUGAAGCGAAAAUUAUUUAAAAUUCAUAAAAAUGCUUAAAAAAACUCUAAGAAUUGAUAAAAUAAGUAAGAAUCCGUAUUUUAAAGUUAUUUUAUAAAUAUAAUUGAUAUAAAUAUGAUCAAGAAGAAAAAUAUCGGUAGACAGAGAUAUAUCGAUAGAUUUGAUAUUUGAAUUUUAAGAAUAAUAAAUAUAAAUUUUGGAAGUGUAUAAAGUUAAGAAAUAUUUGAUUUUAUUAAAUAAAAACAAUUUAUAUGUAAAUAUAAUGCAUAUGACAUUGCAAUAGUCUUAUUAUUAAAAUGAAAAUCAAUAUGAUUUUAUCAUAUUAUUAUAUAAAGGGAUCCUAUCUUGUUGAAGAUAAUAUUUAUUUUAAAAAUUUUAAAAUAUUUUUUUAUUAAAACAUGUUUUAUUAUAUUUUAAAUAAAAAAUUAAAUUAAUUUAUAUAACAUAUUUUAUUUGAGAUUUAAUUUCUAAAAUUUUAUUAAAAAUAUGUGAUAAUAAUUUUUUCUAUUAACAUUAAUUUAUUUAAAUAAUUAAAAUUAUUAAUAAUUUAUCUUAUCAAAUUAAUUUUAAUUUAUAAAAUAUCAUCGAAAAAAGUCGAAAUUUCGUAGUGAUUUAAUCAAAAUAAUGAUGCAUAAUUAAUAAUUAUUUAUACAGAGGGUGGAAACUUGUUCUCAUGAUUUGUUUCUUUUUAAAUCUCUACUAAAUUUAAAAACCGAAAGGGCCACUCACUUCUCUCACUCGGGCAUCAAGAAGCCCUUAUCUGAAGUUGCCUUCCAGACGAGAGAAUCCCUAAAAAGACCCUGUUUUCCUCUGCCACUCUCAAUCCUCGCAGGUUCUAAUCUAAUCAUGUUAUUUUUUUUUUUUGCAACCCCCGUUUGAUUCCCAAGAAAAUCCAUCCCCAUUCGAUUUCAGGGAAAAUUCAUCCUCGUUUGAUUUUCGAGAAAAUCCAUGCAAAACCCCCAAGGAAAACCAAAAGCAUUGCUAUUUUUUUUUGCUCCCUGUGUUUUCUGGAUAAGUUCUAGGGGUCUUUUUGCUUUUGUGCCAUUCGAUUUAAAUUUCAUGAACCCUAAAUCCACGAUUUUUGAGCCAGGCUGAAAAACACAACCUUUGCCUGCAAAUCAUGAUUAGAUUACUAAAUAGCAUCUUAUGUUUUUGUUCUAAAAAAAAUUGGACAAAUUUUGUAUCCUGUGCGCGGGUCGGGCUGGUUGGAAAUAUCGGGAAAUUUCCCGAAAAAUCGGUAAAAAUACCGAUAAGUACCAAAAUAUCGGCGAUAUUUUCGAAAAUUACCGAAAUUUCCGUCGACCGAUAAUCGGUGACGAAAAAUUUCGACAUUUCAAUCCUUGGUCUCCACCACUCAACUUCACGGUAAAGGGGACCACAUUUGCUUUAUUUAAUGGCAAAUUUUAGAUCAUCUCUAUAAGACUUUUUUCAUUUAUCUCAACAAUUCUUUGAAGUGCUUUGUUAUUUUUUAAUUUCUAUCUUCCGAAAACACAUCUUCUUUGGAUUAUCAUCUGGUAUCAUAGUCAAGUUGAUCAGAUGGUUAUCUCAAUCCAACCUACCAUCCCAUUUUUUGAAGGAAAUGGAUAUGAUACUUGGAGCAUAAAGAUGAGGACUCUUUUUAUCUCCGAAGAUCUGUGGGAGCUUGUGGAUAAGGGUUAUGUAGAAGAGGAAAUUCCAAGAGAUGCUAUGAGAGAUGUACGAAAGAAUGAUGCCAAGGCAUUGUUUUUUAUUCAACAAGCAAUCUCGGAGAGUAUUUUUCCUCAAAUUUCGAAGGCAAUGAAGUCUAAGGAAGCAUGGGACAGUUUGCAAACAAAAUAUCAAAGCACAAGCCUGGUACUUGCAUUAUUGAUUAGUUACAAUGUAUUGAAUUUUUAGAUUCAGUCAAAUAAAGUAAUAUUUAUAUGUUUUGUAAGAUUGGAAUGUGUAAGAUUCAGUCAAAUUUCUUGGGUGCUUCUAACAACAGUGCAGAAUUGAUGAAUUAACUCGGGUUCUGAUUUGAAUUAGGAUGCAGCUCAAGAUGGAGAUGGUAGCCAAACUGACAUCCCUCUCAUGGAUGACUCUGUGUAUGAGGCAGCAGCGAAGGGCGACAUUGAAGCUCUGAAGAAAAUUCCAGAGUCCGAAUUUCAUGCCCAAUUAAGCCCAAAGCAUAACACAAUACUCCAUAUUGCAAGUGAAUUCGGUAAAAUAGAGUGUGUGAAUUGGAUCCUUGAUUUUCCCUCAUCUUCAUCUCUGCUGCGAUGCCCUAAUUUGAAUGAGGACACUCCCCUUCACCUUGCAGCAAGGGAAGGGCAUUUGAAGGUCGUGGAAGCUCUUAUAAAUGCUGCAAGAAAACCUACACUAGAUAUUGAAACUGGGCCUGGACCACAUAAGGUUAUGCUGAGGAUGAAAAAUAAGGGGAAAGACACAGCCUUGCAUGAGGCAGUGCGAUAUGGAAAUCGUGAGGUGGUGAAGUUAUUGAUCAAGGAGGACCCCGAUUUGGUCUAUGGUGCUAAUGAUUCAGGUAUCACUCCUCUUUACAUGGCUGCAGAGGGACGAUUUAGAGCCAUAGUGGAAAUAAUCAUAGAUGAAAGUAAGGAAACUGGUACUUCACCCCCUUACAUUGGCGGACUUUUCUUAAUAGUACGGUAAUUUAAAAAAGUUAUACUUAAAUUAUUGUAGUAGAAGAAGUUAUUACAAAUAUACGGUAGUUUUUGCCACAUAGGAGAGAGGAAAUAGGAGAGAGGAGAGAGGGUGAACGGAUAAAUUUUUUUAAAACCAAAAUCAUCUUUCAAACAAAGGGAACUCGUCUCUUGAAGAGACGAGUUCCAUGAAAAAAAAUAUAUAUAUAUUUUUAAAAAAAUUCCAGAACUCGUCUCUUCAAGAGACGAGUUCCAUGAAAAAAAAAAAAAAAUAUUUUUUAUUAAAAAAAAAUAUUUUUUAUUAAAAAAAAAAAAACAGUUGCUCAAAGGGAACUCGUCUCUUCAAGAGACGAGUUCCCAUGGAAUUUUUUUUUUUUUUAAAAUUACCAAAUUAUAAAAAAAAAAAAAAAAAACAAAAAACAAGCUCAAGGGAACUCGUCUCUUGAAAAAAAAAUAUAUUUUUUUUAAAAAAAUCUCAAAUUAUUUAAAAAAAAAAAAACAUUUUUUUCCUUAAUGGAACUCGUCUCUUCAAGAGACGAGCUCCAUGAAUAUAUAUAUAUAUUGCUUAAGAAAUUCCCAAAUUAUUAAAAAAAAAAAAAUGGCAAUUCCUCAAGGGAACUCGUGGAAAUAUAUAUAUAUAUAUAUAUAUAUAUAUAUAUAUAUAUAUAUAUAUAUAUAUAUUUUAAAAAAUUCCCAAAUUAAAAAAAAAAAAAAGGAUUUCCUCUUCCCAUGGAAAAUUUUUUUUUUUUUAAAUUCCCAAAUAAAAAAAAAAAAAUUUGCUAAAGGGAACUCGUCUCUUCAAGAGACGAGAGACGAGUUCCCAUGGAAAAAAAUAUAUUUUUAUUUAAAAAUAUAAUUUUUAUUUAAAAAAAAAUCCCAAUUUAAAAAAAAAAAAAAAAAAUUCCUCAAGGGAACUCGUCUCUUGAAGAGACGAGUUUCCUUUAGGAAUUUAAAAAAAAUAUAUAUAUAUAUAUAUUUUAAAAAAAUAUAUAUAUAUAUAUAUAUUUUAAAAAAAUAAAAAAUUUCCUAAAGGGAAAUGGGAAAAAAAAAAAAUAUAUUUUUAAAUAUAUUUUUUAUUUAAAAAAAAAAUCCCAAAUUUAAAAAAAAAAAAAAAAAUUCUUAAAGGGAACUCGUCUCUUUAUAUUUUUUUACAUGGGAACUCGUCUCUUGAAGAAACGAGUUCCCUGUUUUUUAUUUUUUUUUAUUAUUAUUUUUUUAAUUUGGGAUUUUUUUUAUAUUUUUUCCCACGAAGAGACGAGUUCCCUUUAGGAAUUUUUUUUUUUAAUUGGAAUAUUUUUUUAAAUAAAAAAUAUAUUUAAAAAAAAAAUAUUUUUUUUCCCAAGGGAACUCGUCUCUUCAAGAGACGAGUUGCCUUUAGGAAUUUUUAUUUUUAUUUUUUUAAAUAUAUAUAUUUUAAAAAAAAAAUAUUUUUUUUUUACAUGGGAACUCGUCUCUUGAAGAGACGAGUUCCCUUUAGGAAUUUUUUAAUUUUAGAUUUUUUUAAAAUAAAAAAUAUAUUUAAAAACAAUAUAUAUUUUUUUUCCCAUGGGAACUCGUCUCUUCAAGAGACGAGUUCCCUUUAGGGAAAUUUUUUUUUUGAUUUAAUUUGGGAUUUUUUUUAAAUAAAAAAUAUAUUUAAAAAAAAAAAAUAUUUUUUUUCCCAUGGAACUCGUCUCUUCAAGAGACGAGUUCCCUUUAGGAAUUUUUUUUUACAUGGGAACUCGUCUCUUCAAGAGACGAUUCCCUUUAGGAAUUUUAAAAUAUAUAUAUAUAUAUAUAUAUAUACCAUAGACACCCAGGACAAGGUCGUGUGCAAUGAAAACAUGAAUUAUGCCAUGAUUCAAAACAAAGAAGAGGGUUAGAAAAUACAAAAGAUAUCCGACAAAGAAAUUUAAAGAGAAGGAACCAAAAACUUGUUAGUUCAUCAUAAGCUUAAAACCGACCACGUAGGCGGUACAAAAUAAAAACAUAAACUUAAAAACAAAGCUUAAUUAAAACUGACCAUGUAGGCGGUACAAGAACAUAAAAUAAAAUGAAAAACAAAACAUAAUUAAAAACCAUCCAUAUAGGAGGUAAUCAAAACAUACUUAUAUUAUACAUAAGGAGAAAUAUCUUACAAUGGACAAGGGUAGAAAAGCUUGAAGAAAGCUUGAAAGCUUGAAGAGGUUACAUGAUGAGAGAGAAAAAAGAGAGAAGGGAGAGCUUCAGCUUGGGAGAGAAAAAUUGAAUGUAAAUUGAACGUGCUUACAAAUGAGAACCGAGCCUCCUUAAAUAGGCAAAAAAGGAAUCUUGAGUAGUAACCAUGAAUAGUAGACCCGUGCUUGAAUAGUGAAUAGUGAACAGUAAAAAGGAACUGUAGCACUAUUGACUUUUGACCCGGAAUCUUGCUUUCGGCUGAAAUGACUGCUGAUCAGUUAAUCAGGGAGGAAUAUAUUCCGAGCGGUGAUCCAUUAGGAGCUGAGUAUCUUGAAUAGUGGAUUUGAACGGUAAAGGGUCAAUCUUUUUACUGCAAAAUAUCUGAUGUAGGGAAUCCGCAGCAAUGAGAUGCCCCAUGUUUUUUGGGUAGGCUUCAAAGUCUCUGCUGAUGACUCUGGCUCUCCAAUGCUUGAUUUGCUUAAUAAUUGGCUCUCCGCAAAUGUCGGUUUGAACUAAGGGACUGGACAGAAGAGUAGGUCUUCUAUUCUGGUAAUGAAGAUUAACAUAGUGUUGUGUUGGAAGAACGUUGCCUCUAGAAAUCCAUUCAGGAGCUUUGCUAAUAAAAAUGGCAUCAACAAACUUCUUGUUUAACUUAAAACCUUGGAUUAAGCUUAGAUUAACCUUUCUGCCAAUAUUGCUAGCUUGACUUGGAUCAGAACAGAUAAGUUGGUAAACCAAUCCAUAAUCAAGAAGCAUUUCAGGAGUUAGGAUUAAAACUUCUCAUUUGAAAGCAAGGUUAAUUGGCUGGUAAUACUGUAGAUCAAUGCAGGCUCUGCUGAUAGUGAAAUUCCUAUUGCAAUUGCAAUUUGGCUUGUUGUCUUGUUGAUGAAGAAGCGGUUCAGUACAAUUUCUGCAAAGUUUUGAGCCAUCAAAUUCCAUCUCCUUGGUUAAAUUUAAUCCUGGAACACUGAGACCAGGAAUUGCUGAGAGAUAAAUGUGCAUAUCCUGAAGAUAAGCCGAAAUAAAAACUUGCUUUUCUUCUGCACUGGACUUGGCUUUUUCACAAAUUAGCUGAUAGAUAUCAUCUAGCUUAAGAGUGGACAAGAUCUCACUCCUUCGGUGAAACAUUCUAAAGAUAAUGCACUCCUGCUCAUCCUUACUUAAUUUCUCAUUCACCAGUUGGGUGAAUGGUUUUUUCUCACUAAUUUCCAGUGGGGAAAAAGGGGCUUGGCUUAUAUCUUUUUUGUGAAAAUUAGCUAUUUCUAGCUUUUUUUUCAAGGGUCCUGCACCUAGCCUGCAAAUCACAAAUACUCUUAUGAACAGAUAAGGGGUUAGUAUCAAAAGUAGAGAAGUUUAAGGGGAUGGGUUCUUCCACCAAAGGUAGAGAACCAGAAAUAUUUCCUUCUUCAACAACAGGGGAGGAAGGAUGCUUAAGAAUAGGAGGAUUAGGAUCAGAAGUAGAUCCCUGAGAUCCCGAAGCAAAAUCAUAAUACAAAGGCUUGAAUUUUUCUGAUAAGACUGAAUGAGGUUUCAUGUAAGAUGAUGAUUUCUUAAAGGAUUGCUUUUCUGUUUUGGGAGCCAUGAUCUUGUGAAUCCUGCAAAAAUUCACGAGUUAGGAAAUCAGGGAUUGAGUUAUUUUCUCCUUUAAUAUACUCAAUUUGAAAAUCAAAAUUGCUUAAAAUAGCUUGCCAUCUAGCAAAAAUAUGUUUAGAAGCUAUAUUUUUAACAUCUUUUUGUAAAACUGAUUUUGCAGAUUUGCAAUCCACUCUUAAUAAAAAUUCCUGAUUCAAAAGAUCGUCUUGAAAUUUUGAAAUGCAUAAAAUGAUGCUUAAAAUUUCCUUUUUGAUGGUGCUGUAAUUGAGUUGGGCAUGGUUCCAAGUUCCAGAAGUGAAUCUAACCAAUAAUUCUUGAUUAUUACUUCUUUGCUUAAGAAUUCCACCAAAACCUAUAUCAGAAGCAUUAGUCUCAACAAUCUUAAAGGCUUUAUGAUCAGCUAAGGCGAGACAUGGUAGGGUUUUGACUCUAGACUUUACUAUUUUAACAAUCUUGGUAUGAUCCUCAUUCCAAGGAACUGGAUUUUUCUUAAGUCUUUGUCUUAAAGGGGCACAUAAUUGGCUUAAAUCUUGUAUGAAAUCUGACACAUAAUUAAGGCUUCCUAAGAAACGUUGCAAUUGUUUCUUAUCCUUAAUCUCAUCAGGGAACUUAUCAGCAAACUCAAUUGAUCUUUGAAUGGGGGUGAAAGUUCCUUGGUGAAUAUGAUGUCCUAGGAAUCUUACUUUAGUUUGAAAGAGGUUAAUCUUAGUGGCUAACAAGCUUAAACCAUUGCUCUUAACAGUCUCAAUAAACCUAUUGAGAUGUUUCUAAUGCUGCUCAACAGAAUCUGAGUAAAUCAAAACAUCAUCAAUGUAAACAAUAAUGAAAUCAGAAAACUGGUUAAAGAUUUCAUUCAUUAUGUUUUGAAACUCAGAAGGUGCAUUCUUAAGGCCAAAGGGCAUUACAUUCCACUCAUAAUGACCAAAUGGGACCACAAAGGCUGUUUUGUACCUAUCUUUUUCUGCAAUCUGGAUUUGCCAAAAUCCUGAUUUCAUGUCAAACUUAGAGAAAACUUUGGACUUCCCUAAUCUUUGAAGGAGGUCUUUUUUAUUUGGGAUAGGAUACCUGAUCCAUCUUAAAACAUCAUUGAGGGGCUUAUAGUUGAUGACUAGUCUAGGUGUUCCUCUUUCAAGUUCAACUUGUUUCUGAACAUAAAAGGCUAAACAACUCCAAGGAGACUUAGACUUUCUUAUCAACUUCUUAUCCAUGAGAUCCUGGAUUUCUUUUUCACAAUAGCCUAACAAAUCCUUGUUCAUUUGGAUUGGUCUUGCUUUAGUGGGAAUAUUUUUCUCACUAAAAUCAGGCUCAUAGGGUAAAUCUACCUCAUGCUGCUUCCUAUGCCAAAAAACAUUAGGAAUGUUAGAACAGACUUCCUUAAUAAUCUUAUUCUUAAGGCUUUCUAUAGCAUCUUGGGUUUUCUUAAUCUUCAGUUGAUCUUCUAUUCUAACCAGAGCAAUCUCUUGUUUUAAGAGAUUAAUAUGAUUUUGCUUAGCCUUAAUCACCUGAUAUUUUAUGGUGUUUAUACUUCUUUCUCCAGGUGGAUUGGCAAAUUCAAACAGAAUUUCCUUAUCUAAAAGCUUAGUUCUUAUACCUUGAUCAUCUACCCACAUAGGAAAGAUGGAGCUUAAGAAAGGGACUCCAAGGAGGACUUUCUCCUUGAGAUCUUUAACAAGAAUGAAGGUUUGCUUAAUGCAAAUGCCUUGGUUACAAAUAUGGGCAUUCGAUAACUUGUACUUGAUAAUAAGCUUUUUACCAUUAGCACCAAAGAGGGCUUGCCUGGUUUUCUCAUAAAAUUGGGUAGGUACAAGACCUUCUUGUAGGCAAUUCAAAGCUGCACCUGAAUCAAUUAAAGCAAUAAUAUCAAGGAUAAAUUUAUUCUUAAUUACUAUAGUAAGGGAGACUUCCCACCUUUGGAAGAUAACUUUACUAAUAGUAUUUAAGUAUGCAUUUAUCUUAUCACUAUUGUCUUGUGAAGAUUCAAGAACUUCUUCAAAGUCUUCCUUUUUAGGACUACUGUGGUAAAAACCUACCCUGUUGAUAUAAUCCUGAGGGAUAGGGAUUUCUGAGCUUGUAGGUUGUCUUAGAUUCUCAAUAUCCUUCUUAUACUGCCCUAUUUCUUCUUGAAGAUCUUUAAUAGUCAGGGCAUUAAGGAUAAUCCUUUUUUCUUGUUUAUCAUCAUGAUCGUUAAAAGGGUUUUGGAUAGAAGGUUCUCUGGUUAGCCUAAUUAGUCCAUUAUCCUUUGCUUUUGGACUAAUAUUCCUUUUAACCAAAAGGAUUCUCCUAUGGGAAGGUUGAGGUGUUUCAGGGAUAACAAGAUUAUCUUUAAUCUUUUGGCUUAUUUUAUCAAUGAAAGCUUGAUCAAUUUGAGGAUUUUCCUGGAAUUUCUUAGAUAAUUCAAAAGGCUUAAACAAAGGCUUAUUAUCAUUCUUAACAAAAGGCUUCUUAAGGUGAUCCUGAAUUUCAAUAAUCUCCUCAACUCUAUUGACUUGAUUUCCAAGGGUUAUGAGAAACAUAUUAGUAUAAUUGAUUUGUUCCAUAAUCCUNNNNNNNNNNNNNNNNNNNNNNNNNNNNNNNNNNNNNNNNNNNNNNNNNNNNNNNNNNNNNNNNNNNNNNNNNNNNNNNNNNNNNNNNNNNNNNNNNNNNNNNNNNNNNNNNNNNNNNNNNNNNNNNNNNNNNNNNNNNNNNNNNNNNNNNNNNNNNNNNNNNNNNNNNNNNNNNNNNNNNNNNNNNNNNNNNNNNNNNNNNNNNNNNNNNNNNNNNNNNNNNNNNNNNNNNNNNNNNNNNNNNNNNNNNNNNNNNNNNNNNNNNNNNNNNNNNNNNNNNNNNNNNNNNNNNNNNNNNNNNNNNNNNNNNNNNNNNNNNNNNNNNNNNNNNNNNNNNNNNNNNNNNNNNNNNNNNNNNNNNNNNNNNNNNNNNNNNNNNNNNNNNNNNNNNNNNNNNNNNNNNNNNNNNNNNNNNNNNNNNNNNNNNNNNNNNNNNNNNNNNNNNNNNNNNNNNNNNNNNNNNNNNNNNNNNNNNNNNNNNNNNNNNNNNNNNNNNNNNNNNNNNNNNNNNNNNNNNNNNNNNNNNNNNNNNNNNNNNNNNNNNNNNNNNNNNNNNNNNNNNNNNNNNNNNNNNNNNNNNNNNNNNNNNNNNNNNNNNNNNNNNNNNNNNNNNNNNNNNNNNNNNNNNNNNNNNNNNNNNNNNNNNNNNNNNNNNNNNNNNNNNNNNNNNNNNNNNNNNNNNNNNNNNNNNNUAUAAGCAAACCUGGUUAUGAUAGAAACAGGACUGUUUCCUGGUUUGAUCUUAAAGCCAUGAGUCUUAAUAUGCAGGACAACGGAAUCUAAGAUGUCUGCAUCUCUUAAUCUAACUGUGAAGUUAGGAUAGCACUGGAAAUAAACUGGGCCAUCAUUCAGUCCAGCUUGGACUGCACCUAUAAUAGAAUCUCGAUAUUCGAGAUGCCUAUUAUCCCUUAGACACAUGACAAUAGCGGUGUUUAAACCUAAUCUUGUCAAAGACUUAGCUGCUACUUGAAUCAUACCAAAGUGUAUGAAAUUAUAGCCAUCUUUCUUAUGCUUUUCAACUGAUCUGUUAUCUAGAAGUCUUAUGACUUGGUCAUCUUGUUCUAAACUGACUGUCAUUUCAGAGGUCUUAAUGGUAUAAUCUGUGAAGAACUUAAAGGUUCCUUUCUUAUAAAUUUCUUGAUUAGACACCUUGGGUAACUUCCAAUCAUCUAAAUCAUUUUGGAUCUUAGGAUAAUUGAUCUCUUCACUGUUUACAACAGUAUCUUGAGAAUCACUGGAUCUCCUAGACAUGGUUCAAAAAAUUGAACUCAUUUUAAGGUUUUUGAUCUAGAGCCUAAUAGCAGAUUGACAAACCUUAUGAGACGUCACCCCAACCCUCUUACAGCCUAACAAACGCCUAUCCACGGCUAACANNNNNNNNNNNNNNNNNNNNNNNNNNNNNNNNNNNNNNNNNNNNNNNNNNNNNNNNNNNNNNNNNNNNNNNNNNNNNNNNNNNNNNNNNNNNNNNNNNNNAUAUAAGUGUUCGGAUUAAAACUAUUUAUCAACCAAAGACAUAACCCAUGAUCUAUUUUCCUACAUCGAAGUUGCAAGAGGCUACCAAAUCCUAUUUCUUCUAUGGCUGCCUUUUGCUUUGGUUCUAAAUUUUCAAUCACUCUAAUAACUCGCUCGGGGGAGCAUCGAGUCUGAAGAUAUAACUGAAAAGAUACACAAACAUCAAACAUGUUUACAUUAAUAUAAUUUCCAACAAAUACAUAAGUAAAGAAAUUAAAUAUUCAUUACAAAUAAAAAUUACCUUUGGAACCACACCCUUUUGAAGUGAAUAUUGUUUUGAACUUUCUUUGGACUUUGCCAUGAAAUUUUCUUUUUCUACUUUUGAAAGUGCAUUCCACUUCUUGCCCAAUUGUUUCCUCAACUACAGUAAUUGGUCACAUAAUUUAAAUUCUAAUGUUAAAAUGUAAUUAUAUUAGACGUAGCAAAAUUACUCCUUACAUCAUCAUUUAUCUUCACUCCUUUGUCCUUCUCUUUCAUCAUGGCUAAUUGAUCGUUACUACAAAACAAUUUCAAACAAAUUUAACAAUAACAACCACAAAAAAUAAAUUAAAAAACAUAUUAUUUUACAUAUUUCUAUUUUCCCUUACUAGUAAUGUAUCCAAGCGCCGAUAGGCCUCUUUGGAUUUCUAAUAACUUCAAGACCAUCGCAUUCGCUCCUAAAAAUUAAAUCAAAGCAUUUAAGUCAAUUUUUAUAAUAUGAUUUCAAAUAUAAUAAAUCAAACAUGCUUUCACCACCACAUUAUCUCAACAUAAGUUUUUUUUCACAUUUCAAUAAAUUUUAUUUUUAUAUCUUACUACAACCAACCAAAUGCCAAUUAAAAUACAAAUACCAUUACAACUACAACUACAACAUCCUCCCUAAAUAUCUUUACAUUUAAAAUGAUGACAAAAUUAACAUACAAAUUUUUUUCAAUGUUCAAUAAUCUAACCACACUCUUUUUCUAUAAUGUAAUCAAUCCAUAAAUCUAACAAAAAACAUGAAAUAUAAUGGACAUAAUAUUGUAAAACACAUAAUUACUACUCACAUUUUUUUCCCUUUAUAUAGAACUCGCCAAAUAAUUAGGAUACAAGCGCCUUUUGAGUAACAAACAAUUGUGUCAUUCUCAGCUUUCUUUUCCUUAGUACUACACGUCCUCUUCUUCUUCUUCCAGCUACGUCUUCAAUUCGGGUUUUUAAACCAUUAAAUUUAGAACCUAAAAACACCCCCUUACACCUCUUAAACAAAAUAUAAAAUAUGAAGAAAACACAUGGGUUAUGAAGAUUCCACUAAAAUUCUCCGUGUGAAAGAACAGAAAUUCUCCUUGUGAAAAAAUGCAGGGGUAGGGGGGAGAGAAAGCAAAAAUUCAGAAAAUUUACAUAAAAUCUUCGAGAAGAAGAAUCUAGCAGAAAAAAUAGCUGACCUGGACAUCGGGAGAAAUGAAGUCUAAGACUCGGAUCUUGGCACUGACCUCGCCCACAAUCCUGAGCUCGCGCUCCUUGAGGGAGACUUCUUUGAUGAGGUCAAGACGUCGACUUGGAGGAGGUUGGCCCGGUUCACGGCAAUGGUGGUCUCCACCCACCUGUGAAGACGUCUUUGAUCCCGGCUGACGGCGAAGGUGGUCUCCACCUAGCUGUGGAGACGUCUUUGAUAAGGUCUGCGACGUCGGCCUCGAAGAGGUUGGCCCGGUUGAAGCCGACCGUGGUCUUCACCCAGCUGUGGACAAUCACUGGAGAGAAAAACGGGAAAAGGGAGAGAAAACAAAGAUGACAGUGGGAAAUGGGUGAGCUAUGGAGGAAGUCGGCAAACAAAGAUGAGGAAGUCGGCAAAUGGGUGAGCUGAGGAAGUCGGCUAUGGAGGAUGCGCGAGACACCCAGCUAUGGAGGGGCGGAAAACGGGUGAGCUGAGGAAGUUGGCUUGGGAAGAGAGCAAGACAGCAAAUUAGGGGGGGGGGGGAAAGGGAAAAAGGAGGAGAGAUGGGGGGAACCGGAGGGGAAGGUACCCAGGAGAAUUUUUUUUUGAAUUUUUUUUCAUUUUGGAUGGCUGAGAUUUAAUCAUUUUCAUCCAAUGGAUGAAAAAAAAUGGAGGCAUGGUACUGAAGGAGGUAUUGUAGAUUUUCCCUAUAUAUAUAUAUAUAUAUAUAUAUAUAUAUAUAUAUAUAUAUAUAUAUAUAUAUAUAUAUAUAUAUAUAGUGUGACACUCCUUUGUAAUUUGUGGCAGAACCAAACUACCCCGCCAUGCAUAUGCAUAGACAACUCAGGGAACCUGCCGUAAACUUAAGCAUGUGGUUAGACCAACCAUAAUUAUGGGGACCAACUGGUUUGGUGGAGUUAAACCUAACCAAACUUCCCCAUUAAGCCACUUGGUUUAACUCAUCAAACUUAAACCAAUCCAAAUCAGCAAAUCCACUUGGUUUCCAAGGAGCAAACUUUUACAGUGUGGGUUUCUUCUACUUGUGCCUACCUACGCUAUCAGUAAUUUCGUUCCACAAGGUAGUCCAGACAAAGAUGUGAACAACUUUAUUGGAUUAGUAACAAACCAGCUGUGCAAAUACCAUUUGAGCUUAGCUCAGGCUUCAGUGAGAAAAUCUCAUCUUUCCCCGAUAGGAUUUUUGAUCUCUCCUCUUUAACAUAGGCUAGGGUGGAAGGAAGCAUUCCCAGCAAGAAUCUUGAUGGUUGGAAUAUCUAAAAGUGGCUACUAAUAAACAAAGGGGUGUGAUCCUUCACAGCAUCUAUAAUCUCUGCUGCCCCAUCAUUCUUAUGGGAUGCUAAAGUAGUGUCUUAUUUAGAUAUGAAACCAAACUGUCUGGCCUGUUGGCAUCCAGCAAAAAGCCAGCUGCAUGAGUCCUAAUUUAUGCAGCAAAAAGCCAGCUGCAUAAAACAUGUUUCCUGAGAAAAUGAAUUCCAAUGACCUAUUCCUGUUUCAUCGUUCAAAGCAAGCUCCAUGGCUCCAACUUCUUUCUUUACUAAUGAUUUGUUUGGAAAACUGGUGCCUAGUGUCGGUGCAUAUUCUACAGAAAGUCUAGUCUGUCAAUUUGUACAAGACAAUUGGCCUAACCUCUUUUCCAAAUUGAUAACCCAUCCAAGGGUGUAACCAAAAAGUACGUUACUUUUUAUUUUUAUUUUUUAUAAAAUCAAUUUUGCACUGAAUUAUCAAUUCUUUUCUUCCGGUCAAUCCACCCACAUAAAACCACAGUGACUCCACUGAGAUAUCUUGUCCACUAAAAAGAAGAGAUUAGAAAAUCUCAUGACUGAUAUUCUUAAAAAAAUAAUGGGUUAAAAAAUGUCUAAUCGACCGGGAAGGGGUUGCAUACCUUGAAGCUGGUACGGGAAUUGUGGUUGAGGGUAUUCCUGGUGAUGAGCAGAGGGGAGUGCGGCCAAGACCAAAGCUGCCGCUAUGGCUUGUGCCAUUUGUUCUGCUAGUGUACUUCUUGUGCCAAUCGAAGCACCGCCAUAAACAUACCAACGGAAGAACAAAAAUAAUAAAAUAAUCGACAUAAAAUUACAUAAAGAAUACAAACAUAUAUAAUUAUUCGUCUCGAAAUAUCUCAUUUUUCCUUAUUAUUUAUAUCUCUAUCUUGAACUACAGACAUUUUUGUUGAGCCCUCUUUCUCCAUCCGUCACCAUGAAUGGUUCUCACAGGCUCAUUUUUCUCAUAACUUUUUCAUUUUAUGAUCUGAAAUAUUUCUUUGUCUAAUUACAGUCAUAUACAAGCUUUGAAAUAUUUUAUAUAUUACUUCUUUUAUACAAAAAAAUAUAUUCUAGUUACGAAUUUCAGAAACCUCCCCGAGGCCAUUAGUUUGUGCCAUUGACUUGGUUGAAGCCCCAUAUGUUAAAAAAAUGAUCUCAACUUUGUUACGAGUCAUUUGACAAAGUGAAAAACACGAUAGAAACCAAUAGUAGCCACUUGCCAGGUCUAUUAAUUCGUCAUUAUUUGCAAGACUUGCUAGUCUUUUAACUUAGUCCCCACUCAAGUCCACAAAUAAAAAUCAUAAUCUCAACUUUGUUAUGAGUUAUCUGACAUAGUGAAAAGUUGGAUAGAAAAAUUGGUAAAAGCAAGAUAGAAUAAUUACUAAAAGUAGGAAAUUGGAGCCAAAAUAUGUGCUCUAAUGGCACAUGUUUGAUACAGUUUGUGCACCAAAGGACACUCAAAUCAUCCAACUAGACCUAAAUCAAUUCUAAGGUCCUAGCUAUAAGUUUAACUUGUAUUUUGGAGAUUUAUCUCAAGUUUGAGGGAAGAAAAGGAUGCAAGUUGAAUCACUUUACAUUUUGAAAGAUCAAGAAAGAGUUAACUGAGGAAAUAAGCUAGUCAAGACUCAUGGAACAUGAGCAAAGGCAAGAUGAGGAUAUCAUGAGUUUGAAAGAUGAAAGAUGACCAUUAUAAAUUAAUAAAGAAGGCAAGAAAACAUGGGAAAUGAGGCAUGAAGCAAGAUUCAACUACAUGGAAAUUUAGAACUCAAAAUCCGAUGGCAACAUAUACUUUGAAUUUGAGGAUAAAUUUGGAGUACUUUCCAAAGUUCAUUUUAGGCAUACUAUAUAUCGUUUCAAAUAUCAGGAAGUUAAAAGUCCAAUGCUUCAAAUAGUGUACAAAUCGGAGUUGAAAUGAAGAAGUUAUGAUCAUUUGAAAACAGUUGCAUAAAGCUAAAGGACCAUUUCGAAAUGAUUUCGAAAUUCGACUUAUGAAUUCGAAAUCCAAUUUGAAAUGACCCCAAUUUCGAAUUCACCCACUUCUAAUUUGAUGUUUUACCUCCUAUACCUUGGGAAUUUCAUCUAGGGCACUCCAUCUGCCUUAAGUGGGUCCCACACAACUAGAAAUCGCCAUUUUAUUAUAUUUUUUUAGUCAUUUUUAGGUAAUUAUAUUGGAAUAAGUGGCCAAUGAGAGUAUGCCACAUGUUAGGUAAUUGAUGAUAUUAUAUAAAUUCUCUUAAUUCUAGAGUUUUAAUUAUCUUGGAUCUUUUUCCAUUAUGGAUUAAGAAAGAAGGCAAGAAAACAUGGGAAAUGAGGCAUGAAGCAAGAUUCAACUGCAUGGAAAUUUAAAACUCAAAAUCCAAUGGCAACAUAUACAUUGAAUUUGAAAAUAAAUUUGGAGUACUUUCCAAAGUCCAUUUUAGGCAUACUAUAUAUCGUUUCAAAUAUCAGGAAGUUAAAAAUCCAAUGCUUCAAACAGUGUACAAAUCGGAGUUGAAAUGAAGAAGUUAUGAUCAUUUGAAAACAGUUGCAUAAAGCUAAAGGACCAUUUCAAAAUGAUUUCGAAAUUCGACUUAUGAAUUCGAAAUCCAAUUUGAAAUGACCCCAAUUUUGAAUUCACCCACUUCUAAUUUGAUAUUUUACCUCCUGUACCUUGGGAAUUUCAUCUAGGGCACUCCAUCUGCCUUAAGUGGGUCCCACACAACUAGAAAUCGCCAUUUUAUUAUAUUUUUUUAGUCAUUUUUAGGUAAUUAUAUUGGAAUAAGUGGCCAAUGAGAAUAUGCCACAUGUUAGGUAAUUGAUGAUAUUAUAUAAAUUCUCUUAGUUCUAGAGUUUUAAUUAUCUUGGAUCUUUUUCCAUUAUAGAUUAAGAAAGAAGGUAAAAAAACAUGGGAAAUGAGGCAUGAAGCAAGAUUCAACUGCUGGAAAUUUAGAACUCAAAAUCCAAUGGCAACAUAUACAUUGAAUUUGAGGAUAAAUUUGGAGCACUUUUCAAAGUCCAUUUUAGGCAUACUAUAUAUCAUUUUAAAGAUUAGGAAGUUAAAAGUCCAAUGAUUCAAGCAAUGUACAAAUUGGAGUUGAAAUGAAGAAGUUAUGAUCAUUUGAAAACAGUUGCAUAAAGCUAAAGGACCAUUUUGAAAUGAUUUCAAGAUUCAACUUAUGAAUUCGAAAUCCAAUUUGAAAUGACCCCAAUUUCGAAUUCACCCACUUCUAAUUUGAUGUUUCACCUCUUGUACCUUGGGAAUUUCAUCUAGGGCACUCCAUUUGCCUUAAGUGGGUCCCACACAACUAGAAAUCACCAUUUUAUUAUAUUUUUUAGUCAUUUUUAGGUAAUUAUAUUGGAAUAAGUGGCCAAUGAGAGUAUGUCACAUGUUAGGUAAUUGAUGAUAUUAUAUAAAUUCUCUUAGCUAUAGGGUUUUAAUCAUCUUAGAUUUUUUUCGGAAGAGUUUGACAUUGGAGGUGGAAGAAGACGAGAACUUUGAUUUGUUUUCUUUUCUUCUUUAUUAAAUAUAUUGUUUUUAGUUUCUUCUAAUUCAAAUUGUGGGUUUUUACCCUAUUGUGGAUUGUGAAUGUAACAUCACCCUCAUGAGAGGCUAAGAAGUCAACUUGGGGCUUGAAGCAUGAAAACCUAAAGGCUAGGAAACCUACAAGGACAAUGGGUGAAUUAUUAUAACAAUGAAACUAAUUAUUGGUUGGGUGACAAUUUAUCAAUUUUUUUUUAUCUUAUCAUUGUGAGUUAGUUUAUGUAAUGAUACAGUAGGUUAUUACCCGAUAUUAGUGAUUCUUGGUAACUCUUGAUCAUUAGUUAUCCUCCUCUUUCCUAUCGUUAUUUGCCCCAAAACAAAGCUAUAAGGAUAAGGAAGAGUUAAAAAGCCAAAUCUUGAGCCGGUAAUCAAUCUCAUCCAUUUGAUGGUUUUAGGAAUUUGUUUUAAAAGAAAAAUUGGGCUUCAGAUGGACUUUUGAGUAUAGAAUUCAAGUUGAUUGUGAGCAGCCUAGGAUCCCAAAACCCUAAGAUCAUAUUACUUAAAGGACCCUUGAUUUCUCUAAUUUCUAUACCCUAAGUUGGAUUGUGGAAAGCCCCAAAAUUGAAUCACUUGAAUUUAAAAUCAAUAUUCAUUUUGUUAUUAAUUUAAUUUCUUUUACUUAGUUUCACAUUAUUUACAUAUUGUUUUCCACUUUAGGAUUCAAACAAAAGCAAUUCAUUUACCCUAGUAUUGACAAAUCCCAUAAGCCAGUCCUUGAGGAUGAUACCCAAAAUACUACAAAAGCCGUUGUAGUUUUUUUUUUUUUUUUUGAUCUUUCUUAACCAAAGUACUACAUAGCCACUUGCCAAGUCUAUUACUCGUUACUUGCAAGACUUGCUAGUCUUUUAAGUUAGUCCUUGCUCUAGUCCACAAAUAAAAAUUAUCAUUAAUCACUCAACCACAUCCUAUUUCACUUCAUGCAAUAUUUUUAGUAAUUUUCUUUUGUUUUUUUGGUGUUAUCUUUUUAAAAAAAUUAUUAUAUAAAUAUGAAGAAUUGUUAGAAAAUAAAAUAGAGGAAGAAAAGAAAUAGAGAAGUAGAGUUAUGCAAGAACUUUGAAAGUUGUAUCUUUCAUUCAUUGAAGUCUCCUAUUUAUAGGAGUUGGAAAAUCAAAAUUAAAUAUGGUAUUUAAUUUUUUUGCAAAGAAUAUAAAAAAUCUCCAUAGAUAGUUGUGAGGUCAUUUACAAAUUUCUAUAUAUAUUUAUAACACUCCCCUUUGAAUGAUCAUCACUAUUGAAAAGAAUUAGGUAAACAUUGAUUGUUAGAACUACCUUGUUAAAAACCUUGUAAGUAAAACCCAAUAGGACAAAAUCUAGAUGAAAGAAAAAUGAGUACAGUAUGCUAACAUUCUAUGAUGAUGCUCCCCCUCAUGAUGACGUGAUUGUGCUGCCUUUAAUGGUUCAGUGUUAAGAUCUUUGAGUUAACGCAUUUCAAUUUAAUAUAUGAACUUCUUGAAUGUCAUAGCAGGAAGGGAUUUUGUGAAUAAGUUGACAAGAUUAUCAUUUGAUCUUAUUUGUUGAACAUUGAUUUCACGUCUCUUUUGAAGCUCAUGUGUAUAGAAGAACUUUGGAGAAAUAUGCUUAGUUCAAUCAUCUUUAAUAUAUCCUCCUUUGGUUUAUGCAAUACAUGCAACAUUGUCUUUAUGUAAUAUUGUCAGAGUAUCUUUGAUAUAGGAUAAUUCACAAAAGUCUUGUAUAUGCUUUAUCAUAUAUCUCAAUCACACACAUUCAUGACUGGCUUCAUGAAAUAUUGCUAGUAUUUUUGAAUGAUUUGAGGAAGUGACAACCAUUGUUUGCUUAAUCGAUUUCCAUAAUAUUGCAACAUUUCUGUAAGUAAAAACAUAUCUUGUUUGAGAUCGAACUUUAUGAGGAUUUGAAAGAUCUCCUGUAUCUACAUACCUAAUCAAUUGCGAUUUUGAUUCAUUUAAAUAACAUAAGCUCAUGUCACUUGUCCCCAUGAAGGUAUCACAAUAUAUGUUUAGUCUUAUUUCAAUAUCUUGUAAUUGUGGCAGGAUUGUAUCUUGCUAGCAAAUUGACAAAGAAUGUUAAGUUUGGUCUAGUACAAUUUGCAAUAUACAUUAAUUCACUAAUUGCAUUGAGAUAUGAUACUUCUGGACUAAGUAAUUGUUCAUUUUUUUCUAUAGGUUGAAAUGGGUCUUUGUUCACUUCAAGUGAAUGAACAACCAUGGGAAAAUUGAGUGGAUGAAAUUUGUCCAUAUAAAAGCGCUUUAAUACUUUCUUUUUAUAUAUCAACUAAUGGACUAAUAAGCCAUUUGAACAAUGCUUGAUCUACAGGUUAAGACAAUAUCUUAUUUUUCCCAGAUCUUUUAUUUCAAAUUUCUUCUUUAAAUAAUUGGCUCUUUUGUGAGAUCUUUAGGAGUUUCUUUCUUUUAGAAUAUUUUCACUAAGGCGAUCGUACCAUAUAUGCUCGAAUUGCUUCAAUCCAUAUAAGGAUUGUUGUAGCUUGAUUGAGUACAUGCUAUAAGGUUUUAAAUCAUUUGCUUCAAACAUUUUAAAUUCUUUAAGAAUUUCACACAUUUGAGAUUUUAAUUUAUUUCCUUCAAGGUAUUUUCAUGUAUAUGUCAUUAUUCAUAGAUCCAUUUAAAGAACUUAGAGCUACAUUAAGAAAAUAUGUAUGAAGUCCUUAAGGGCAAUUGUGUUAUUAAGAGAGCUAAUACAUGGUUUUUUUUUUCUAGAAACCACAUGCUAUAAGUAACGUUGAUGUCUCGUGAUAUUAACUUUUUUUUAUAGCAUUUUAAUACAAAUACUCAUUUUAUCCAAUAGGAUUUAAACUUUAUGUUCUUUUAUUUUUACGUCUUUAGGCAUUGGACUUUGGGUCUAAUAACUAGUCUGCCACUUUGAACAAGUCAACGCCCAAACUCCAUUUCGAAAUUGAGAGGUUUCCAAGAUGUAACCAACCAAGACAUUAUAAAAAGGAAUAAAUAAAUAAAUAAAUAAAAAUGGAAAAACCAUGCUUGAUCUUGGAGCAUUGAAUCAAUGCUUUUACUUCCAGUCAACCCUCCCAGAUAUCUUCUCAACGUGAAAAAAGGGAUUGUCUCCCAAAAAGGCCCAGUUUAGCUGUUAGCCAACUUUAUAACCAUGAUGACAUAAAAAAAGCAGCUGUGCAAAUACAAUUUGAACUUAGCUCAGGCUUCAGUGAGAAAAUCCCAUCUUUCCCCGAUAGUAUUUUUGAUCUCUCCUCUUUAACAUAGGCCAGGGUGGAAGGAAGCAUUCCCAGCAAGAAUCUUGAAAGGGGUGUGAUCCUUCACAGCAUCUAUAAUCUCUGCUGCCCCAUCAUUCUUAUGGGAUGCUAAAGUAGUGUCUUAUUUAGAUAUGAAACCAAACUGUCUGGCCUGUUGGCAUCCAGCAAAAAGCCAGCUGCAUGAGUCCUAAUUUAUGCAGCAAAAAGCCAGCUGCAUAAAACAUGUUUCCUGAGAAAAUGAAUUCCAAUGACCUAUUCCUGUUUCAUCGUUCAAAGCAAGCUCCAUGGCUCCAACUUCUUUCUUUACUAAUGAUUUGUUUGGAAAACUGGUGCCUAGUGUCGGUGCAUAUUCUGUUAUAUUUAUAUAAAUAUAUAUAUAUUGUUGGUUAAAAAAUAAAGUGUAAGAAGAGUUACACUUUUGAAAAUAACUUUUGGAAAAUAAAGUGUAAGAAGGGUUACACUUUUAAUGUGUGAAUUAAACACAUGAUUAAGUUUUGAAAUGUUACAAAACUUGAAAGGUUGAGGAAGACAAUGAGUCUUCUCAUCUUUGUAACUUUAUAAACUUAAGAGGUUAAGUGUAAGAGAGUUACACAUUUGAGAUUAAAUCAUGUUUAAUGUGUGAAUUAAACAUAUGAUUUAAUUUUGAAUGUUACAAAGAUGAAGAGGUUGAGGAAGACAAUGAGUCUUCUCAUCUUUGUAACUUUAUAAACUUAAGAGGUUAAGUGUAAGAGAGUUACACAUUUGAGAUUAAAUCAUGUUUAAUGUGUGAAUUAAACAUAUGAUUUAAUUUUGAAUGUUAUAAAGAUGAAGAGAUUGAGGAAGACAAUGAGUUUUUUCUCAUCCUUGUAACCUUUUUUCAACCCUAAGAGUGCUAUAUAUAUGACUUUUCUUCUUUUUGAAAUCUCAUGCAGAAAAGUGAAAAGGCUUGAUCAAUCCCAAGACUAUUUCCAUUUAGUUCCCAAAAGAUUUCUAGAGGUGGGAGGAAAUAGAGUCUUUGGACAAAGUUCCAAGAACUUGUUUGAGCCUUUCUUGUGUUCUUCUUCUUCUUGUUCUUAUUUUGUAUCUAAGAGAGUUUUAUUGUAUCAAAGUGAGUGUGUGAGAGUGUUUCCUUUCUCCAUUGUAUCCAAAUUUUUUCAAUAUAUUCUACAGAAAGUCUAGUCUGUCAAUUUGUACAAGACAAUUGGCCUAACCUCUUUUCCAAAUUGAUAACCCAUCCAAGGGUGUAACCAAAAAGUACGUUACUUUUUAUUUUUAUUUUUUAUAAAAUCAAUUUUGCACUGAAUUAUCAAUUCUUUUCUUCCGGUCAAUCCACCCACGUAAAAUCACAGUGACUCCACUGAGAUAUCUUGUCAACUAAAAAGAAGAGAUUAGAAAAUCUCAUGACUGAUAUUCUUAAAAAAAUAAUGGGCUAAAAAAUGUCUAAUCGACCGGGAAGGGGUUGCAUACCUUGAAGCUGGUGCGGGAAUUGUGGUUGAGGGUGUUCCUGGUGAUGAGCAGAGGGGAGUGCGGCCAAGACCAAAGCUGCCGCUCUAGCUUGUGCCAUUUUUUCUGCUAGUGUACUUCUUGUGCCAAUCGAAGUACCGAGAUAAACAUACCAACGGAAGAACAAAAAAUUAAAAUAAUCGACACAUAAAAUUACAUAAAGUUUCAUAAACAACAUUUCGUUUUGCGAUAAACAAUAUUAUAGAGAAUAAAGACGUAUAUUUGCUCUCAAAAUAUCUCAUUUUUCCUUAUUAUUUAUAUCUCUACCUUGAACUACGAACAUUUUUGUUGAGCCCUCUUUCUCCAUCUAUCACCAUGAAUGGUUCUCAUUGACUCAUUUUUCUCAUAACUUUUUUAUUUUAUGAUUUAAAAUAUUUCUUUGUCUAAUUACAAUCAUAUACAAGCUUUGAAAUAUUUUAUAUAUUAUUUCUUUUAUACAAAAAAAUAUAUUCUAGUUACGAAUUUGAGAAACCUCCCCAAGGCCAUUAGUUUUUGCCAUUGACUUGGUUGAAGCCCCAUAUGUUAAAAAAAAAUGAUCUCAACUUUGUUAUGAGUUGUCUGAGAAAGUGAAAAACACUAUAGAAACCAGUAGUAGCCACUUGCCAAGUCUAUUAAUUCGUCAUUACUUGCAAGACCUGCUAGUCUUUUAACUUAGUCCCCGCUCAAGUCCACAAAUAAAAAUCAUAAUCUCAACUUUGUUAUGAGUCAUUUGACAUAGUGAAAAGUUGGAUAGAAAAAUUGGUAAAAGCAAGAUAGAAUAAUUACUAAAAGUAGAUGAUUGGAGCCAAAAUAUGUGCUCUAAUGGCACGUAUUCGAUAUGAUUUGUGCACCAAAGGACACUCAAAUCACCCAACAUAACCUAAAUCGAUUCUAAGGCCCUAGCCAUGAGUUUAACUUGUAUUUUGGAGAUUUAUCUCAAGUUCAAGGGAAGAAAAGGGUGCAAGUUGAAUCACUUUAGAUUUUGAAAGAUCAAGAAAUGGUUAAAUGAGGAAAUAAGCGAAUCAAGACUCAUGGACCAUGAGGAAAAGCAAGACAAAUAUAUCAUGAGUUUGGAGAAGAGAGAUGACUAUUAUGGAGUAAGAAAUAAGGCAAGAAAACAUGGGAAAUGAGGCAUGAAACCAGAUUCAACUGCAUGGAAAUUUAUCCUCAAAAUCUCGUGCUAACAUAUACUUUGACUUUGAGGAUAAAUUUGGAGUACUUUUUGGAGUACUUUUUGAAGUCCAUUUUAGGCAUACUAUAUAUGAUUUCAAAGAUCAGGAAGUUAGAAGUCUAACACUUUAAACGAUGUACAAAUCAGAGCUGAAAUGAAGAAGUUAUGACUAUUUAAAGACAACUACAUAAAGCUAAAGGACCAUUUCAAAAUGAUUUCAAAAUUCGACUUAUGAAUUCGAAAUCCAAUUCGAAAUGACCCCAAUUUUGAAUUCACCCACUGCUAAUUUGAUGUUUUGCCUCCUCCACCUUAGGAAUUUCAUCUAAGGCACUUCAUCUGCCUUAAGUGUGUCCCAUACAAGUAUAAAUCACCAUUUUAUUAUUUUUUUAGUCAUUUUAGGCAAUUAUAUUGGAAUAAGUAGCUAAUGAGAGUAUGCCACAUGUUAGGUAAUUGUUAAUAUUAUAUAAACUCUCUUAGUUCUUGGGUUUUAAUCAUCUUGGAAUUUUUUUUUUCCGAAGAGUUUGACAUUGGAAGUGGAAGAAGACGAGAACUUUGGUUUGUUUUCUUUUCUUUUUUAUUAAAUAUAUUGUUUUUAAUUUCUUCUAAUUCAAAUUAUGGAUUUUUACCCUAUUGUGGAUUGUGAAUGUGAUAUCACCCCCAUGGGAGGCUAAGAAGCCAACUCUGGGGCUUGAAACAUGAAAACCUAAGGGCUAGGGAACUUAUAGGGACAAUGGAUAAAUUAUUAUAACAAUGAGACUAAUUAUUGGUUGGGUGGCAAUUUAUCAAUUUUUUUUUAUCCUAUCCUUGUGAGUUAGUUUAGGGAAUGAUACAGUAGGGUUAUUACCUGAUAUUAGUGAUUCUUGGUAACUCUUGAUCAUUAGUUAUCGUUGUCUUCCCUAUCAUUAUUUGCCCCAAAACAAAGUUAUAUGGAGUAGGAAGAGUUAAAAAGAAAAAUCUUAAACCGGUAAUCAAUCUCAUUCAUUUUAUGGUCUUAGGAAUUUGUUUUAAAAAAGAAAAAUUAGGCUUUUAAUGCAACUUUGAGUUAUAGAAUUCAAGUUGUUCACGAGUGGCCAAAGAUCCCAAAACCUUAAGAUCAUAUUACUUAAAAGACCUUUAUUUUCUCUAAUUUCUAUACCCUAAGUUGGAUUGUGGAAAGCCCCAAACUUGAAUCAAUCGAAUUUAAAAUCAAUAUUCAUUUUGUUAUUAAUUUAAUUUCUUUUACUUAGUUUCACAUUAUUCACAUAUCGUUUUCCAAUUUAGGAUUCAAACAAAAGCAAUUCAUUUACGUUAGUAUUGACAAAUCCCAUAAGUCAGUCCCUAAGGACGAUACUCAGAAUACUACAAAAGCCGUAGUAUUUUUUUUUUUUUCUAAUCUUUCUUGACCAGAGCUACUAUAUAUUAGGCUUAAGUAUUUUGGUACAACAGAGAAGAUUGGUCAACAAGAUAGAUAAAUUAGUAGUAGCCACUUGCCAAGUCUAUUCCUCAUUACUUACAAGACUUGCCAAGUCUUUUAAGUCAAUCCUUGCUCAAGUCCACAAAUAAAAAUUAGCAUUAAUUCCUCAACCACAUUCCAUUUCACUUCAUGCAAUAUUUUUGGUAAUUUUCUUUUGUUUUUUUAGUAUUAUCUUUUUAAAAAAAUUAUUAUAUAAAUAUGGAGAAUUGUUAGAAAAGAAAAUAGAGGAAGAAAAGAAAUAGAGAAGCAAAGUUAUGCAAGAACUUUGAAAGUUGUAUCUUUCAUUCAUUUAAGUCUCCUAUUUAUAGGAGUUGGAGAAUCAAAAUUAAAUAUGGUAUUUAAUUUUUUUGCAAAGAAUAUAGAAAAUCUCUAUAGAUAGUUGUGAGGUCAUUUACAAAUUUCUAUAUAUAUUUAUAACACUUCCCCUUGAAUGAUCAUCACUACUGAAAAGAAUUAGGUAGACAUUGAUUGUUAAAACUAUCUUAUCAAAAACCAAGUAAAACCCAAUAGGGCAAAAUCUAGAUGAAAGAAAAUGAGUACAGUAUGCUAACAUUCUAUGAUGAUGCUCCCCCUCAUGAUGACGUGAUUGCGUUGUCAAUGGCUCAGUGUUAAGAUCUUUGAGUUAACGCAUUUCAAUUUGAUAUAUGAACUUCUUGAAUGUCAUAGUAGGUAGGGCUUUUGUGAAUAAGUUGAAAAGAUUAUCAUUUGAUCUUAUUUGUUGAACAUUGAUUUUAUGUCUCUUUUAAAGCUCAUGUGUAUAAAAGAAAUUUGGAGAAAUAUGCUUAGUUCGAUCAUCUUUAAUAUAUCCUUCUUUGAUUUAUGCAAUACACACAACAUUGUUUUCAUGUAAUAUUGUCAGAGUAUCUUUGAUAGAGGAUAAUUCACAGAACUCUCAUUUAUGCUUUAUCAUAUAUCUCAAUCAUACACAUUCAUGACUGACUUCAUGAAUUGCUAGUAUUUUUGAAUGAUUUGAGGAAGUGAUGACCAUUGUUUACUUAAUCGAUCUCCAUAAUAUUGCAGCAUUUUGCAAGUAAAAACAUAUCCUAUUUGAGAUCAAUCUUUAUGAGAAUUUGAAUGAUAUCCUGUAUCUACAUACCCAAUCAAUUGCGAUUUUGAUUCCUUUGAAUAACAUAAGCCCAUGUCACUUGGCCCAUGAAGGUAUCACAAUAUAUGUUUAAUCCUAUUUCAAUAUCUUGUAAUUGUGGCAGGAUUGUAUCUUGAUACCAAAUUGAUAGAAAAUGUUAUGUCUGGCCUAGUACAAUUUGCAAUAUACAUUAAUGCACCAUUUGCAUUGAGAUAUGAUACUUCUGGACUAAGUAAUUGUUCAUUUUCUUCUUUAGGUUGAAACGGGUCUUUGUUCGCUUCAAGUGAAUGAAUAACCAUGGGGGAAUUGAGUGGAUGGAAUUUGUCCAGAUAAAAGCGCUUUAAUACUUUCUCUUUAUAUAUCGAUUGAUGAACUAAUAAGCAAUUUAAACAAUGCUUGAUUUGCAGGUCAAGACAAUAUCUUAUUUUUCCCAGAUCUUUUAAUUCAAAUUUCUUCUUUAAAUAAUUGGCUAUUUUGUGAGAUCUUUAAGAGUUCCCUUCUUUUAGAAGAUUUUCACUAAGGCGAUUGUACCACAUAUACUCGAAUUACUUCAAUUUAUAUAAGGAUCAUUGUAACUUGAUUGAGUACAUGCUAUAAGGGUUUAAAUAAUUUGCUUCAAACAUUUUAAAUUCUUCAAGAAUUUCACACAUUUGAGAUUUUAAUUAUUUCCUUCACACGUUCAAAAUCCUUCAGGGAUUUUCAUGUAUAUGUCAUUAUUCAUAGAUCCAUUUAAAGAACUUAAAGCUACAUUUAGAAAAUAUGUAUGAAGUCCUUCAAGGUAAUUGAGCUAUUAAGAGAGCAAAUACAUGGUUUUUUCUAGAAACUAGAAUGCCAUAAGUAACAUUUGAUGUCUCGUGAUCUUAUUUUUCAUAGCAUUUUAAUACAAAUACUCAUUUUAUCCAAUAGGAUUUAAACUUUAUGUUCUUUUAUUUUUACGUCUUUAGGUGUUGGACUUCAGGUCUUAAUAUUUCUCGUUUUGGUAACAAGUUUAGAUAUGUUUGGAUUACUUCCUUUCCACUUUCACUACUAGUUUGUACCUUUUUUCAAUUGUGAUUCUCAUUAUUUUUAAUGAUAUUAAGUCACUUUGAAAAGGAGAUAUUAUCUUGAUCCCAUUUUAUAUGACCUAUGGAGAUCUCACUCUUUUUAGGUACAUAUGCCUCUUUAGGGGCUAUUGUCAUUUUAAGAACCAUCUUCCAUUUCAAGGGAUGUUGCAUAACUUGUUGACUUAUGUGUACAAAAAACUAAAAAGCCAUUGAGAAUAAAUUUUGGUCUUUGGCUUGUUAAAGUUAGUCGGAUUGGUUUUAAAUUCUUUGACUUUUUUUAAUACUAAUUAAAAUGGUUUUUGAGUUUCAAAUUAAUAUUUUUAAAAAUAAGAGAAUUUUAUGUAUCAAGUGUCAGUUAUGGUUGAAUCUAUUUGUUUAAAAAUAAAUUAGAAAAGUUAGAUAAAAUUAAGAAACACAUGCGGAAUUCAAAAAGGGGUGAAAAAUCAAUAAAGAAAAUAUAUAUAUAUAUAUUCUCUUUUAUUUAUUUAUUUAUUUUUAAUCUGUCCGUGUGCUCCUCUUUUAUUUUUAAAAUAAAACUAUCAUAAGCAUGAGAUACAACAUGAGGUAUGUGAAAUAAAAAUAAAAAUGAAGAAACAGACUUAAAGUUACUUAUAAACUAUGCGAGAUACAAACAACGGAUAUAGCUCUAUCAAACUCCUCCAGGCUGUUGGGUCUCCAUAUUUUACAGAAAAUGAAAAGUCCGUUUGGUAGGGUUCUAUGAAGUGUUUUUGGUAAUUUUUUAACACUUAAAAUUUUUUAUUUUUAAGUAUUAGAAAUACUAAAAAUACUUUUUAAAAUUACUGUGGAGCAAUGUAGAAGUCUAAUAACUAGUCUGCCACUUUGAACAAGUCAACGGCCAAACUCCAUUUCGAAACUUGGUAGGUUUCCAAGAUGUAACCAACCAAUACGUUAUAAAAAGGAAUAAAUAAAUAAAAAUGGAAAAACCAUGCUUGAUCUUGGAGCAUUGAAUCAAUGCUUUUACUUCCAGUCAACCCACCCAGAUAUCUUCUCAACGUGAAAAAAGGGAUUGUAAAACUCCCAGCUCUCUCUGGUUUACCAAAAAGGGCCCAGUCCAGUUGUUAGCCAACUCUAUAACCAUGAUGACAUAAAAAGAUCCCAUUGGUGAUUUGUUUUCCCUCAUUUUUAUUUGUUCUUUUUUUAGUGGAGUUGGACUAGAAUUUAACUCAAGUUCACAAAUUCAAGUCAUCGCUGGAAUACAUUUGAACAGCUUUUUGUGCUUUUCCCCAAUUGAGAGGGAGGCACUCAUUUUAAAUAGACAAGAAGCAGUUCGUUUCCUGAUGAGACAAUCCAAUCCCCAUUAAUGGAGAUGCCAAUCUUUAGCUUGAGAUUACAGUGGUGGGUUUUGCUUGUUAACCUUGUCAUUUGCAUUAGUUCGCAGACGUUGGAAUCACUUUCCAGCACCAACUUUUGGAAAUGAAACCGAUAAGCUUGCAUUGCUCACCAUCAAGAAUUAUUUGGUUGACGUUCCGAAUGGAGUUAUGAGUUCCUGGAAUGACUCACUGCAUUUCUGUCAGUGGCAGGGGGUUACAUGCAGUCGCCGACGUCAGAGGGUCACAGCCUUGAGGUUGGAGGGUCAGAGCUUAGCUGGUUCCUUACCUCCUAUUGGGAACUUAACAUUCCUGAGAGAGUUGGUGUUGUCCAACAAUAACUUGCAGGGUUCUAUCCCCACUGACAUUGGUCUUUUGCGACGAAUGCAGCAUCUCAAUCUCAGCACAAAUUCUCUCCAAGGUGAGAUUCCCAUUGAGCUGACCAACUGUUCAAACCUCAAGACUGUGGACUUAACAAGGAACAAUCUGACCGGGCAGAUUCCCUUGCACGUUGGCCAUAUGUUGAAACUCCUACUUCUAUGGCUUGGUGCCAACGAUCUAACAGGGGUUGUCCCAUUUACUUUGGGAAACCUGUCAUCUCUUCAACAUCUGUCCGUUGCGUACAAUCAUUUGGAGGGAAAUAUUCCACAUGAAUUAGGUCGUUUGAAGAGCUUGAAAUAUUUAUAUUUGGAUGUAAAUAACCUAUCUGGUAUGAUUCUUCCCUCACUCUAUAAUUGGUCAUCUCCCAUUGAAUUUUUUGUAUCUGGCAACAUUCUAACUGGAAAUUUUACUCCAAACAUGAGGUUUAAUUUUCCUCAACUCCGCAAGUUUGGCAUAGCAGGGAAUCAGUUUACCGGAGUAAUUCCAGAUACACUAUCCAAUAUUUCAGGACUUGAACAUUUGGAUCUAGGUAACAAUUAUCUAACUGGCCAAGUCCCUGAUAGCUUAGGAGUGCUCAAGGAUCUCUAUUGAUUGAACUUUGAAUUAAAUAAUUUAGGAAGGGGCAUGCCGGGCGAUUUAAAUUUUCUAUCUUCUUUGCCCAAUAUCAGCAGUUUAAGACUUAUCAAUCUACAGGCCAAUAAUUUCGGGGCGUGUUACCCAUCUCCAUUGUUAAUCGCUCAACCCAACUGGAGAAGCUUAUCAUAGGAGACAACAAAAUAUCUGGAAGCAUCCCAAAAGAGAUUGGAAACCUGAUCAGCUUAACUGUUUUCAGUGCAAUGCGGAAUAAUCUCACUGGUGCCAUUCCCACUUCAAUUGGCAAGCUUCAGAAUUUAAGAGUAUUCGAGUUAAAUUGGAACAGGCUAUCAGGUCUGCUCCCAUCCACCCUCUGCAACUCAAGUCAACUAUACUACCUUGACAUGGGCUACAACAAUUUGGAAGGGAACAUUCCUACAUCUCUCAGGAACUGCCAAAAUAUGGAAAUUCUUUUCCUCGAUCACAAUAAGUUGAAUGGUAGUGUACCUGAAAAUGUCAUUGACCAUUUCAAUCAGUUGAGAUCACUCUACCUACAGCAAAACACACUCACCGGUUCUCUUCCAGCAGAUUUUGGUCAACUGAAAAAUCUAAAUCAGUUACUUGUUUCUGACAACAACUUGUCAGGGGAAAUCCCCAGGGAACUUGGCAGCUGUUCGGUAUUAGAGUAUCUUGACAUGGCAAGAAACUCCUUCCAGGGAAACAUCCCCCUGUCCUUUAGCUCUUUGGGAGGAAUUCAAAUCCUAGAUCUUUCGUGCAACAACUUGUCUGGAAUGAUUCCCAAAGAACUACAACAUCUUUCCGCUUUGCUGAGUUUAAAUCUGUCUUAUAGCUACAUUGAAGGUGAGGUUCCAAGUGGAGGAGUUUUUAAAAAUGUGAGUGGGAUUUCAAUCACUGGGAACAAGAAGCUUUGUGGGGGAAUCCCUCAACUUCAGCUGCCAGCUUGUUCUGAUGUAGAGUCAGCAAAGCAUGGCAAGGGGAAGCAUCUUUCAACCAAAAUUGUUAUAGCCAUAAGCAUUACUGGUGUUUCUUGCCCGGCUUUCAUAGUGGCUUCAGUUCUCCUCUAUGGGAGAAAAAAGGCAGUAAUGAAGUCUUCUUCCACUUUUUUAAGAUAUGGGUACUUGAGGGUUUCUUACAAAGAGCUCCUCAAGGCAACUAGUGGAUUUGCUUAUUCCAUCUUGAUUGGCAUGGGAAGUUUUGGUUCCGUGUACAAAGGAAUUCUAAGUCGAGGCGAAAGACCUGUUGCAGUGAAGGUACUGAACCUUCAACAGCGUGGAGCUGCCAAGAGUUUCAUGGCUGAGUGCAAGGUCCUCAGGAAUAUUCAGCAACGGAAUCUGCUUCGAAUCAUAACUUCAUGUUCAAGUGUGGACAACAAAGGUUGUGAUUUUAAGGCUCUAGUAUUUGAGUUCAUGCCUAAUGGAAACCUAGAUAGCUGGCUGCAUCAUGAAUCCAGAAAUUUAAGCUUCAGACAAAGAUUGGAUAUCGCAAUUGAUGUGGCUAAUGCUCUGGAUUAUCUUCAUCACCAAUGCCAGACACCAAUUGUUCAUGGGGAUCUAAAGCCAAGCAAUGUUC
rnacentral:lncRNA from 1 species